CAGGACUGAUGUCAGAUCAUGUUGUGGAAGAGGAAGAAGAAGAUAAAGGUUCAUCCGGUGAUGUGCCAGUAGCACCUGAGAUGCCUGAUAUACAUGACACAAUUGCAUCUUACUACUUCCACAGCAACCUGACCAAGCUGCACCAAACGGAGGUCCCUCAGCGAGUUGAUGAACGUUUGUUCAUCGUGCUCAGCCUGGGUUCAAUAUGUCAGAAUGGCCAGUGCUGCAGCAGUUCUACAGGGCGAUUUCAACCCGAUGCAUCUACAUGGUCACAACAUGAUCCUUCUUGCACAGGGGUUUGGUAACUUCGACGCCGCGAAAGAUGUUGCAAAAUACAACUUGGUGAAUCCACCGGUGAAGAACACCAUUCUUGUCCCAAAUCAUGGGUGGGCUGCCAUCCGAUUUGUUGCGAACAAUCCAGGUGUGUGUAAGAUUUAUUUGCGUUAGUUGGGUUUCAAAGUCGACGCUGUCAGAUCUAAUGCUUGUCUUAUAUGAUUUAAGGGGUAUGGUUCAUGCAUUGCCACUAUGAAUUCCAUUUGACUAUGGACAUGGCGGAAGUAUUCAUUGUAGAGGAUGGUCCGACAGUGGACACAUCUCUCCCUCCACCACCUGCUCAUUUUCCAACAUAUUGUGGUCAUGACGACAAUCUCCUUCUGGGUGAACUGUGCCUCCAAACUAAGAAGAUGCAUGAAAUCCCACGCAUAAAUGUAGUCUGAAUAAAUAUUACUGCAACCGCCGGUUAUCAAAUUAAAUAAUGGAUGGCCCACGCUAGUACCUAGAUUCAAGUAUGCAUAUUAAAACUACUGUAUCGUCUUCACUCUAUCAAUAAUGUGAGGCCAAUUAUAGGACAAUCCCCUUUUAUAUCCAUAUAUGCAUAUCUUUCUUUUUUCUAUAUUCGAUUUUACAUCCUAGUGAAUUGCAAAUUUUAUCUAUAAUUGCAUAUACUCUCUCCGUCCCAAAUUGCAGAUCGUUUUGGCAUUUCUAGCUAGAUUCAUAUCUUUUAUUAAUAGCUUUUAUAAAUACAUGUACUUACAAAUUAGACCCGUGUUCAAGUGGAAGUGACUAGAGGAAUAAUGAAUCAUGUCGAAAGUCCCCCAAACACGAUUAAAAAUGUUCAGUCACCCUUCUGACGUACAGUCCAAAGUUCAAAGCACGGGAGCUGCAAACAAUUAUUUCACCACCGUUUUACACUUAAGCCAUAUAUAUCCUUCGUACAAAGACCAGGCGGAUUACACAUAAAGAGGUCCAACUAGCUAGCUUCUCAACAUGCGACUAGUAAACCUGAAGCAAGAUCGAAAUAAUAAUCAAGAAGCCAAGCAGUUUCAAUGUCUAUUUUGUUUUGUCUACAUACAUGUAGAACGUGGUAAACUAAAACUUAUACUAUAAUCUUUUAAGAAAACACCGUUGACCUAAAAAGGAAGACAUCUAACAUUAUUUUAUAAAAAAUAAACUAGUGAACAAAGAUAUUGCAAUAAGAAAGACAUUACCAAUACAUUAGCUGGUGUCUUCUACGUAUUAAGUAAUAGAGUGCAACUAGUCGUACGUGAAGUAUUUCCCCGAUACAAAGUAUGUUUAAAAAUGAAAAUUCCGGCCUACUAUCUUUCUCUCUUCCCAUAGUUAUCUCUAUGAAUCCUAAAAUUGUAACCUUUUAAUUAGAAUACUAACUUCAUGUAUCAGUAUUGAAAUUGAUGGCACAUAUAAUAGAUAUUGAUAAGUUUUUAUUAACAAUAUAAGAUAUCGAUCACGUUUGGAUGCCCCCCCCCCCAUCCACCCACUUAGAAUUUCUAGUUCCACUACUGGUUGGGUGAUACCAUAUGAUCUUUCCUAAAAGGUUCUAGAAAGGUAGUUUACCUAGGGUAUAUGCACUUCUUAGUGGAAGGACACCAGUACCGAAGUAAGCAGUUCCAUAAUUUUUUUGGCAGCAUGCCCGAAAUUGAUUCUGCUCCAAAAUUUUUUCACCAGGGCAGUGUCUUCAAGCAAGGCACUAAAAAAAUAGGUUUAAGUACUAUUUCAUGGAAACACUUGCGGAGCAGCAGCAGUCUGGGCUAGUAUUGAUGAACCAGCCACAUCAGUGGGCCACCUAGUGAGCUAGUAUUGGAAAUGGGUUACAAUGUCAAUUCUGUUAUUUGGAUGUAGAUGAAAUUGCUACAUGGAAUCAAAUAAGAUGGCAAAUACCAAUUCAUAUUUGGAUGUUUAAAUGGUGAAAUUGAGAGAGAGAGAGAGAGAAGGGGAGCGACGGGCGGCGCAGGCACCCGCCACAGGCCACCUCUGAGCCGCACUACGCGUGGACGGCCAUUGGCUGCAACUCUGCCUAGCUUGCGUUGGUUGCAAGGAAGAUCGGAGGGGGCGCUGCCGCGUGGAAGAUGGGAGAGGGCGCCGGGCACGAUGAAGAAGGAAGGGGGCACCGCGCAUGCGGAAGAUGAGGAGGGGGACCAGGGCAGAGGGGCGGACACUUGCGCUUUUCACACUUGCGCGGACAACAUUCUAGCAGUUUGAAGAUAGAAAGUGCAUUAUGGAUGGCAACGGGUACAAAUUACCCACGUGCCCACAGGUAAAAACCCAUUAGGGUGAGGAUACGAGUACCAUUUAGUAACUACGGGCAUGGGUGCGGGUUUGAUUUUGUGCCCAUGGGUAAAAAAUUUGCGGGUAUGAAAAUACCUUACCCAUGCCCGCAAACCCGCGAACCCGCUUGAGAUGUGGGCCUGCUACACAUGUAUAUAAUAUAAGGAUUUUCUAGGGUUCCCUUAUCCCUUGUCCUCCCCCAGGCCCCAGAGGCCAAGUCCCCUACAGAGCCGCAAUCCUAGCCUCCCACAGACCGCAUGCCCGCAGCGGUGCAGCCUCCCUCCAUGGCUCCGUCCCUCGACUUCCGCCGCCAGUUCCCUCCGGCCACCGUCUGCCCUCCAGCCGCCAGCCAUCCCUUCCCUUCCCGCCGGCAGCCACCUCCCCGCCACCAUUUUUCCAUCCGCCCUCGCUGCCCCCACCACCACCGCUCUGCUCGGUGCCCGCCCACCUCCCCGCCGCCACUCGGUCAGCCGCCUGCCGCCCACUCUGGCAGCCGGCACCCGCCGCCAGCCAUCCCUUCCCACCUAGCGCCUAUAUUCCCAUCGCCGCCCCAGCCCCUAGGUCAGUCACUUUCCUCUCACUUUUUCUUCAUUCUCUAUUCAGUAGAAUGAUAGAUCCAGGAACUACACUUCUGCCUUGCCAUUGAUUAAUGAUAGAUCUAGUGAAAUGUCAUGUCUAGUUGGUGAUUUUGUGAUUGUCUAGAAUGAAUGAACUAUUUUGUGACUGAAUGAAUGAUUUGGUGAUUUUGUUGAGUGGUUGUAGUGUUCAGUAGAUAAAAUGAAUGAAUGAUUUUGUGUGAAGCAUGCAACUAUAGCUAGUUCAUAACAACUCCAUGGAUUAAAUGUAUGCAUCUACCAAUUUGAAUUGCUAUUUUCCCUAUAUACGGUCUUUAUCACAUGGUUUUGUUUGUAUUGUAUCACCAAGCAUAACAUGGUUUUGUUUGUAUUGUACCAUGACUAUAGAUUGGAUUGGUGAUGGAGACUCCUCACAGCAGUGUCCAACCUGUGCAGGUCUCGCAAGCUUCCAUCCCUAUUGACGAAGCUCUCCCUGCUAAUCAGGUUAUCAACAUUAAUGAUGGAGUUGAUGAUCACGAGGACGAAGACGGGACUGCUGGUAUAACUUAUUUACAGGGUUCACAUAGGAAGCUCACAUCUACUGUAUGGAAGGAAUUCACACGAGUUUGUGAUGAUGAUGGAGUUUGGAAGGCAAAGUGUGACCACUGUGGCAAGAAGCUUUCAGCUACAACAAGAAAUGGUACUAACCAUCUACGUACUCAUCUGAAAAUCUAUAUCUAUAUGAAGAAGCCUGGUGAGAAAGUGCAAGCAAAUUUGAGGUUUGCAUCCACUAACAAAGGUGCAGUAGCUGUUGAAAAUUAUAUGUUUGAUCAAGAUGUAGCUAGGAAAGCACUUUACACAAUGAUUACACUGCAUGAGUACCCUCUGUCCAUUGUGGAUCAUCUUGGUUUUCAUCAAUUUGUUAGUGCUUUGCAACCCUUGUUCAAGAUAAGAACUAGAAGCACUAUUAGGAAGGGCAUCCUGAAUUGCUAUGAUGUGGAGAAAAGAAAAGCUAGGAUGUUUCUUCAGAAGCUCAGUUGUCAUGUAGCCAUUACAACUGACCUAUGGACUGCUGAUAAUCAGAAAAGAGGACAUAUGGCUGUCACUGGACAUUUUAUUGAUGACUCAUGGACCCUUAGAAGCUGCAUUUUGAGGUGAUUUCUUAUUGUCCUACUUCAAUUACUUGCUGUCCUAUUUGUGUUUUACUUCAAUUACUUGCAAGUCUUAUUUGUGUUUUACUUCAAUUACUUGCUAUCCAACUUAUUUUAAUUGUCUUUUCUAGGUUUGUAUAUGUGCCAUGCCCCAUAUUGCUGAAGUUAUUUGUGAUGCACUACUUAAAUGCCUCCAGAGUUGGGAUCUUGAUUGCAGGGUGUCCACUAUGACACUUGACAAUUGCAGUGUCAAUGACAGCAUGAUUGGUCUAAUGGAAUCAAGGCUUGGGGAGGAUAAUAUGUUGCUGGGUGGAAAGCACUUGCAUACCCGUUGCUAUGCACAAAUAUUGAACCUUAUUGUACAAGAUGGAUUGGAAGUGAUCAAGAAAUCUAUUGCAAGAAUCAGAGAGAGCAUUGCUUAUUGGAUUGCUACACCAAAGAGGUAUGAAAAAUUUGUGAAAGUAGCUCAACAAUAGAAGGUUGAAUUGAAGAAAAAACUGUGUCUUGAUUGCAAAACUAGGUGGAAUUCAACUUUUGUCAUGCUUAGCACUGCUAUACCUUAUAGGAAGGUUUUUGAUCAUUUGGACACUCUUGACCAACACUUUGUUUUCCAACCAAAUUAUGAUUGGAAAUUUGCAGCUAUUGUUUGUGAGAAAUUAGAAUUGUUCUAUCAGCUCACUGAAUUGUUUUCUGGAACAAAGUAUGUGACAGCUAAUAUCUUCUUUCCUAAAGUAUGUGAGAUCAAACUUAAAAUUAACUCUUGGAAAGAAGAUGAAAAUGAGAUCAUUAGAAACAUGUCCACUGCAAUGAUAGAGAAGUAUGAUAAGUAUUGGUAUGAUAUCCAAGGUCUCAUGGCUAUUGCUGUUAUUCUUGAUCCACGCCUUAAGAUGAUCAUGCUGCAAGCUUGCUAUAUGGCUCUUUUGGGUCAAGAAGAAGUUGAUAGAUUUUUUCAAAAGAGCUAUGAAUUGCUAACUCAAUUGAUGGAUGAGUACCAAGUGCAAGUUGAUCAAGAGGUUGUGGGUGCAUCAUCUUAUGGGGCUUCAAACUCUACUGUUAGUGCUGCUGCUGUUCUGUCCAUAUUCAAAACACUUGCUACCACUAAGAAGACCUCAAGUCUUGUUAAAGCAAAGAGUGAGUUAGAUCGGUACUUGGAUGAAGAUCCUCUUCCUCAUGAUGAGAAUGAGUAUUUUGAUGUCUUGGGUUGGUGGAAGGUGGCUGGAACUCACUUCCCUACUUUGAGGUUGAUUGCUCAUGAUAUUUUGGCAAUUCCCAUAACCACAGUAGUUUCUGAAUCCGCUUUUAGCACUAGUGGAGGGUUCUAAGUGAGCAUCACAGCCGUCUUACUCCACAAAUGUUGGAAGCUUUGAUGUGCAACCAAAGUUGGUUUGGUCACAAUCUUAAAGGUAAAGAAUUAUGCUUUUGAUUCCUACAGCUUGUCAAUGUUGUCAUCUCAUUCUAAUGAUCUUAUGGCAGUAGCUUACUAAUGUCGUCUUCUUAUUCCAAUGUGCAUUUGUAGGUCAAGAUGAUGGAAAGAUUGACACCUUUUGGUUCUACCUUGAAGACAUUGAAGAAGAAAUGAAGGAAGAACCUUGCAUCUCUAUCGUCGACUCUGAUUAAGCUUGAUGUUCAUUUGUAUCUGUUAUGUGAACAAUAUUUGUGUGAUUUGAGCCAUGUGUCUGUUGUUCUAGACUUGUCACUUAUGCUUGUUGAGCCAUAUUUAUUUGGCUUGUACUCUUAGUUGUGAACUUAAUAUGUGAACUUGUGCUGUUGUAUUGUGCAUUGGAUCUAUCUUCUGUGAUCUGGCUGGCGGGUAUGGGUGUGCCCGCGGGUGACAGGCGCGGGUUCAAGUUCGUACCCGUGAUGGGUCGCGAGCGCGGGUGCGGACACAGGGUUUGCCUCACGGGUGCGGGUUUGUAAACCCUCUGCCCGUGGGUAAUGUGCCCGUUGCCAUCUAUAAAGUGCAUUCUGCAGGAUAACAUGCUAGCCCGUUAAAAAUAAGUUCUACUCCCUCCGUCCCGCAAAGAGUGUUAGUUUAGAAAAUUUCAGAUACAUUAGUAGUGAUGAGAAAUAUUUAUGUUGCCCCUAAUAACUAAUGUUAAUUGUGAUUGAAAAUCGUACUGCCUGUUUAGUUUUAUGAAUCCUGAGUAAACUCGCGUGCAUUAAACCAGAGAAAUAACAUCAAUUGAUCAUUUGAUUGGCUCUACGCGCUUCCCCAUAUGUUUUUCUUUAUUGGUGUGAGUGUUGCUUAACUAGAUGAUGUUUACUAGGAGGUAAAAGGACACUCUUUGUGGAAUAAAUUUUGGAGUCUAAAUGGACACGGGACGGAUGGAGUAUGUAUCUACAGUACAUACAGAUCUCACAUGUCAAUACUAGCAAAAAGUUGUUGCCUCGAGUUGACCACUAUUAUUCGGUUCACACAUCUCAAGAACCGAUCACAUCUUUCAUUAAGUAAAGUCCACGGUGAUGCUCAUGCCUGCAGCUCUUGUUCAAACAAAUACCUAUGCCUAAACAAACAUCAUGUGGUAGCAGUAAAAGUCUAAUGGAGACUUUUUUUAAAUAAAGUCUAAUCAGAUCAUAUCAGAUACGAAAAUAAAAUCAGAUGUUGAUGUUGAUGGAUUUACUUCUCAAUGACAGUUGGAUGGGAGAAGAAAAGUUUAGUCCAAAAACUAAUGGUCGGAAAGCAUAAGGUACAAGGUGGGCUAGCCCUCACCCAACAAUACAAUCUCGUGGGUUGAGUUAGGCUAAUAUUAUUGUUGCUUGUGUACUCGGGUGGACCUAAUCCUCGUAUGGAGAGCUGGAGUUGAUUUGUUGUGUACUCUAAGGGCCCAGUUGGCACGUGGCUUUUCUCGGCUUGGGCUUCAACUGUUGUAGCAUUGGAAUGUUACUGCAGCACAUAGCUAUUUCUCUCCCUCGCAAUAAAAUAAAUUGGGAGCCGAUGAAGUCUGGUUUCUUUGUUUUCACCGGCUCCGUCUCCUCAUGCCAUUGUAGCAUCAAAAGAAGCCCUCCUAAACGUACGCCCUAACAGUUGUGUUAGUGGAACGGCAUCCAGCAAUGCACGAAUGCAGCACUUCUGCCAAAAACAUGAGCCUGCUGUCUGUCAGAUACACAUGUACACACCCAAAUAACCUAAUCGCUGAUAAUCUUUAGCAACAAGGGGUCAAACAAGGAAUUUAGUUACUUGUACACUUCUUCCAACGAACUUCAAUGUAGCCGUAAUUAAUUCGAUCGUAUUGGAAGUCAUAAACACAUAAUUAGCACUAUGCACUUAAGAUUAUGUUGUUUCUUUGACUUGGAACAAGUAGCUAGUGAACACUUGCGCGGACAACAUGCUAGCAUGCAGUUUGAAGACAGGAAGUGCAUUCUGCAGGACAGCAUGCUAGCCCGUUAAAAAUAUGUUCUACUCCUACAGUACAUACAGAUCUCACAUGUCAAUACUAGCAAAGUCGUUGCAUUGAGGGCAGUCCCAAUGGGACAUUGAUGAUAGUUUCUAUCCCUCUUAAUUAUCAUGUCAACUAAGCAAUUUGCUGAUGUGGCAGUAGAUUUAUUAUGGAGAGAGAGAAACCAUUUCUUAGAGAGGAAACCAAGUCCUCACGCGCACCAAUGAGCUAAGAAACCAGCGAUUCUGCAUUGGGGACCCAAGUAGUUUCUUCUUAAUUACUGCAGGAUCCUUUGCGCUUGCACCGCUGCUACCCAUCACUCGAGCUCCUUUACAUGAUGCACAGAGGAUCUGGUACUAGAAGGGAGAAUGAUUGGUUGGAUUUUUAUUUAGACUCUAGAUAAAAAAGUUGCAUUGUGAAGGAUGAUUUCUUGAUACAAUAUCCUAGACUAUGGAAACUAGGUUGGUUUCUCCCAUUGGACUGCCCUAACUUGAUCACUAUUAUUCAGUUCACACUUCUCAAGAACCGAUCACAUCUUUCAUUAAGUAAAGUCCACGGGCCACGGCGAUGCUCAUGCCUGCAGCUCUUGUUCAAACAAAUACCUAUGCCUAAACAAACAUCAUGUGGUAGCAGUAAAAGUUUAAUGGAGACUUUUUUUUUGAAAUAAGUCCUAAUCAGAUCAUAUCAGAUACGAAAAUAGAAUAUACCACGAGGCAAUCGAGGUAACAAAAAGAAGGAGAAAGUUGGUGAGAUACAACGAGAGGAUUACAGGUUGGUAGGCUGACACCCAAUUAAUGGUGCGUUCUUGGAAAAACGCAUCCACUGUCAGGCUACUUACUCUAGCGGUAGCAGUACCCUUAGUUGCGUGUUAGCUGUUAGCUCAAAGUUGAUGUGAAUCCUAUGUAUAAGAUAGCUUAGGAUCUGUUUGGAUACACACUCAUAAUCUUUAGGACUUCACUUUUAGUCCACUUUUAGGACUUGUGCAUUCAAACAUAUGUCAUAAAAGUGCAUUCAUAAUAUUUAGGGUCUGUUUGGAUACACCCUCAUAAACUUUAGGACACUCAUAAAGUUUAGGAGCUAGAAAUUGGUAGUCCUAGAAUUUAUGAGUGGGCUGUUUGGAUGGAAUCAUAAUCUUUAGGAUGUUGGAGGGGAAAUGACUUUUGUACCCCUAAUUACUCCACCCCUGCUCUGUUUCUAGCGCCGUGGAGAGAGAAGGGGAGGGGCAACAGGGGUAAAGGAUGGGUUGGGGACCACUUUUAGGAGAGAAAUGACCCAUUAUGAUGGUUUGGUCCUCCUAAUGAAAACAACACUCCUAAACAUUAUGAAUGCACUUUUAUGACAUAUGUUUGGAUGCACAAGUCCUAAAAGUGGACUAAAAGUGAAGUCCCUCACUACCCACGCUUUUGUANNNNNNNNNNNNNNNNNNNNNNNNNNNNNNNNNNNNNNNNNNNNNNNNNNNNNNNNNNNNNNNNNNNNNNNNNNNNNNNNNNNNNNNNNNNNNNNNNNNNNNNNNNNNNNNNNNNNNNNNNNNNNNNNNNNNNNNNNNNNNNNNNNNNNNNNNNNNNNNNNNNNNNNNNNNNNNNNNNNNNNNNNNNNNNNNNNNNNNNNNNNNNNNNNNNNNNNNNNNNNNNNNNNNNNNNNNNNNNNNNNNNNNNNNNNNNNNNNNNNNNNNNNNNNNNNNNNNNNNNNNNNNNNNNNNNNNNNNNNNNNNNNNNNNNNNNNNNNNNNNNNNNNNNNNNNNNNNNNNNNNNNNNNNNNNNNNNNNNNNNNNNNNNNNNNNNNNNNNNNNNNNNNNNNNNNNNNNNNNNNNNNNNNNNNNNNNNNNNNNNNNNNNNNNNNNNNNNNNNNNNNNNNNNNNNNNNNNNNNNNNNNNNNNNNNUGAUGUACUGAUCGACUAUGAUAUUAGUGAUCGUCCUAACUAAUCAAAGUACUGCGUACUGAGAGACUGAUCCACUCGUAGCGUGUCGGUGGACGUUGAUUUCGAAGCCUUCCAUUGCCUCAACGCGCUCCACCGGCUUAUUCUAUAGACUGUCGUAUGGGCAAGAGCACUCGAUGGUUGACUUGACUCUCUCCAUCAUGCAUGUAUAUAUCAGAUCAAUCUAAACAGCCCACUCAUAAAUUUUAGGACUACCAAUUUCUAGCUCCUAAACUUUAUGAGUGUCCUAAAGUUUAUGAGGGUGUAUCCAAACAGGCCCUUAGAAGGUUGUGCUGUGAAAGAAAAUUACAUCAAAAACUGAGCGAGACUAGCUCUUCACUCCACGCUUGUCUCGUACAUUUUGCACUGUUCAGCUACCUCUGAACUGAAUCAUUGGAGACGCUCCUACGAUGAUACAGGCAGUAUGUUCGUUUGUGAGCUUCCUUGGUCAUGUUGUUCAAUUCUGCUGGGUGUCCACCGUGUGUUGAUUGAUCACUUUCAUGUGUGAAGUGACUCGAACAAAAAAUCGAUCACUUGCACUUUGUGUUGAUCGAUCACUUUCCGAUGUUUCGCCGGACUAGAAGGCCAGCCCCUCCGCAGGCCAGGCGCAAUGCAAGGGAGAGGAAUUCCUUCAUCUGCUCUCCGUGGACUGAACCAUAAAUUAAUUAGCAAAGGAACAUUUUACUAUAAUACCCUUGCUUAACGUAAUUACUGUGGAGGGAACCUGAGGUUUUCCUUCCAAGCACAGUAAGUAGGCUAAUUAUCAUACAUUUUCCCAGCACAAUUUCACAGUAUUUCGCACAUGCAUGUGUAGUUUUGUAGGAGUUGGCCCCAGGCCUUGCGUGUAGCAUCCUUUUGGCAUCCCUCAACCUUAAUAAGACACCGUUUGCUGGUGGCAAGGCAGCUCUUUUUCAAUUCAUAAUCUUGUUGUCUAAAUUUUUUUACAACUGUUUGGGCAUCUAUACAAUUUAAGUAAAUAAAUCAACUGGAAACUUGUACAUCUCAUAAAAAGAUCGUCUCUAUGGGGCUCCUUUCCAAGAAAGUCAUGAAUUUUUUAAACAAACCGACAUUCAAAUGUGCCAGUCUGUAAAGCUAUUGAUAAAAUAAAGUAUUAAAUUGAGUUUUAAUAUUAGAUAACAUGACUAAUCAGUAUUUGGCCAUUAUCAAUGCUCAGUUAGCUAAAAUAUUUGGCCUACCAAUCAGAUAAGGUUAGACAUUGGAGGUUGGAAAACAUUCGUCCAGCAGAGAACUGAACGAUAUUUAAUACAGUUUUGGACAGAAUGUUUUUUCUGAAAUUUUGUAAAAGUUCCGAACUGGACUAAAAUUUGACAUAACAUUUUGUUCGACCAGACGAGAACAUGUAUGUUCAAUGUGCACUAGGGUCCACUGAGUUAAAGCUUGGCCCCUAGCUGAGCGUAGGGUGGUACCGUGAGAACCUCAAGGGACAUAAGCAUCUAAUCUAAGAGUUUUUAAGCAUUGAACAUAUGUCUUUUUUUUAGAAACCAUAGGAGAUCAUAUGGUUAUUUCCAUGUGGUUUAAUCGGUGAUCAACUGCAGUCCCUAGAGACCUAGAGAUGACAUUAGCUUCGACCGUUAUAUAUAUAUAUAUAUAUAUAUAUAUAUAUAUAUAUAUAUAUAUAUAUAUAUAUAUAUAUAUAUAUAUAUAUAUAUAAAGGGUAAAGGAAAAAGAAGAGGUUGUUAUAAGUGAAGAAGAUCAAUGGGAGAUCAAUAAUAAAAUUUUAUUAGAAAGUUAUGAAGAAGAGGAUGAAGAUAUGCCCCACAUAUAUAUAUAUAUAUAUAUGGACUUCUUUUUGAGGAGUCUUUUAGAAGUUUUUCAGAAAAUUGGAUACGAUUCUCCUAGAAAACAGAAUUCCAAAACACGUUUUACACGUAUAUAUCAUGACGGCAUGCAAUUUAUAUCCAUUUUUUGAGGUUCAAGACAGCAAGUGCUAAGCGACGUAGUUGGCUUUCUCCUCCUGCAUGGCCUCCGCGAGUUUGGACCACUUUGUGCGGACGGUGACCACCAGCAAUGAGCAGGCCUGGCAUGUCAGCCCACAUAUCAGCCCCACCCACAAACCCUGCAGAAAAAAGAAUAUACAACAACAAUACAGCAAUUAAGCUGGAAAUUUGGACAGUUUCGGACAAUACAGCAAUUCAUCCAGCAGAAAACUUAUCGAUUUAAUACAGUUUUGGACAGAAAUCAUUUUUGCUGAAAUUUGGUAAAAAUUCCAAACUACACAAAAAUUGACACAACAUGUUGUUCGACCAGACGAGAACAUGUAUGUUCAAUGUGCACUAGGGUCCACUGAGUUAAAGCUUUGCCCGUAGCUGAGUACAGGGUGGUACCGUAAGACCAGUCUAAGUGCACAGUUUCAUUGUCCAGUUAUCAAGAUAGAGAACGAGGUAACUGUGUCAGCUGAGUGUUAUGGAGAUGAAACUCCUCUCUCAUCUGAUGAAACUUCUCCUCUUAAUUACCUUGGCAAGUUAGCAAUUUUGCUGAUGUGUCAUUAAAUCUAAUACCAUGAAACUCCUAUGAAACCCUCCAUUAAGACUGGUCUAAGAACCUCGAGGAACAUAAGCAUUUAAGAGUUUUUAAGCCUUGGACAUACUUUGUUUUGUUAGAAACCAUAGGAGAGGUCUGAUGGUUCUAGCCACGUGGUUUAAUCGGUGAUCAACUGCAGUCACCGGAGAUGACAUUAGCUCCUUUUUGAGGUGGAUGGUCAGAAGCUUCUUUUUGAGGAGUCUUUUAGAAUUUUUUUCAGAAGACGGGUUACUGUCACACCUGGUUUUAAAAUAAAACCAACUACUACCUAUAUGUCACACCUGGUUUUAAAAUAAAACCAACUACUACCUAUAUGUAUUUCAGAAUCUAGUUUCAUACAUAUAGUGACAUCAUAAGUGAAUAACAGUCCAGUAUCAAGUAAAUGAAUAUAAAUAAUGACUUACGGGUCUAUCAGAGAUAUACAGCUUAAUCUGAGAAACAGAGGCUCCAAACUUCACAGACAAUCUACUGGGGGUUGCGUACGCUUAGAAUUCAGCAUCAUCUUAAGAAAACUUCACACACCCUUCCUCUUCUGAGUAGCAGUAAGUAAGCGUGAGUACACUUAUGGUUGGUACUCAGUAAGGCCACAAGAAAUAGCCAGAAUAACAAUUUAAAUCCAUCUUCAAGUUUAUUAAUCAUGUGAGGGUCCAGGCCGCUCUUGACCAUGAGCACAGCUGUUAUAACAAUUUUACACUCUGCAAAGAUUGUACACUUUCACCACAAGUCGCGUAAAAGUUUAGAAGAACUUUGGAACCAACGAUGCUAUGCAAAAGUAGGCACUUAUCACACUACCGAGGUGUGACUGUAUAGGGAUGCUACGAGACCUUUACAAAGAUUUCCUAGUAAGGAUAACUCGCUAAGGUUUCAUGAUCAACGCAAUGCAUAAACCUCUCGCAAACUGCAAAGCUACCAUAGAGCAGAUCAGUUUGAGGGCCGAGCUAUAUACCAACUAUUGUCUCCCCCUUUUGCUCCUUUCAGGCAAAGCUACCACAAACUAGAGUUUCUAAUUAAUUUUCUAAGACCAAAGCCAUGUGAUUCUUAUCGUUGCACUGUUUUCCUGGGUGGUUCUCCAAUUAUGACAUGGUGGUCUUGUAAAUAAGCAUAGAUACAAGGAUAGCUAAGGACACUUGCCUUUCUCCAACGAAAAGUUACUCUUACUGCUCUUCAGCUCUUGCUCUCUUGAAACUCUUAAUCUUCAAAUCUUUUGAACAACAAUCCUUCUACUUGAAGCAAUCAUCAGGUCCCAACAUACAAAGCAAACAAACAAGUAUAAUUAAGAACAAUACACCAAUCAAAGAGAAAAGCUUUAACAGAGUGUACUAAAGAAUAGGGCUUGAUUCUACAAUAAGGAAGGCACAUAAAACACUAAGAAUAAUGAUACCGUUGAAAUAUACAUCUACCGAGAAACUUUUUGUACAGAAAAAGACAAGAGCUAUAUGCUGAAGUUAUUUUAACUAGAAAUCAUAUUUUAACUAUAAAAUAUCCUAAGUUAGAGUUGAUUCAAAUUAUAUUUUUAUCUGAAAAGAUGAUGUAAAACCUAGUAAACUUUUAUUUAUAAAUAUUCAUGUACAAAUUAUGCCAUUUAAACAUUUAACUUUGGAAAAAUAAACUAUAUGUAAUAAUAUCUAAUCAAUAACUUUAUAUGUCGCAUUGAAUAAAACAAGUUAUAAUUAGAAACUCAUUCACGUUGAUGUUAAUCAUAUUAACACUUGCUUAAAGAAAACCGUUGUAUAAACCUAAUUAGCUUUUAAUUAGAAAAAGCUAAGUAAAUAAGCAUUAAUUAAAAUUAAUACCAUACUUAUUUUCAAAAACACGAAACAUGGCGAAACAAUGUUGCUAAACUAUAGCUUAUGAUUAGAAGAGUAACACAGCAAGAACCGACUAGAAUGAAACUUUGGUCGAGAAGAUACAUUAUCAAAAGAUUUGGGUUCAUAAAAGAAAAGAAACUAUGUGCUUCAUACAUUUUAAAUGUAGAAAUCAAUGUGGAUGAUAUUUUAGAGAAAUAUCCUAUGUUAGAAUUAACUCACAUUAUAUUUAUAUUUUGAAAACAUGAAGUAAAGCUUAGUCAAAAUUUAGUUACAAAUGUCCAUGUAUAGUUUAUACUACUUUAAACAUUUAAUUUGGAAAAGAUAUCACAUGUGGGAACAUCUAAGCGCAUAACUUUAUGAUUCAUGUUGAACUAACUAAAUUAUAAUUUAAAAAUACAUUUAUAUUUAUAUUAUCCAAAUUAACAUUUAAUUAUGAAAACUCGAGAUAUAACCUAUGUAGCUUUUAUUUAUAAAACAAAUUGAGUUUAAUUUAUAAAAAUCUGAGGUAUAUCUCUAAUUAGCUUUUAAUUGAAAAACAUUUAAGAUGAAGCAUUAAUAAAAUUAACAUUUAUUAUGCAAAGCGGUGUAUAACACUAAAUACCUUUUAUUAAAGACAACAUAUUUAAUAGGUGUUAACCAAAUUAAUAUCAAAUUUAUUUUCAAAAAUAUGCAAUGAUGGAAAACAUCACCAUUGACGUGUAAUUUAUGUUGUUAUGAAUCUAACGCAACUUGAAUGGAUAGAAACGGAGCUAAAACUUGUAAUUUAUGGAUUAAACAAGGUUCUAAGGACCUAAAUAGAAUUAACUGUAGAUACCAGGGGCUAGCAGAGAAGAUUUGCAAGAUAGAGCAAACAGUGCUUGUAAAGAGGAAAAAGGUUAGGACUAUAUCUAUAAAAACUCUCAGGUAGGACUAGGGUGUAGAGAUUUUAAGGUCUUCAGGGGUUUGUCUACAAAAAAACCAAGACACAGGGAACCUUGGACUAUUUACAGAUUUCGUUAGGGGCUUCAUCGCAAAGAGCUCGAGAGGGCUUUUGGCCGGCCAAAUCGCUGGCGCUACGGGCAAUUUGGAGCUCGGCCAAGGCAGGGAAGAUGAAGAGGAGGUCGAGAGGAACUUGUAGGGUAGCUCAUCGUCGGCGGAGAGUCACGGCAUUGCCAGGAAUCUGGCGGCAGAUAGAGGAUGGCGGCCGGCUCGGGCCAUCAUGGGCGGCGAUGUUCCAGCGGUGGGAAGGUGAUGAGAACGAGCGGCAGAUGUGCAGCAUGAGGAAGGGAAGCACGAGGCGAUGUCAGCUUGCUCUAGGGAUGUCGGGAGGCGUCAAAUCGAAGCGGUGGCGGUGCUAUGCUCCUCCUACUCCAGGCGGCAACGCUCGCCCCGUUUGCUCGGAUUGCGGUGGCACUGGGCGAGGCAGCAAGGCAGUGGCAAUGCAUGCACGGCAGGGGCAUGCGGGGGUCAGGUGCUACGUUUUAUAGGGACGCGGGGCGGCCACGGCUUAGCGCGCAUGCCAAGGCUGGCCAGCGACAGCGGCAGCAUGCUGCGCUGUGGCCGUUGGCCCAGAUGGGCCUCGACUACAUCAUCCAUGUAGGCUUCUACGUUGAAGUGUAGUUGCGAUGAGAUCCUUUGGAUUUCUUGUUUUGACGACUACAUCAUCCACGUAGGCUUCUACGUUGUGCUGUAGUUGCUUCUCAAAACACAUCUGGAUUGCGCGUUGAUAUGUUUUACCUGUGUUCUUCAACCCGAAGGACAUUGUCUUGUAACAGAAAGCUCCAAACGGGGUGAUGAAGGCAGUUUUGGCUUGGUCUUCUUCCUUGAUUGCUAUCUGAUGGUAACCUGAGUAGCAAUCGAGGAAACAGAGUAGUGCACAACUAGCUGUGGAGUCGACGACUUGGUCGAUCCUGGGUAACCCGAAGGGGUGUUUGGGGCAGUGCUUAUUGAGGUCUGUGUAGUCUACACACAUCCUCCACUCAUUGUUGUUUUUCUUACGAACGAGUACUGGGUUGGCUAGCCAAUUAGGGUGGAAAACUUCCUUGAUGAAGCCAACUACGAGUAGUUUGGCUAGUUCUUUCUUGAUAGCGUCUCUCCUGUCUUGAGUAAAUCUUCGUAUCCGUUGCCAUUUAGGAGUAGGUUUGGGAUCAACAUUUAGUGAGUGCUCGAUCAGUUCCUUGGGCACACCUGGCAUAUCAGCCAAUUUCCAAGCAAAGAUGUCUCAGUUAGCCUGAAGGAAACUGAUGAGCGCGCUUUCCAAUUGGGGAUCCAGCCCUAUGCUAAUGAGGGUUGUCUUGGAUGAAUCACCAAUCUCUAGGUCAAUGGGCUUGGAAUCCUUGUUUGUUGCUAGCUUGACCUUGGCCACCCCCGCCUUGUUCUCUGGAAUCUCGAGUUCUGUUGGGGUGAGUUUUUUCGAGACUGUGAAGACUUGUUGCAUGGGACUAGGUGCUUGAGAAGUCGCAGCGAUUUCGAUGGCUUCUGCGUCGCACUCAUAGGAUCGCCUCAGGUCUCCACAUAGUGUGAGUUCACCUUUUGGUCCUGGCAUCUUGAGCAGUAGGUAUGCGUAGUGUGUUAUAGCCAUGAAUUUAGCUAGAGCUGGUCUUCCGAGGAUGGCGUGGUAAGAAGUCUCGAAGUCAGCGACCUUGAACUUAAUGUACUCGGUGCGAUAAUGUUCCUUUGUACCGAAGGUGACAGGUAAGACGACUUGCCCUAAUGGGAUAGCGGCGUUGCCUGGAACAAUUCCGUAGAAAGGAGAAUCUAUUGGAGUAAGCAUAUCAGUUAUGUCGAGGCACAUUUUCCUCGAGGUUUUGGCGAAGAUGACGUUGAGUCCACUACUAGCAUCGAUGAGUACUUUUGUUAGUCUUAAGCCUGCGAUAACUGGGUCGAGUACCAAGGGAAAAGGCCUGGCUCUGAGAAGUUGGUCCAUUGAUCCUUUCUGCUGAAAGAAAUUGGCACCUCGGACCACUUGAGUGGGGUGGGAGUCGCUGGCUCGAUGGCCAUGAUCUCUCUGAGCACUAGCAUGUUGGACCACUUCAAUGUGGUACCUGGGAUUCCGCCAAAGAUGACGUUGACAUUUUUUGAUGCGACUUAAAAUUUGUCUUCGCCAUCAUCGGUUUCGUCCACCUUGCCUUUGCCUUUGUCUCUGGAGUUUGCGGUCAAGUUUUUUUUAUUAUUUUUGGGCGGAGGAGCUUUGGGUAGUUCUUGCAUUACUCUACGGAGGCUCUAGUAGUCUAUUGCGGAGUGGUUACUGUGUGGAUGCCAUGGGCAUUGCUUCUUGAGUAAGUCGCUGAAUGAGGGGCUGUCAUUGUGUUUGUUUGCCCCUUUUUUGUUUGAGUUGGUAAGUGUUGCAACGGUGUUGUCGGGUUUGCGCUUGUGAUUCUAGUGACCCGAGGUAAUUGUUUCAGGUAUCAUUGUUGCGAUUUCUGUCUAGGUUUUGGUUGUUACCUUGGCUGUUGUUGUUGUUGCCCCCACGGUUGCGAUCAAACCUCUCACGUUCUUUGUCCUCCUCGUCUGCCCACUGCUGUACCAUGAUCUUCAAGUCUUUGACACUCGUAGGACAGUGUCUGCCAAAAUCUUGGUACAUGCGUUGGUCCUAGAGUCCAUUUUGAAAACAUUCAAUCACGUCUCCCUCUGAGAUGUCGACAAUCGUAGCCUUCUUCUCGAAGAAAUGACGUAGGUAGUCGCGCAACAAUUCGCCUUCCUGUUGUUUGACUUGGCUUAAGUCAACUUUGUUGCCUGGAUGUUGCAUUGAUCCCGUAUAGUUGUUGGUGAAAGCUGUUUUCAAUUCUUCCCACGAGUCGAUUGACUUGGGCUUGAGAGACUCGAGCCAAGUCAAUGGCGCGGGUUCCAUCCAUAUGGGAAAGUAGAUGACUUUUGUCUCGUUGUUACCCCCAGCUAUUUGGACUGCUAAUGAGUAGCAUCGGAGCCAUUGGACCGGGUCUUGUUUGCCAUCGUACUUGUUGAUUCCCAUUGGUUUGAACUUGUCGGGUAAUUUAGUAUGCAUGACUCGUGUGGUGAAGGUGGGGAAGUAGUCGGGAACAUCGGUUUCUGCUUCUCAUUCACAAUGACGGUUUCUGAUUAUGUCCCGAUCAUCGUGAUUCUGGUUGAGUACUUCCCUGAGAUCACUCAUGUAUGAAUGUUCCCGAUUGGUUCUAUGGCGAUGAGGACUUUGUGCGGAGUUGGUGUGACUAGCUUCUCCCGCACCUUUGUUUUUCUGUGGUGCUUUGGGUGCACCGCCACGUCUUGGAGCAUCUCUGCUACCAUUGUGCUGGCUAGAGUUGUGGUGUACAGAAGGGAUUGGUGACUCCUUGUCGAGCAACUGGUAAGCAUUUGCCACGAGUUGUGCUAUUAACUUGUUGCCUCUUCAUGUGAGUUGUACCGCGAGCUUGUUGUCUAUGUCCUGAGGUAUGAGGGUUGUUAAGAGAUUGAUCGAGGUGAUUGCUGUGAGUGGGGUGUUGUGCUCUCGUGCUUGUACUGCAUCGAAUGCUCGCUCGAGAUUCACAAUAGGUAUGCUUGCGAAAAGUAGUCGGCGACGUUCUACUCGAGUAGCGUUGCGAUUUCUUCUUUGAAUUCAUUGCUCACUUGUUGCAUCAUCCGGGGCAUUGGCUGAGAGCUCAUCAUCAGAGACUUCUUCAUGUUGUCCUACCCGUCGAGGUGUUCUGUGGUGCUCGUUAGUCGAGGUGUUUUGUGGUGAUGGUUACUAGUCGCGACUUCGUCGUGUGGUGACAUGACAACAAAGAGUUCCCUAUCUGAAUAGUAGCAUCCUAAGCUUGAGGUUGCAAUCUCUGUGGCGCUAUCUUCUCCUCGGAUUGGAGUAAGUGGAGUGCCCUGUUUAUAUGGGAGGGUACCCAUGUGGGCGACUAGGCAUGACUCGUAGUUUUGGGUAAGGGAUGAUGGCUUCAUCCCUGGCCAAUAAACGAAUUUGCCUUGCGAUGUGGAUGUGAUAACCAAACCUUGUGCUGGGUCUGAUGAAGGGUGUUCUUGAACGGAGUCCGAGUUGUAGUCGUAGUCCUCAACUGUUUCUUGUCCUGAUUGGACUCGAGUGAGGAGUUCUUGGUGGACCCUGGCUGCGUUUCGGAACCCGAACGGGAAUCAACUUCGAUUUGAAAUCGACUUGCAAGGUGACUUGGAUACUAACCUGCGUGGGCUAGUCCGAGUCGAGGUCGAGUCCAAGCUGUAGUCGAACUCGAUGCUGUUGACGUUGAAAUUUUGGAUUCUCUCAAUGGAAUUUUCCACUUCUUGAUGAAGAGGGUUUUCGUUCAGAUGCUUCUUCUCCAGCUUCUCGAUGAUGCAACGUUGGAAAUUUCCAAAGCCAUCAACGAUGCAGAGCAAGGAGCCGAAGAUGAAAGUUGCGCCCACCUCGAAAGCAAAUGCAGGUUUGAUGAUGGUUGGUGCCAUCGAUCUCGCGCGGAGAAAUUCGGCGACUCCCCCUACCUGGCAUGCCAGCUGUCGGUGUUUUAUACCGGUAACCCGCCUAGGGAGUACCUGAGGUGGUGUUUCGUGCGGUGGGUGUCGCCGAGAAUCAAGGAGUCGAUGGUGACACAGGAACACGAUUUACACAGGUUCAGGCCGCUAGAUCGCGUAAUACCCUACAUCCUGUGUAUGGAUUGUAUUGAUGAGUUGUGUUGCUUGCAGGGGUUCCUUGCCCACCCUUAUAUAGUCGGGGGAGCAUGGUUACAGGGUAGGAGUCCUAGUCGAACACGGUCACAGAGUCCUACUCGGUGAAGUAGUUUCCUUGUGUAUUCCGACUAGUCUUCAGGAGUCCGUGUAGGCUACGUUACCCUGCAGCGCAGCCUCAUGUCCUAAUCACGUCCAAGUACGCCCCUUGAGUGGGCUAUACAAGGCCUACUCGUGGACCCAAGGAUGUAUGCCCGACAGGGCUAGCUGGGUCGAGCCCAAGGCUCGGCCCAGAGGGAAAGGAUUUGGCUCUAGAAAAAAAUAAGAAUAAAUUAUAGAAAAAGCUGGAAAAUUUUCUCAGAAGGGUCUGGACAUCAUAUAAACGCAUAUUAAAACCUUUUGCACUCAAAAAAUACUAAGAUGCAUUGGUCUGAAUACAACACACAGAGCAACACUAUUUAAUUUAAAAAACAACCAAUUAUUUUUCCUAUACUACAUUUCCUGUCAAGAAAAUAAAUGUUGGGAAAAUUUUAAAAUUAUGAUAAAAUCAUUGUUUAAUUGUUCUUUCUAAUCACAUCCUGAAAUCCAAAAAUUUCAGGGCGUGAUAGAUACGAUUCUCCUGCAAAACAGAAUUCCAAGACACGUUUAAUUUUAUAUUUAUAUAUCGUCACGGCAUGCAAUUUCUAUCCAUUUUUUGUUUGGUCAAGAUAGCAUGUGCUAAGCGACGUAGUUGGCUUUCUCCUCCUGCAUGGCCUCCGCUAGUUUGGUCCACUUUGUGCGGACAGUGAUCACCAGCAAUGAGCAGGCCUGGCAUGUCAGCCCACAUAUCAGCCCCACCCACAAACCCUGCAGAAAAAGAAUGUAAAUGCAGCAAUUAAGCUGGAACGUUGUCGUUGGCAAGAAAUUGAUUCACUUUAAUUUUUAAUUUUUACAAGUACCUUGGUGUGGAACUUGAAUUUGAAGGAGAAAAGGAUGGCCAGCGGCAUUCCGAUUAAGUAGAACGCCACAAGGUUGGUCAUGGCCCCCAUGUGCUGCCACCCACAGCCCCUCGACACGCCUGACAGGACGCCCUGUGCAGCGUCGAGCACAAUGGAGAUCAUCAUGAGCGGGGUGAUGGCCGCGAAUUCCGAGAUGAUCCUCGAGCUCCUACUGAAGAGGCUGGCCCAUAGGUUGUGGCCGAACGCCAGCAACAGGACGAAGGAGACGGCGAGGAACACUGAGAGCUUCAACGUCACGGAUACCGCAUUCUUCGCCUUGUCCACAUUCCCCGCACCGAUCUCGUUCGACACCCGUGUGCUGCACCAAACAUUAAUCCAUGACCCAUCAUGCGUGAAAUAAACACAAUGGUACAAGAACAACUGUGGCUGAGAAGGAAGAAGCAUAUGGAAUUCGUUCAGACAGAACCGGGCUGGCAUGUGAUGUAACGCACCUUACGGUGGCACUGAACCCAACUGUGAUCAUGCACGCAAUCGCCUCAGUGCUAACGCUGCACACAAUUUGCAGGCCAUGUACGUCAUCGUUGGGCUCACGUUGUUAGUUUAAUUUGCAUAUCUGAAGAUCAAAUAAAGACUAUCGUAAUAUAAAGGUAUUUACCAUAUGGCGAUCAGCGGCGUAGCCACGGUGGGAUGGGGAAGUAAACCAGCUAUGAGCACCAGGAGCUCGAACGCCCAUAACUCCAAGCUGCAGCCGGAAUGUCUCACCGGUCAUGAUUCAUGAAUGUCACUGGCACGAGGAACACGAUACUGUAUGUCACUGGCAAGAUGUACACUUACCAGACCAUGAUGGCAGAUGGCGUUGCGAGCUUCACGGUAGGCAACACGUACAUGAAGGCGUCGGCAGAAAACCCUCUCCAUGUUUCACAGAACUCCUUGGAGAUCAGCACAUAGGCGAACAGCAUCAGGCAGCAGACCCAAAACGUUGCUGAGACCGCCGCGGAAGCGCCCGCGAGCCCCAGGCCAAACACGUUCACCAGCAGGUGCGCCAGGGCGACAUGCAGGACGAACGGCACCACGGAGCAGACGACGAGCGGUAGUACCACGGACUGCGUCUGAAGGUAUCGGAGCAGGCAAUGCACGAAGGAAAACGCAAAGAGACCGGGUAUCUGGGCCUGCACAAAAAUCCCAGCAGCGUGGGACACUUCGGGGUCCUGCCGGAGGAGAAGCAGCAGCGGCUCCGUGAAGUACCAAAGCACGGAGAUAAGCAGGGAUGCGGCAGCAGACAUGAUGAACGACGACUGCAGGUACAGGCCCAGCAUGCGGUACAGCCGGGCGCCGUACGCCUUCCCACAAAGCGUCUCCAGGGCUCCGCUCAGGCCCAUCUGGAAAAUAGCAACGGUCACAUCAUUUCGAUCAAAAUAUAUGAUUUGUUUGUUGAUUCUACAAAAUUUCAUAGUGAUAUUUUAACACCAUUACAAGUACAUGUUUUCUUCAUUUUCUUGAUUUCUGAAAACCAUUUAUCAGUAUAUAUAUGAUUUUUUUCUACCAAAUUUGUGGUCGUAAUUAAUUAAACAUGUGAGUUUUUCUAUUUAGAAUUGUUUAGAGAGAGGAUGAGAGAGAGAAUAAAGGAUUGACAUAAUUAUGUUAGGUUUAAUGCUACUAGAAAUAUAUAUUAUUUGUUUUCAUAUGAAGGUUGUGCUUGCCUUCUCAAGAAAUAGCAUGUAGUGUGUGUGCGCUAAUAACUAUUUUUUUCAUAUAUCCUAAAGAUGAAGAAAACCGCGACGCGAAAGUGCAUUAGCGAUGGAUGCUUGCCAAUCUCUUCAUAUAACUGGGCGUAGUAAGCAUGUCUAGUGAUGAAUAUAUGUAAGACAUAUANNNNNNNNNNNNNNNNNNNNNNNNNNNNNNNNNNNNNNNNNNNNNNNNNNNNNNNNNNNNNNNNNNNNNNNNNNNNNNNNNNNNNNNNNNNNNNNNNNNNUGUCCCCAAGGCACACCUCCAUUCCUACGGGCCCAUAUAUAUUAUAUAUUCGUGUUUGCGUUUGUUAUGUAAUGAGAUGGGAAAUAUAAAUUUAUAAAUUGGCAACAAAUAACUAUAUAAAAAUGGGUAGAACCAUUUGAAUAUUCAAAAUAGUGCGUCUAUUCAAAAUAGUACAAAUUGAUUUGUGCAGCGGUUGGCUUAACAGAGUAGCGACACUUAUAGAGAGACACUUAUUCGUAUCAAUUUUGGCUUAACAGAGUAGCGACACUUGUAGAGAGACACUUAUUCGUAUCAGCUCAUUAGUGCUAGCCAUAAAAAAGCCGGCACGAAUAAGUUAUUCGUGCUGGUGUCUAAUAGAGCCUUAAUGGAUAAUCCACUAUCCGUGGAGCCGGCACGGAUAAUUCUUAUUUGUGAUGCACGGAUAGUCAUCUGGAUUAUUCGUUCCGGCUCGGGUAUGGACUUCAAAAAAUUCAAACUUUUACAUAUGGACUCAGAUUGCGACAAGCUUUAUAUGGAAGUGGUAUGUUUCAACAAGAUUUAAAACUUUGUAGUUUAACGAUUUUUAAUUUGAAAUCAUUUAGAUGCCCAAAGUUAUAACUUUAGCAUACCUUUUGCGUCCAUAUCAUUUGAAUUUUGUGUUUUAUUUGGAAAUUCAUAACUUUGUGAUAUGGACUAGCAUAAAGGCAUAUUUAUAUGAAAGUUAUAGAUUUCAACCUGAUCUACAACUUUGUAGGUGAAAGUUUUCAAUUUAAAGUUGUUCAUAUGUCAAAUAAUUUCAGCUCUUGUUUCCCCCUUUAUUCUCAUCCUUCUAAGUUGAAUUUUCUAUUGUGUUUGGAAAUUUGUAACUUCUGCAUAUGGUUUCAGAUGGAGAUGAACAUUACAUGGAACUUGUAGGCUUCGAUGAGAUCUACAACCUUGUAGUUAAAAGUUUUUUAUUUAAAUUCAUUUAUGUGCCAAAAUAAUAGAUAAAAGCUUUAGGCAACACGGGUCAAAAGGAAUAGAACUUUAUUAUGCGUGCAGAUAUCUAGCGUAGGUAGAGUGGUAGAGAUGUAUCGCGCGGGUCAAAAGGAAUAGAACUUUAUUAUGCGUGCAGAUAUCUAGCGUAGGUAGAGUGGUAGAGAUGUAUCGCGCGAGAUCGGAGGUUGUGAGUUCGAAAAUCGGACACUGCACGCGCAGAUAUUUCAGGGGUGACUUGGGACCGUGAGCUUAGCUCAGGGUGCCUCAUAAACAAUAUUUUUUUUGCUAUUUUCGUUUGUAAAUUGCUAUUUCUACUACCUGCGUCGGUGUGUUAUCCCACCGACAUGUAUAAUCCAUUAUUCGUGUCUGCUUCGACAUUGCCAUGAACAACCAACCUAAUUCGCAUAGAUGUCGUGGUGCCAGUCCCAUAACCGGUACGAAUGAGGUUUUCACGCCAGCACGAAUGAGUUCUGCAGUAGCGGUCAGGCAUUCACUAGCAUAUAUCGUCAUUUGUAUAGGUUGAAGGUUGCUGGCGCAAACUGGUUUUGAUUACCGUACACAAGUAGUUUCUACAGUUGUCGACAACAAGGUUCGGUGGAAGUUGUGGUACACAGUUUCCGUGGUUGUGCCAAGAGUCUGGUAAGGAGGUUCACAUGGUGGAGGAGUAGGGCGGGAAUCUCAACAAAAGAUAUGUUGGAUCUUAAGCUACUGUAACUCGAGGCAGAUCACAUUGUAAAGCUCUACUAGAGAAAAGGACACCUGUACUCAACGAACAUGUAUUUGGACCCAGCAUUAAUGCUAGGGUCUAAAUUUGAUCAUCCCGGGAAUCCUUUCCCAACCUGUAUUAAGAUCCUGUCUGGUUCCGAGCUCCUAAAAGUUUUAGCAGCCUUCUAAAAACUCCCAAAAGAGUGUUUAGGUCCACCUCCUAAAACUGACUAAAGGUAAUAAAUGCACUCGCAAAAGGACCAUGAUGCCCCUCCCCAUGCCCCUGUCCCUGGCCGCAGCUUGUCCAGCGACGUCGGCCUCCUCUUCCUCUCCGGCGACUCAGGGUUGAAAUGCGCCGCGCCGUGCCCGUGAUGCCGCGGCUCAUGUUCUUGAUUACAUUGACAAAGAAACCAGUCACGCACGUCACCAUACAUCGAGCACAAAAAUGGUGCCCAAGAACUCGGAGACAUCGAGGAGGCUAGAGGACCCUCUCUAUCCUGCCCAUCGCCCAGUAGCUAGGCACUCUGCUGGCACCAUCACCACCGCCACGAUGGAGGCCAGACAGUUCAUCGCAGACCUCUCGCCCACCCGCAAGCUCACCCCGGUGCCGUUGCUGCCUCCGCCGGGUCUAGGCGCGAAGGGGUGGCGGAUCUGGUUGGGGAGGGCGCAGAUCGGAGGGGGAGUGAGCAGGCGCUGACACCGAGGAGGAGCGGGAGGGCCACGGCGGGCCCGUGCGGUGGUGCAAGGGAGCGGGGGCGGCAGAUCUGGCGGGCGCCGACGUGAAGGAGGGAGGGAGCGGUGGCAGGGGUGACGGAUCCGGUGGCGCGAGGGGGCGGGGGCGGCGCGAGGGGGAGUGGAGGGAGGGAGCGACAACGGGGUUGUGGAGGGAGCAGGGGCGGGCCCGUGCGGCAGCAGCGGGCAGAAUGGCGGCAGGCUGCUAGGCGGGAGGGAGGGUGGGAGAGAGAGGGGGGACAGGGCAAUAAAGGAUGGGUAGUGGGGGUUCAGGAUGGAUUUUAGGUACUUUUAGGAGGAGGUGGAGCUCCUAAAGUUUUUGGCCCUUCCUAAAGUUUUUAGGAGCUUUUAGGAGGGGGGUGUUUGGUUCUUUAGGCAAAUUUUAUCCAGAUUUUAGCUCCUAAAGUUUUUAGAGGGGUACCCAAACAGGACCUAAACCUACCAUUUCAAACCAGUUGCUAUUACCAUCCUUUACUAAUGCUCCUCGAAACUAUUACCACUUGAUGUAACCAUCUGGUAAGUACCUGUUGAUGUAAUCAAUAGAACUAAAAGAUCCUCUAGAGAUGACAUUAAAAAAAGCAUUUCUUAUCCAGGGUUGUAAAUAUUUUUUUGAUAUUUUUUACCGACUAGUACUAAAGGUGACAGAUCUGAUAUUAAAGGUCGGAACUUUUCGUCUUGGUUUUUUUGUACCGUUUCAAAAUUCAAGAGUAAAGGAGGGUUUGGAACCAAUACAUAAGCCAUAAUCUCCAAUAAUAGUGAGACCAAUAUGCUCUCCAUGCAUAUGAUGGAUGUGGUGGUGGCAUUUGCAGGGACCGAUAUUACAAGGGUGGUGGUGCAGAGGCGGCAUGAUCAUGAGAGGUAGAUUGCUUGAAUAUAAUGUUACAUAGAGAUGCAUCGGUGGUGCGAUUGUGGAUUGCGUGGUGAUAGAGGAGAAUUGUUGCGGUGGAGGUCGAUCUUAUGGGCGCUAUCGCGGCGUUAGUUGUUUUGAUGGCUCAUGUCGUGAUGGCCGACGAAGUCCACAAUGAACCUGAUGAGCAGGUUCAGGCACGCAAUGCCUAGAUGAAGCAGCUUGAUAAACUGGAUGUAUUGGUUUUUGUGUAAAUACUGCUAUGCUGUUGUUAAACUCAUAUUUUCAUAUGUGGAACAAUAGGUCAAAAAAAUUAUGCUACCCCAUCACACAAAUAUAGCUUUGUUCAGGUGAUCAUUUCCAUUCCUCCAGAGCUAAAGGUUCAUUCAGAAUUCGAUUACUUACAUUCCAAAAAUGCUAAACGCAGAGACUAAAUGGUGAGCAAUAAGCAAUUUAGUAGAAGGUAGGCUUUGUACGUACAACGAAGGCGUAGCCGGUGACGGUUGCCCAGGAGUUGCCGAGCGUGGCGCCGGCGAGGUGGACGUCGCCGAGGUGGCCGGAGAACAUCACCGACACCAGCGGAAUGCCGUAGUAGGCCAUGUUGGUGAGCACCAUCGGCACCGCGAAACGCAGCUGCGCCUGCGCCUCCUCCGUGUCAACUAUCCGGCCAAGCCAUGCUAACCAGCAUGGUAGCUGCUGCUCCCCUCCAACUUUGCCGGCGGCGAGGUCAUCGCCCUUGCAGCGGUCGCCGAGCAGCGGAGCCGACGACAUGUCGCUGGGUGACGUGGAGCUAUCGGCCGGGUAGACAGGUUCACCUCCUAGCUCGCUGAUAUUGGUAUAUAGGCUAUGGAUCAAGAAGUGCACCGUGGUUGUGUUGUGCAUUUCUAGCCGGAUGAACGUGGCGCAAAGUUGGUGGAUAGUGUGGAAUAUUUGAGAUCCGAUGGACGCAGAUUUUGUUAAUUUUUAAUUUGAAACAUUUAUGAAACUGGUCCAUGUUCAUUUAUGUCGAUUUGUGUGCGUUUGGUCUGCUGGCCAGCUAGAGCAGGUCAUUCUCACCCUUCCAUUGACCAGCAUCUCGAUCGAUCUUCUCACGUGCCUCGCAGCCAUCGCCGGUGGUUGACAGGAUUAUGGUGUCCUUAAUUAAUUGUUGUAAGUCGAUAAUCUUAAAAGAAAUAUGAAGUUGGCUGAGCUAUGUUGUUCUUGUAUACUACUCGCAAAGGAAGUCGUUUUAGACAAGGCUUGGGUCAAACAUUGGAAAUAUAAAUCAUGAAUAACUUUUAAGUUGUUGAGUUUGGAAAUGUAAAAGUCAUAUAUAUAGAUUUGUCUUGAAAAAUGCUUUCAUUAAAAUAUACAUAUAUCACUUUUUGAUAAAUAUUUUUAUAAAAAUAAAGAGUCAAAGUAAUACUUUGGAGACCGUGUUGCUGUUCAAAACGACUUCCUUUGUGAGUAUGGACGGAGUACUCACUAUGUAGAAAAUAAUAUCAUUUUGAGACAGAUUUUUAUAUAUAAGUAUAUAACGUCAGUAAAAUUUAGAGUACUUAGGCAUCUUGUAAUGUUUACAAUUAUCCGUAAGAGAUGGCAAACUGAGAUGAGACGACAUGUGGCACAAUGUGUUUACAGGGAUGGAUGAGUGAUUAAUUAGAUUUAAUUCGACCGAUAUCAUAAAAUAUUUGUUAAUUAUAAAGUACUUUCUCCGUUUCAAAUUGUAGGUUGUUUUGAAUUUUUUAGAUUCAUAGAUAUUAUUAUAUAUCUAGACAUACACUAUAUCUAGGUAUAUAUAAAAAAAAUAUGCACCUAGAAAAUCCAAAAUGAUGUACACUUUAGGAUGGACGGAGUAGGUAAUUUUAUAGUGAUUAGUGAUAAUGCUAUGAUCAUGGAGCAAUCUUGUUUAAAUAACAUAUGUGGCCAAAAGGAAAUAAGAUACCAUGGGAAGUUGAGAUACAUGAAUAGGCAAAGCAAAAUUAUAGCGGAAUGAAAACACAUAAUUGACGGAUGGUGGACUGACAAAUUUGACGAUCUCAGGCGCAACGUUGACAGACAAUGCUCGAUUGUCUCCAUGAUAUUAAUGUAGUGCCACAUGGAGUUUUGGAUGAUGUGACACUAUAUUAAAUGAGAGGUAAAGAAAAAAGAACAAAUUAGAUCUCAUGCAAGAUAUUGUUCCAACAAGAAAUUUAAAGCACUACAAACUAUUGAAUUCUAUAUUGUGGGGGACUUGUGUCUCCAUGAUUAGUGAGGCUGAAAGAUGGUUGGUGAACUGAGCUACGCUCGGAUAGUAAGGUUCGUUAUGAUGAAACAUACCGAUCAAGGUUCAUGUUCUUGACUUGGUAAUGAUGCUUACGUUUUCUUGAAUUUAUUAUAGGAUUAACCGGCGUUGUUCCAUCCACAUCUACAUUUAUUUCGAAUACGAAUAUGAUUUUGGAUAAUAAAACACAAAUUUAAAUAUAUCCAUUUAAGAUACCACAUUAAAAAACACUAGAAACGAAUGCGGAUACGGAUGUCCAUAUAUCACAUUUUUAACGGAUACGAGCUAGCGGCUAGGCAACUUAAUUAUUACCAUCCAUGAGCUCCUUCAUUGUGUGUCACUGCACCAACCGACAGUAAUUUUGUACGUGGCUAUUACGGCGCGCCGCUUAAGAAACACGUGGUCCGAUGCACUUAUCUCGGCUGCAUUGAUACUGCAGCGUGACUUCCGCACGGAGUUACCCUAGUACAGUACUCCAUGUGCGCAGAAGAGCACAAAAAAGGGAGCAGCAUUUCAACUUUGGUUAGCUGACCAAAUAUAGGAUCCUAAUUCAACAGUUCUUGGUAUGCCAAAUGUUUUCCAAAAAGUAAAGGAAUUACAAAACUCCAGGGAUUCGUACGUCACUAGUCACUUCAACAUUGAAGUAACAAUACCGUAAAUAACGUGUCUAUAACAUGCAUGGCGCAGUCUUGCUGACAAAUUUAUGACCAAUAUUUGUUCAAAUUAAACUACGCGGGGGCAACAUUUGUCUAUCAUAAUAUAAUGUUUGGGAUGGUGUUCUUAAUGAACUUUUUUUUUCACUCCACAUGUUUUUUUUGUGAUAGGACCAUCUAAGACGUACCUAAUCUUCACGGACUCUCUUUGUUUUUUAUAAACAAAAUAUAUUAAUUACAUCAGGAGAUACAUUGUUUUAUAUUGAUCUCAAGCAAAAUACAAUGGUAUUCUAGAGAUUUCAAGGCGGAAGCAGGUUGUUGGUCGAGGUUGUUGGUCGAGUGUUAGUUUGCCUGACAUGUUGGGGAUCGCCCAAACAAAUAGUCACCCUCGAGCUUAUCGUGCUCAGCGACAACAGCUCAGCCCCUUAGGAUAAUUAACCUCAGGUGAGGCCUCCUAACCUUAGACGGUGAACCUGAUACGGAAAAGUAAUCUUAGUCUCGCUAUCCUAAGUUUUAACUCGAAGCCAGGAGGCAAUUACCAAUCCCCUGACUAGCCGAGUCUAACCUCGAGCACUCGAAGCUAACCACGAGUGCCAAGUUAUUCACUGUCUUGUGCAAAGUCGCUGGUUUAGAUUGGGAAGCAGGGCACGAGGUUGAGCGCCUCUCGGACGCGAAGCUAAGGCGAUUGGAACUCCCGAAGCUAGGAUGGCUUUGGUCGCGAGGUCAAGAAGCGUGGAGGCGUUGGAAACGUGAAGGCAUGAUUUGUGGAACCAUGUGAGAGCAUGAAUUACGGAAAAGGCGUGAGAAGCAUGAUCCUAAGAGGAGACCAAGUCAUACAAGUUAUGACCUAAAAAGAUCUCUAUGUAAAGUAUAUUCUAGAAAUGUAGUAGGUGAAUGAGGGUAAUUGUGGGAUGUAAAGUGUCCUCCGAGACACUAUAAAAGUGGAGCCCUACCCCGAUGUAAACUCAUGUUCAUUUCUUAGAAUUGAAUUGCAAGUGCUGCUUUAACAUCAUUGUGUUCGAACUUCGCUGAAACUUGUUUUCCAACAUCACAGAUCGAUUGGCCAAAGUUGCUCUGUAGGAACUGAAAACGUUGUCACGUGGUUUGGCUGCAACGCAUACGACGAAUCUGGGUGGUUCAUGGCCUCGAAUUCCACGUAAAAAGGUAUAAGAAAAAGAAAUGUAGUAUCCACGUAGAAGAGAUGAAUAGUAGAUGAGAAUAGAGACAGCGAUACAAAUUAUAAAAUAAUGUUGAACUGUGGGUUGGUAGGGUGACACCGCCAACGUCGAGAUUCACAAAACCAUUACUGACUCCGACAUUGAUUAUCGUGUAGUUUAGUAAAGAAUCCAUGCUCAGGCGGCCGCAUACCUGAAAAACGUAGCUGGAGCACUCCAUCGGACAAGCAAGUGCUUCACGAAGCAAAGCAAGCAGCCAUGGUGAGCAUGGAGAGCCGGAGCCUCCUCGCUGCUGCCCCAGCUCUGGCAGUCGCCAUCAUCUUCCUCUCUACCACCGCACCGCUGGCGCGCGCGGCAUCCGUCGAGCACACAUUUGUCGUAAGUUUGCACACAAAUCGUGAAUAGACUUUCACCAAAUUCGGGCACUAUAACACACUCGCUUAUGCUUGAUUUGUUGGAAAAUAUUGUAGGUGAAUCAGACGAAGAUGACGCGCCUGUGCAAGGAGACACUGGUCACCGUGGUGAACGGGCAGCUCCCAGGGCCGACCAUUGAGGUCACAGAAGGAGACUCGGUGACUGUUCAUGUCGUCAACAGGUCACCUUACAACAUUACGAUCCACUGGUAAGCGAUGAUGGCAUAAAAAUAAGUUCAUUUCCACGGCUAGAUUAUUUAGGCACUCAUUUGGGGAAAAAAAUCAUAUGUAAUCGUUAAUGAUAUAUUCCCUUCGUUGAUUUCCUGAACUACGUAGCCUUUCCUAAAUGUUUUGUCUUUAGAAACAGAGAUCGUACACUUUAUAUAAGGAAUCAUGCAUUUAGAUAGUAGCUACACACUAUCAAGUGAUAAAUAAAAUAUACAAUAAUGAAGUUGAUCUAGGAUAUAAUGCUGACAAAGUUCACGUUGGACUUUGUAGUAAGAUAGUAAAAAAUUUAUAAACACUUACACUAGGUCAGGUUUUGCAACCUUUUUUUAUACAAAAUUGCAGAAUUGUAAGAUCCAAAAGUUUGUAAUUGACAAAUGACAACCUUUUAAUAAGUGAAGCCAUUUAUACCUAUAUAUUACAAUCAUCCUGAUUUUUGAAAAAUAUGGAUCAAAAGGAAUAAAACUCUUAUUGCUAUCAACAAAAAAAAAAGAGGACCGCAUGUGACGGGUGGAUAUGGUUGUAGGUUUGAUUCCUGGGGACACGAACGUCUGUAUUUUGCAUGAACAAACACUUGAGUAGUGACGUGCACUCUGUGAGUAGUUCGGAGGUGGUCUGUGGUUCUAGAUUUGUUUAAUAACAUUUUGAUGCUCAUAUAUUUAUUUCAAUAAACAUUUUAUCUCUAAUGAUGGUUCAACCCUCGAGCAGUGAGAGAGAGAGGAAGUUAUCGGUGUUCAAAAUAAUUGGUUUAUGACUACUUAAAAAUCUUUCACUUCUAUGGAAACUGUGACAUAUGAGAAGAGUAGUGAACCAGGAGAGAUAACACUAGUGACAUCUACGACUGAAAAGUAAAGAACAACUCAACCAAACAGCAACUCGUAUGCUAACUGACCUUGACAGCAUUAAAAGAAGGACACUUCCGAUUAAACAUAUAAUGAGCUAGUACGAUCGACACCAGGUGACACUCGUGGCAGGCAACCGAUUUACAGGAUAUCGUAGGAGCUCAAUGUUGCCCGUUGUUGUUUAUUAUGUUAGGAAAGGAUUAGUUCCUAUAUAAUCUUUAUAUGGUGGUGUUGAUCCUUUUUUUUUUUCAAUUUGGACUCUUAUUUUUAUUUGAGGUGUCCAGAUUGACUUGUAUCUCACAGUUGAUCUUCACCAUCGCAAUCUGGAUCCGCUCGAUAAACUAUGUAGAUUUGACGCAUUUCUAAUGAUUAACUUGGUAAUUUAAAGCCCCUAUGAUUAAACUUUGAGCCACCAUUUUCAGUCAACUACAAAGACAACUGUGUUUUUCAAAAAACGUAAUAUUGUUAUUAUUAUCAUUUCUGAUUACAUAAAUGCAUUUUGUGGUUCCUGAUGCAGGCAUGGAGUAAAGCAGUUUCGGAACUGCUGGGCUGAUGGGGUGCCUAUGGUCACCCAAUACCCUAUCCAGCCGAACAAAGAUUUCACUUAUCGGUUCAAUGUCGUCGGGCAGGAAGGCACUCUGUGGUGGCAUGCUCAUGUCCCCGGCCUACGGGCAACCCUCCAUGGCGCAUUCAUCAUUCGGCCAAGGCUUGGGGCUGAGUCAUAUCCAUUUCCUAAGCCUCAUAAGGAGAUCCCAGUUAUUAUAGGUUUGUGUACCUUUCUGAUAUUGAUUGCUGAUCAUCUGAGAACAUAAACGAUUUUUAGGAGCAAUUUUUAAUUGGGACCCAUUUGAGGAGAACAAAAUGUGUCAAGUCCUCUGGGAAAUGAAUUAUGCAAUUUCGCCAUGCUUGUGCAACUACCUAGUAGAUGUGAAAUGAUCCUGACGAUUACAGGGGACUGGUGGGAGGAGGACCUUGCAGAGAUGGCCCGGAACAUGACGAAGGGCAUCUUUUUGUCUUAUGCUAGUGCCUCCACAGUCAAUGGCUUGGUCGGAGAUCUCUUCAAUUGCUCCGGUAAGCAGUUAUUUAAUUGAUGUACAGUAGCCCACUGGCUCUGUUUUAAUGUCAUUUAGUGCAUUUAAACAGCUGGUUUGACCGAUAAUUCGCUAGAAGAUGGGUGAUCGACUAUUUACAAUUGUGUUAGGUGAAAAAAUACCGAUAUAUCCUUUUCUUUGGCUCUGUUUUUAUUAUAGUUCAUCUUUCAGGUGUCACAAAAGAAGGAUAUGUUCUGGAUGUGGAGCCUGGCAAGACCUACCUGCUACGAAUAAUCAAUGCCGGCCUCUUCUCUGAGUUCUAUCUUAAGAUCGCUGGGCACAAGUUCACGGUGGUUGCUGCCGACGCUAACUACGUCAGCCCGUUCACCACAGAUGUCAUCGCAAUCGCAGCUGGCGAGACAGUGGAUGCCUUGCUGAUUGCCAAUGCAGCCCCUGGCAGGUACUACAUGGUCGCCCUACCCAAUCAGGCACCAUUGCCUGACACCCAAACUCCGGAGUACGCUACAAGGGGGAUGGUGCGGUAUAAGGUCAGCCACAGCACCUGCACUAGCUCAACGACAGUGAGCUCAUGCCAGGGUACAGAAGAAGAAGAAAAAGGAUAUCGAGGUACAUCUGGUGAUGCUCCAAUAGUGCCUAAGAUGCCUGACAUACAUGACACAAUUACAUCGUUCUACUUCCAUGGCAACCUGACCAGCCUGCACCACCAAGGGCAACUUCCAGUCCAGCAACAAGUCGAUGAGCGCCUCUUCAUCGUGCUUGGCCUCGGCACCAUCUGCAAGAAAGGCCAGUUCUGUAAGAGGGGUAGCAGUGACGAGGACCUCCUAGUGGCCACGAUGAACAAUGCUUCCUUCCAGCACCCCACAGCGAUACCAACACCACUACUAGAAGCGCACUACUACCACACCGGCCUCAUCAAUGCCACGACACAAGAGCUUCCGAAGGGGCCACCGAAAUUGUUCAACUUCACCGAUGAAGCCUUAAUCCCUUUUGGACCCAAAGAGAUGCAGCUAGAGCCAACUUACAAGGCGACGUUGGUCCGGAGGUUCCGACACGGUGCUGUGGUGGAAAUAGUCUUUCAGAGCACAGCGAUCCUACAGGGAGACUCCAAUCCAAUGCACCUACAUGGGCAUGACAUGAUUGUGCUUGCACAAGGCCUUGGCAACUAUGAUCCAGCGAAGGCCGUGGCCACGUACAACCUGGUUAAUCCACUAAUAAAGAACACUGUGCUUGUCCCAAAUCUUGGGUGGAUCGCCAUCCGAUUUGUCGCCAAUAAUCCAGGUGUGUAUAAGAUUUGAAUGCUAGUUUCAUGUUGGAAAAUAUUAUGUGGAAACCCCUAUCUUGGUUUAAUCGUGGAAAGCCCUAGUGAACCUCCCUUGAAUAUAUUUUUGUAUAGGUCGUCGAUUGUUGGAAAUAGUCUUGUGAACUUGUUUAUUUGAAGUUUAGAGAAAAUCUUGCUAAAAGGUAGAAGAUUGGACUUCACUAGCAGCAUAACAUUAUGUUUGUUCCAUUUAUUAUUUUAGACCAUGAAAGUCCUCAAGACGUUCAAGUUUGCUGUUGUUAAUUAUGCGUUAUAAGGCCUAAACUGUUGUAGGAAAGGAAAAUUCUGGAACAAAAGAUGUAAGCAUAUUUCAUUUAUUUAACCUUCCAGUCAAUACAUAUUUCUAGAGCCACAAAAACAAGUCUUAUGAUAAAAUAGCGCAAAAUUUUAUCAAUAAGAAAUCAUUCAUCUUCUAGAUUUUACUUCCUUCUAUCCCAAAUAUAAGCCUAUCAAGACUCGUGUUCUUCAAUUCAGGUUUGUAUUCCAAUGACCAUAUUGAAUAAUACUCAAUUAACAAAAUUAUUACGGUGCUUUGUUCAUUUAAGCUAAAAAAUUGAUAACUUUAGAAAGGGGUCGGAUAAAAUAGGAAAGUGGAAUCAAAAUUAUGUCUCAAAGUUGUUUGACUACUAUUUGGUGCAUUGUGAGAAUGACCACUUACAUUUAUACUUGGUAUCUGAAGGAGUCAAUUUUUUAAGCAUUCCACGAGACUUCAAUAUAAUUAUCCAGAGUUGUAUUCCUAGGAAAUUAUUCAAUAAAAUUUAUUAUAGUGUUUUUCCGAUUCGCACCCAUAUUUGUUUGUCUAAGUUGCCUGCCAAAGCACCUCUUGGCGUCAAAAACUAACUUAUUGUCUUUUAUGUUGUACAGGGGCAUGGUUCAUGCAUUGCCACUAUGAGUUUCAUCUAUCAAUGGGCAUGGCAGCAGUCUUUAUUGUAGAGGAUGGACCAACAAAUGACACGUCUCUCCCUCGACUGCCAGUGAAUUUUCCGACUAUUGGUCAAGACAUCAAUCUCAUGCCCAAUGACUUAUAUCUCAAAACUAUGAAAAGUUAAAACUAGUGCACAAAGGGAGUACCUGUGUAUGUAUGAAGACAACUCCUAUUACUUAUUUUGAAUAAAUGGUUAUGAAUAAUGGAUGUGCGUCAUGAGAUAAAUGUACAUAUAUUAUUAAUGUCAAACUUUUUUGAACUGAUAAAAUGUCAUGCACCUAACCAUUUGGAUUGAAAAGAUGUCGAACUAGUCAUGGUUGCAUCGCCACCCACACAAUACCUUAUCCAUGUCGGCCAAUCAGUACCGGUCGAAAACCAGAAGGGCCAUCUACAUUGGCUGAGCAACCAACCCGCACAGGGCUUGAAAACAAUGACCAGCUUCACUGCACAAUAUUUGUAUUAGCAUGAAGAAGCCUGGCACCGAUAAUAUCCGUCUCAUCCAUACAUGCUGAGCUUCCAUUAAUAUUAGCAUUGGCACAGACAUAUAUCAUCUCUCAAGAAGCCCCUGAUAUGUAAAAGCAUGUUGUUGGCGCUACAAUUUUACUGACCACAUGCCAAGCAUAUGCAAUUACUUGGAUUCAAUGUUGAAGCAUAGUUAUAUUUUUUUCACACGAUGUCGAGAAGGAGAAGACCGCAGGCACAAUUCAGUGAAUCAUGGUCAAGUAUUGUCGAGGAGGAGGAGAAGACCGCAGGCACUCAUUUGCUGAAGGAGUUACGUUUUGCAGGCAAUGCAGCAACUUAUUCGGAAGUUCAACACACUGAAUAGUAUUGUCUUCCUUGCAAACUCUUCCACAAGCUGGAGUGCUAACUUGCAUUCCAGGAGUGGGUGAACUUUCUAGAAAGACUGACAUUUUUUUCCGCAUGUUUGGUUCGGGAACCAUGCCCCCUAAGCCCUUUCAUGCAUACUUCUCCAAUAAGAGAAUCACUCCAAGAUGAAGGAACAUCUUGCUCGGCGUCCUCGGAAUUUUGGUGCAAAAAUAUUUGUAAUAUCUUCUGGUCAUGAGCUUCUCGUCAUUCAUGAUCAUCAAAAUAUUACCGUGGUCUGUAGGCUGUAAUGCUCCACGAUUGGUUCCCCGAAAGCUAUGAGUAGAGAUGGGUAGAAUACGGAAAUUCAUGACGCCAUGCACGAUCCAUAGUCCCAGGCCUUCCAAGCACUAAUGAGCAAACACUGAUUUAGAUCUAGUGGAAUGACAUCACGAAUCAUAACAUCACCGUGUCCACAUAAUGAAAACUUCACCUUCACCUUGUGUACGUAUAAACCACGGUUAUUUAACCAUGAAAUAUCUGGCCUCGUAUGAUGCAUCCGCGACAGUCCCAAAACAUUCACAAGACAUUCACUUGCAGCAUUGAUGACAGAGAAUUGAUCCACAAUCGUAGCACUUGUACCCGCAACAACUUCACAGCGAGUGUAGCACAUGGAAAGAUCAGGAUCCACGGUUGGAUCCUGCUCAUAAUUUCGCAAUGCAGUGCCCAGAAUCAUGGUAGCAAUCAUAAAAAAAAAUCUCAAAUAGUACAGUUAACAGCAGAUAUACCGUGAUCAACUUAGCAAAACUGAUACGACCUGAUAAGGACAUGCUUGCUGUGCACAGGAUCUGUCCCAAUCUUUGACGGUACUAAUCACUUACAGAAUUUAGUCUCAAUAGUAUGGCUGUCCAAUAUAUGCUCCCUUUCUAAAUUCAGUUGUCGUGAUUAUUUGCAGACUAGGAAUGGUGAUAGACUAAUCUGAAAAUACUAGCAAAACAGAUACUGCACAAGAUAUAGCUUCUUGUACAGAGCCAAAUAACUGGAAUAUGAACAACAGCAUUCAUAGCUAUCUUCUUUUAAAUCAGGCAACAGCUGGACACUCUUACAGCCACAAGAUGGAAAUCUCCACAGACACUACCGGAAACCUUAAAUUUGCCGAGUGUUUUUUUCGGACACUUGGCAAACAAGCUCUUUGCCGAGUGCCGGGCUAAGAACACUCGGCAAAAAAAACACUCGGCAAAUGAUGGAUUUGCCGAGUGUCAGAAAAAAAACACUCGGCAAAAAGUGGGUUUGCCGAGUGUCAAAAAAACACUCGGCAAAGAGUGUGAUUUGCCGAGUGUCAAAAAAAACACUCGGCAAAACAAUAAAUUUUUUUCCUCUUUCCACCUUGAAAUUUUUUCUACUACCCACAUACAACAUGUGGUACUCCAUGUUAAAGUUUGGUAUAUUUUUGAAUUUGUUUGCUAUAUUUAUUUAAUUAAUUGUAUUUCAAGAAAAUUUUUGGUAUAAGUCAAAUUUGAACUGCAAGUGAUUCAAAUUAUAGAAUAAAAUGAGUAGAAAAAUGACCAAUUUGAGACCUGACCCAAUUUUAAUUGCAUUUCAUGUUAUUGGCCCAAUUUGAGACCUGACCCAUGAAAUAAAAAGAAAUUUCGAACAUCUUGUUCAGGAAACACGACCACGAACGUGUGGCAGUGGUAUUUUUAAAUUGUAAAAAAAACAAGCAAAGUCUGAAAAUCAUGAGAUUUCUCAUGAUGUGAUGAUAUCAUACGUGGAGGCUAUGGAAAAAAUUGAGAAGGUUUUGCAUAUUUUGUCACGUACGAUGUUUACAAACCGACGCAUCUCAAAAGAAGAAUAGUAACGUUGAGAAGGAUUGGAUAAGAUUUGGAGUCAAAAUGACAGUCGAGUUUUGAUUUGACUACAAAACUUCUUGUAUAGUCAAUAGAGAAUAUACAUUAUUUCAUGUGAAUUUUUGGCAAUUUUUUGAAAUUGUUGGAUAAUUUUAUUUUUUUUAAAAUAGCUUUGCCGAGUGUCCUAGGUUAGACACUCGGCAAAGCAACCCUUUACCGAGUGUCACACCUAGGACACUUGGUGAUUUUUUUCCCACACCGCGCAGGACAUAAAGUCCCACCAACCAGCACCGCACCCGGCCCCUCAUCUUCAUAUGUUGUGGAUGGUAAUUCAUUAUUCUCAGGAAGAAUCUUCUUGACAAUGUUCAACAUCCCCUGAAAUGCCUUAUUGGACACACCAUUUUUUGCCUUCCAUUGCACAAAUUCUAGUGUCGUACCUAGUUUUUUAUGGCCCUACUGGUAACAUGGGUACAACAAUUUUUGGUGAUCAUCUAUCAUGCGCUGCAACUUUGCUGCUUCCUUCUCAGUUUCGCAAUCUCUGUGUGCAUCUCGUAUCACCUGACCAAGGUCAUCAGUAGAGCCAUUUUCUGCAAACUCAUCUUCAUCAGCCUCGCCCAUUGUAGUAUCUGCAAAAGCUUGGCCUGCAACCCAGUCCGGAAUGCUUUCAUCUUCCUCCUCCUCCUCGCCAUCUUCCAUUACAACCCCUCGUUGACCGUGCUUGGUCCAAACCAAAUAGUUAGGCAUGAAACCGUAUUUAAACAAGUGGCUGUGAAUAGUCCCCCAGGAAUAAUUUGAAUACUCCUUCUUGUUAUUGCAUUGGAAGCAUGGACAACAUACGAACCCAUUCUCUGGCUUGUUCGCUUUGGCCACUUCGAGAAAAUAAUGCAAGCCAUCAAUAAACACCUUGCUCCACCUGUCUGCAUUAUACAUCCAUUGCCGGUCCAUCUGCAUCGUAUUACGCAUGAAAAUGGAUUACACUUGACAAUGGAUUAUGCGUGAAAAUUGAUUAAAGAUCCAAACAACAUGAUACAAUACAACAACAUGAAGAUCCAAAUAUACAUAUUUAAAUUAAAGAUCCAAACAACAUGAUACAAUACAACAAGCCAUCCACUGGUUAUUAUCUAGGAGGACUUUAAGCAUCCUUGGGCGGUGAAGACGAAGGUUCCACUGACCCAGCCUCAUCCUUAGGUUUAUUUGUGCCGCCUGAACUGGUAGUACUAAGUGGACGUGAAACACCCGGGACUGAGGGUGGAGCAUAACGACCACCAAAAGGAGGUUCCUGACCCGAGGCAACAGCUUCUUCAUGACGGUGCUGCAAAUAACAAAACAUUGCUUUUUCCAACGCGCUCAUUUUCUUCGGCUUAUGCUGAGGGCCAACUAUGAUUUUCCCCUUGCCGAAAGAGGAACCACGACCACCCCCACCAUCACCACUUCCUCCAGUAGCAGAAGCUAUCUAUGUACAAAAACUAUUACCUUAACACUGCAUAAGUUGUUGAACUUGAAGACCGUGAUCAUCUCGUGAGCAUGUCCUCAACUGGACGGCACCGCACUUCGUCAUGAAAGAGGUUCGAUUCUACGGAAAAGGGGACACAGUCACGAUGUCUGUAUCCACUCAUUCUCGUAGAAUCGAACCUCCUUCUUGACAUACGUUGCUGCUCGGCGGAGAACAUCCUCUCAGAGAUGACCAUGGUAUGCAAGUUCAACAAGUAUGGAUUUGAAAAACCAUAUUGAAUUUGAUAAGUUCAACAAGUAGCAGAAACCAUCUAUGUACAAAAAUUAUUUCCUUAGCACUGCAGAAGUUGUUAAACUUGAAGACCGUCAUCAUCUCCCGAGCAUGUUCUCAACUGGGCGGCACUGCACUUCGUCAUGAAAGAGGUUCGAUGCUACGAAAAAGGGGACACGGUCACGAUGUCCGUAUCCACUCUUUCUCGUAGAAUCGAACCUCCUUCUUGACAUACGUUGCUGCUCGGCAGAGAACAUCCUCGCAGAGAUGAACACGGUAUGCAAGUUCAACAAGUAUGGAUUUGAAAAACCUUAUUUAAUUUGAUAAGAUAAACCGUCUAGACAAGGUAGCAUCAUUCUUAAACCACUGCAAGAAUACAUACUAUAUAUGACACAUCAAUCUCUCUUACAUUCUAGCUCAAAAUACCUCACCAUUUUCUACUUCAUCACAUUCUAGCAAUUAAUCUUUCCAUCUCCAAAGCAUAAAUCAAAGCAUAACAUGAGGAUGAAGUAGCAAACCUUCACAACACUUGUGUUGGCUGAGUAAAAUUCCCAUGAAAAUGAGGGAAAAAACUUCGGGCAGCACCUCCCUUGCUUUGUCACCACCGGAGAGUAGGUGAAGCUCAGCUCUCUGUCUAUGUGCUGGACUGGCUCGGGCUGGAGGAGGAAGAAAAGCCUCUGUCUUGGUAUAUAAUGGGAAUGAGUUUUUAUCCCGGUUAAAAACUCCAACCGAGAUAAAAAGGAACACCUUUUAUCCCGGUUGAAAGUUUAGUCCCGGUUGAAAGUUUAGUCCCAGUUGGAAGCUGCAACCGGGACUAAACUUUUUGUGCUGUAAUGAAAAAAAUAUGUUGUUUAUAUUUUGUAUAAUAAAUUUACAAAUAUUUAUAUUGUGAUCCUUGCAAACACUUCCACGAGAUCGAGUGCUAACUUGCAUUCUGAGGGUAGGAGAACUUUCUAGAAAAGCCGAUCUUUUUUCAGUAUGUUUGGUUCGGGUACCAUGCCCUCUAAGCCCUUACAUGCAUUCUUCUCUGGUAAUAGAAUCACUCCAAGAUGAAAGCACAUCUUGCUUGGUGUCCUAAAAAUUUUGGCCAAAGAUAUUUGUCAUCUUCGGGUCACCUACCAUUGAUGUAAUCUUCUAUUUCUUGACACAAGCUUCUCUUCGUCGGCGAUCAUGUGGUGUGCAGGCUGUAAUGCUGAAACAUUAGUCCCCCAAAAUAUAUGAGUAGCGGUGGGCAGAAUACGGAAGCUACAUCAUGAUGCCAUGCACGAUCCAUAGUCAAGGGCCUUCCAAGCAACAAUGUGCAAACACUGGUUUCAAAUGGAAUGACAUCACAAAUCACAAAAGCACAACUCCACACGGUGAAAACUUAAACUUCACGUCAUGUUUAAUCUUAAUACCUUGCUUAUUUCACUAUAAAGUAUAUGGCCUAUGAUUCAUCCGUGAUGGUCCCAAAACUUUCACAAGACAUUCAUUUGCUGCAUUGAUGGUAGAAAAUGGAUGCACAAUCGUAGCACAUGUACCCGCACCAACUUGACAGCGAGUGUAGAACAUAGAAAGAUUAUGAUCCAAGGUUGCAACCUGUUCAUAAUUUUGCAAUGCAUCCCAAUAAACCUCAUUGUAGCUAUCACCAAAUAAAAAAUCAGAAACAAUACAAUUACUGGCAUAUGUACCAUGAUCAACCUAUCAAAACUGAUUUGACCUAAUAAGGACAUCCUUAAUUAAAUCACCACGUGUCCACGGCAUCGGCGGAGCUACUGGGUAUGCCGGGUGGGCCCUGGCAUACCCUGGGACCCAUCACUUUACCGUGAGAAAUCAAGCUGCAAAAAAUGAUUCUCAGGCCCAGCAGACGAUGCAAGGCAAAUGAUGCUCAGGCCCAGCUUUUGGCCCCCCGCUGGUUGUGACUUGCUUGCGUGGAUACGACGUGCUGUGUGCGGACUGCUUGCUUUGCUUGUCUCUAGUACAAGAUUGGCCCACGAUUUGACGCAUCACACCACAUCUCGACGAUUACAACUUCUCCGCCCGCCAGGACUCCUCCUAUCCUCUCACGGCUCCGCCGCAGCGCCGCCGGCCACCGCACCAGGCCACCAGGGACAGCGCGUCUGCGCAAGUGCGCAACUGCGUGGGGGAUUUUAUGCCCGAAAACUUCUGAUGGUCCAUAAGGAAAACUUCUCAUCGUCCACAAACCACAAGGAGGUUUAAGAUGAAUCUAUCUUCUAUUUUUUUUCUUAUUUGAAAAGACAUAUAUUCUUAAAUAUUUUUAUUUAUUUAUGUAUGAGUGCUUUUUUUAUUUCAGUUCGUGAGUUUAUUGAACAGACCGUCAAUCCAUCAACAUUCUUAACUUAAUAUCGUGUGAGGUUGUGAUUUGUAAGUUUUCUAUCCGAAAAUUUAAAACAUGAUUCUAUCGUUACAUGUUUGUUUUGCUAUAAUGUCUAGUUAGUUAUUGUACUUACAUUACAUAGACAUUGUUUUUUCAGAACAGUUGGAUUAUGAAGAGAGGCGGAGAUAUUGCAUCUCUUUUUCAGAAACAUGCAGCAAAGAAGGCAACAGCUGCUUCAAACACUAUCCCAUCUCCAGUUGAAACUUUUGUGGAAGAACAGAAUCAGGAGCAUGAUAGAGUGGUAGUUGAAGAAAUCGCGGAUCCUGUGCCCUUGCCUCCGCCACUGCAACCACCCACAUCACAGCCGCCGGUUUAUGACAUCAAUCGCCUUCCACAUGAUCCAGGUGAAAGGCAGCCCAUUGAAAGUUAUCAUGUUAAUGAUCAAGAUGCAAUUCGAAGAGCAUAUAUUAUUAAAGGUCGAUUCAAACCUGUUAAUCAUGAUUUUCCAUCAAGAAAAAUUGGAGGUAGGGAUCGCCAAUUCAAUUAUGUAUGGAUGUAUAAUCAUGAGUGGCUUGAAUAUAAUAUCAAGAAGGAUUCUGCGUUUUGCUUUAUAUGCUACUUGUUCAAGAAGGGUGCUGGGUCAAAUACAUUUAUUGUUGGAGGAUGGAAUAAUUGGAAUAUACGAAACAAAGCACUUCUCAAACAUAGUGGUUCUAUGGCACACAAUGCAGCUCAGGAGAGAUACAUUAGUUUUAUAAAUCCCAAGGUAGCAAUUGAUUAUCACAUUGAGAAGUGGACUGAUGAGGAUCUUCGUCUUUAUAAGAAAAGGUUGACAUAUUCACUUAGAUGUAUCAAGUUUCUUUUGCAUCAAGGAUUGGCAUUUCGUGGACCUGAUGAAAAUGAAGAAUCUAGCAACAGAGGAAAUUUCAUUGAACUUUUGAAGUUUCUUGCAGGAAAUAGUGAUGAAGUGAACAAGUAUGUCUUGAAUAAUGCUCCAGGUAAUUGCACCUUAACUAGCCCAGAGAUACAAAAGCAAAUUAUUCAUUGUUGUGCCAUAGAAACUAGAAAGAAAAUAAUUGAAGAACUUGAUGAUGAGCCCUAUGCAAUUUUAGCUGAUGAGUCCAGUAACAUAUCACAUAAAGAACAACUAGCUCUUUGUUUACGUUAUGUUGAUAAACUUGGAAGGCCUUGUGAACACUUUAUUGGAGUUGUUCAUGUAGAUGAUACUACCUCUUUGUCACUUAAGGAAGCUAUUGAGGGUUUACUUGUUAGUCAUGGAUUGACUAUGACUCAAAUUAGUGGUCAAGGUUAUGAUGGGGCCAGUAAUAUGAAAGGAGAUAUUAAAGGGCUAAAAACAUUGAUUAUGCAAGAAUCACCUUGUGCGUAUUAUAUUCAUUGCUUUGCACAUCAACUCCAACUAGUUCUUGUUGCUGUUGCCAAGAGAAAUACUGAUUGUAAGAGCUUUUUUGAUCAAGUAUCUAUCUUAUUGAAUAUUAUUGGAGUUUCUUGCAAGCGUCAUGGUAUGCUUCGAACUGCUAGGCUUGAGAAUAUUAAGAAAGCACUUGAGUGUGGUGAACUUGAAUCAGGGAGUGGAUUAAAUCAAGAGAUGAGUUUGCCUAGGCCUGGUGAAACUAGAUGGGGCUCUCAUUACAAAACUAUAUGCAGCAUCAUUACAAUGUAUUCCUCAAUCCAUGAUGUGCUCAUUGAUCUUGGUGAUGAUAUUUCACAUAAGGAUAAUUGGACAAAGAUACAUUUUGUGCUUGGAGCAUUUGAAACUUUUGAGUUCAUUUUCUUUGUGCACUUAAUGUUUGUUAUUCUUGGAUACACAAAUGAGUUAUCAGAGUGUUUGCAGAGAAGGGAUCAAGAUAUUCUUAAUGCAAUCUCCCUUGUUAAUGUGGCAAAGAACAAAAUGCAACAGUUAAGGUCUGAUGGUUGGGACCACUUCCUUGAGAGGGUCACUUCUUUUUGCAUUAAACAUGAUGUUGAAGUUCCUGCUAUGGAUGGUGAUUAUGUGCCGUAUGGAAAAUCAGCAAGGUAUGCCCGUGCUCGAAACCAAACAAAUGAUGAUCAUUUUAGAAGAGAAGUAUAUAUUGGUGUUAUUGAUCAAAUUAGGCAAGAGCUUGAUAAUCGGUUUGAUGAGAUCAAUAUGGAGCUACUUUCGUGUAUGUCAGCCUUCAGUCCUUCCAAUUCAUUUGCUUCGUUUGAUGCACAGAAGGUACGCAGAUUGGCUGAAUUUUAUACUAAGGACUUCUCUAACAAUGAUUUGCUAAAACUUGAAUUACAACUUGAUAAUUAUAUUGAUGACAUGCGACGAGAUGAUAGCUUCAAGGGUCUAGACAGCAUCGUUGAUCUCUCAGUUAAACUUGUUCAAACACGGAGGCACAAAGUGUAUGAUAUGGUUUACUUGCUUCUCAAAUUGAUAUUGCUUUUACCAGUGGCAACAGCGAGUGUUGAAAGGGUAUUUUCUGCCAUGGUUAAAGUGAAAACAAAGUCAAGGAAUAAGCUAAGUGACAGUGUUUUGGAUGAUUGUCUAGUCACAUUCAUUGAGCGGGAUAUUUUCUUCCAAGUGAAUGAAGAAGAUAUAAUCAAGACAUUCAUGUCAUUCAAAAAGCGGCGGGUAAACAAAGGAGACAAGUAACAUUGUAAGUUUCUUUUAUGCUAUAUUUUGAACUAUUUAUAUUGUGAUUUGUUAUUGUUUCUAGCUUAAUCUUUGAAUUUAUCGAAUUGUAAAUGGUUUUAUCGAAUUGCAUAAAAAUUUUUUUUGGCAUACCCUAUGAUAAAAUUCUAGAUCCGCCGCUGGUUCACGGUUUUCUGGUUGCUCAGCUCAUAAGCAAUUGAUCAUGCUUGAUCAUUGUUGGGCCAUUGCAUGUCCAUUGGCAAUCUUGACAGAAAUAAUUGAGCUACCAAUAAUAGUGUUGCACGUGUCUGUAACGGGAUGUACGGCGCCUGACAAUAAUAGGGCACCAUCCUUUCGAUCUGACAGACAUAUUUGUGUUACAUUCCUAGUGUUUGUAGUAUUUUUAUUUUCCGCUCAUGUCUACUGAUAAUUUUGCUAUAUAUGGUGCCAUUCUAAGUGUCCUUUUGUGGUCAGCAACUCGAGCCCCUGCUGGCCACAUCAUAGCUUGUCUGCUGGCCUGGUGCGCGUGAACCACGAGGGGAGGACCACAGUGGGCGCUCAGACAAUGUGCAUUAAGUCUGAGCUAAGCUGCCUUCUUCCUCAUCUUGUUAGUGGCCGUUUGACCCGGGACUAAAGGUCCUUAGUCCCGGGUCUAAAAACAAUCGGGACUAAAAACGCUGGAUAGGAGGUCUCUUAACCUAUCAAAACUGAUUCGACCUAAUAUGGACAUCCUUAAAUCACCACGUGUCCAUGGUUUUCUGGUUGCUCAGCUCAUAAGCAAUUGAUCAUGCUUGAUCAUUGUUGCGCCAUGUCCAUUGGCAAUCUUGACAAAAAUAAUUGAGCUACCAAUAAUAGUGUUGCACGUGUCUGUAACGGGAUGUACGGCGCCUGACAAUAAUAGGGCACCGGAACCUGCAAUAUGUCUGGCCGGAAUAUGCAAUAAAAUCCUUUCGAUCUGACAGACAUAUUUGUGUCACAUUCCUAGUAUUCGUUGUAUUUUUAUUUUCUGCUCAUGUCUACUGAUUAUUUUGCUAUGGGGCCUGAUUGGUUUGUUGCCAAAUGUGCAUGCCAAAGUUUUGCCAAGCCAAAAGUUGAGCAAGAAACUUGCUAAUAUUUUAGUAAGAUAAGUGGGAGAGAUUGCUAAAUUUUGGUAACAAACCAAACAAUGGCCAAAAUAUUAGCUUGCCAAAUCCCUGGCAUGCCAAAAUUUUGGUAGUGAACCAAUCAGGUGCCAUUCUAAGAGUCCUUUUGUGGUCAGCAACUUGAGCCCCUGCUGGCCACAUCAUAGAUUCAUAGCUUGUCUGCUGGCCCGGUGCGCGUGAACCACGAGGGGAGGACCGCAGUGGGCGCUCAGACAAUGUACAUGAAGUCUGAGCUAAGCUGCCUUCUUCCUCAUCUCAUAAGCAGUUGAUGCAUGCCUUACAGUGACUGACAUGGCCCAAUGGCACCAAUCCUGCUAACACAAAAUAAUAUUUCAAUCAUUUUUGGGAAAAAGGAGGGUCCAAUUUUGACUCCAUAUGCAAAAGUUGCGCCUGUUUUAUCGAACACUAUGCAAGUUAUAUUAGGGUUUUUUGGGUGCAUGUUUCAAUUGACAACUAAAGAUUAUCUACAACCAAGGACUCCACUAGACUGGCAAAACGGAAGUGAAAUUUUGUAGUUGAAAACCUUUUUCAUUAAAUUGAAGUCGUUUGUAUAUGUAAAUUGUGACAAAAUGUUCUGGACGGUAAUGGUUAAAAGGAAGCCAAGCAUGGGUGUAGUGGCCUGGCUAGAGGGCAUCACGCAUAGGUUUGAGGUUGGAGGUUUGAAAGACAAUCAAAACACUUGUGUUAAUGGCACCGCAAAAAUGGUUGAGGCAAGGGGUUGCAAACGAACCGACUGUACAGUCGGAUCACAAAACGUUAGUACAAAUUGUACAGAUGCUUGCUUAAAGUCGGUUCACAAACCUUCAGUAUAAAUAGUUCUGUAAUAGUGAUUUGUAGUUGUAAUAUAUCACAGGCCGAAACAUGCAGAUACAGGCAUCCCAGGACAUGCAACGAAAAGGAGAAAACAAGUGAUCAUUUUAUUGGUGUUUUAAACCGUCAUGUAACUCAUGUUUACUUUUGUUACAAGAAAUAGAAAUGCACAAAGACAUUUCUAUAAUACUAUUACUUUGCUACGUGGAAUUGGAACUUUGUAUCUGUGUCGUGGUUAGCGUCACGGUGCGGCAGAGGUAUCUCUGGAGCUGCCGAGCUAGUGCUGGUAGGAAUCUGUGUCGUUGUGGCCUUGUGGCCUUGUGGCAUGGUAGGUGCUCAGCAAUUAAUCGCACGUAUUGAAAACGUGUCUGUGGUCCUAUUGCUCAGCUCACCAAGCUCAUAUAAUGUCUUACACAGCAACGCACAGCAGCCAUGGCGAGCAUGGAGAGCCGAAGCCUCCCCAGGGCAGCAGCCACCUCAAUGGCGCAAGCUAUCGCCAUUGUCUUCCUGAUCUCAACUGUUGUCCAAGAACUUAAUAAUAUAACACCUAUGUCAAAGUUUUCAAGCAUGGCCACAAGCUCGCGCAGGCAGACCUAAUUACCAUUCCGAGGCAGUCUCAACUGUUGGCUCAAGAUCUGACGAUUGCUGCCAUUCCAAUUUCGAUUAAAAACACGUAGUGAUGACAGCUCACUGGAACCCUAACUUCACCCCUUAGGCCCUAAUUUCACUUUCCCCCUCACGUCUCCUCCUUCCUGUCUCUUUAUGUUAAUUUUUAUACUCGAAAAAUGUGAGAUUGAACUAACUGUAUCUCUAGACAUUAUGUAAAAAAAUAUGAAAAUAUCAACAAUAUAGUUUCGACAACCAUUCAUAAAUUAAAUAUUAAUAAUAUGAAAUCGGCAUGCAUGGUGUCGGGUCCAUGGUGUGCUAUCCGUGUGUUAGGCGGAGUGAGACUGAGAGAUGAUGGAGAAAGUAGAGGCCUAGUACACGUCAGUUAUUUUCUGUUACUUUCUUAAUGUUCUUUUUGUGGUUAGGCAUCUGACUGGCACAUCAUAAGUUUGUCCUGGGCUGCUCAGCUCACAUGCAAUUGAUGCUUGACAGUGACUGUCAAAACUAGUGUUGCUCGAUUUGACGGCUUAUACAUGGAUGCCUGACAAUCACAAUGAAACCUCCAUGUUCAAACACAAUCACAAUGCAAAUGCCUGCCCUUGGAUCCGACUGAUACAUUUGUGUACUGACCACUGCUGGCAACAUCAUAGCUUGUCUGCUGGCCUGGUGCGCGUCAACCACGAGGGCAGGACCAGUGACCUGGCAAGGUGAGGUGGGUCGCUCAGACAUGGUGCUUUAAGUCUGAGGUGACUCUGCUUUAUUCGUCUUUCUUUCAACAGUGUUCAACAUCCAUCGAUCAUGAUUUGUGAAGUACCUGGAUUUAUUACUUAAUAUAGCAUUUCUCAUCUAACAUUGCACAAAGACCUUCAUGAAUUCUUGAUUGCUUUUUGGAACGCGGAAAGCACAAUCGUUAUUUUCCUUUAUAAGUUCAUUAAAUGGCCAUGAACCACGAUACAUUCAUAGCUUUUACCGUGUUGGCAAUUUAUAACUAAACAUGGUCUACAAACAAGGACUCCCCUAGACCAGCAAAACGGAAGAGGAAUUUUGUAGUUGACAACCUUUUUCAAUAAUUUUAGAAUAUCUUCAUUUAUUUAUCAAUUCUAGUUUUACUAUCCGGACCAGUUUGUGUAAACGCCAGCACGGGUGCUAAUUAUAUGCGUCGGCUUCAUUAUGUUGGUAUGAUAACCGAUACAGAUGACAUUUUAGCGGUACGGAUGAGGUGCUCUCUAGUUGUAAUAAUCAACUCUUAAAAAUAUAACUUAGAAACUCGUCUUGGUCACUCGUGCUGCUUUGCAAGUUAAGCACUUUGAGUGCUAUAGUUCUUUUUAACAUGUCUACAUUGAUGGAUCGAGUGCCAUGAUUCUUUUGUGUUUACUUUGAAAAGAAGAAGAUGGCUUAGAUUCUGCAUUCAGAGUUUGAACCUACAAGUGUCAAGGGGCCAUACAUUCCUGAUUUCCUGUGUGCAUUGUUGGCUGUUGUUUGCCACUAAUAUAAUACAGACACCGUCGUACUUUCUAUUGGAUGUGGAUGUCCUAUUUUUCUGAUUCUAAUGCUUGUGCAUUUAUUAAGGAUCUAGAAACAAAAUUGACAGCGCGGCUUUCAGUUAAAAUAAUAUAAGUAAUUAGGAGUAAUGUGAUCAAUUCUCACAACUAAUAAUAAUAAUGUGUCUGAUUUUUUUCAAAAAAAAACUUAUUUGGGAACAGUGGGAUCGAGUACUCUUUUUUAGGUGCAUUUAAACUUACUUAUGCUAUUGGAUCAGGGGCGCCGGACACCACUGAAGUAUCACUAAUUAGCUAGUUCACCACGCUCCAAACCAAAAUGGAUUGAGAAAUUAAAAUGGAGCCGGAGGAGCAGUGCCUCGGAAUCGUAUCUCUUCGGCAAGCCAGGGGACAGGCUCUGGUGACGGGGCGCGUUGUAAAAGCCGCUCUUUUUGUCCGGUUCGACCUGUUCUGAAUCUAUUGCUCGAUUUGAGGGCCUAUACAUGUGCAAUGCAACAAUGGUGUUACAUCUCCAUACUCAUCUACCUAAUAGGGCACCGGCACAUGCAAUGCAAGUUCCUGCAUGCCUGCCCAUCGAUCCGACAGAGAGAUUGGUGUUAAUUAGAAUCAUAUUCGUCACUGACCAAAAUUUCCAGAUAACCAAGUCUAAUCAGUUACUGUAUAUGAUACUUUCAUGCUCAUGCCUACUGACCAUCUUACAAGUACUAUAUAUGAGUGUCCUUUUGUGGUCAGGCACUGCUGCGCGUGAACCACGAGUGGACGCCCAAUCAAAGUAACUGUGUCGUUGCGUGAGAUGCCUCCUCUCCUUGCCUCUUAAUUAUUAAGCCAUGUCCAACAACGACAACAACAAUGAUAAUAAUAAGGAACUGAGGUGAGACAGCUAUAUGCAUAAAUAUAAUUCAACAUAUGGACAAACAACAGAAUAUCUAAGACCUCCUAAUGAUCAGAGUUUUAUAUAUUUCGCUUUAUUUCAACAGUUAAACAUAAAUCGAAUAUGAUUCGUUGAGUAUCUACGAGCUUAGAACUUUUAUUAAGCGUUUAGGGCUAUGUUUGUUAGGAAUCCUUUUAUCAGUGAGUGCUGGUUGCUGAUUUGCUUCGAUCCAUGAAAAUAAGGAUAAAUUUGAAAAGAAAGCACAUAGGAAUCUUAGAGACUUUGUAGUGGGCAAUGCCUUCCAGUAGCUUCUCUUCUAAGCUAAAUUUGGCAUCAUAUGAACAAGUAGAAGCUUAGAUGGAUUAAGAGCUACAACUACAUACAAGAUGUUGAAGAAUACUCGAGUGUUUUUUCAUUGCGAAUGACCAUAAACGUUCUCUUCCUCUAGAAAUUUCUUCCAUAGAAAGAGUUUACAAAGAGACGAGCUGUGCACGGAAGACUUUGGUGCUAGCUCAAAGACGGGGCAGCUUGCUGCCUGGACGCAGCCUCGCCAUUUUGAGAACUGGUGUUAAUUACAGAGUCCCGGUAUGGAUGAGACCAAAUAUCUAAGUUGCGAGCGAUAGCCCGGAGCGUUGCAUUUGUGUCAGCAUUAUACGAGCGGAAAACCACGUUGUUGCGGCUGUUCAAAAUUCUCCACAGCACGAUCAGAAGAACAUGAUUCCAAGCGCCUUCAGAAAGGUGUGGGGGCUGCCCGCAGCUCCAUGGGUCUGCCUUUCCCGCGCCAUCAUAGGUGAUCAUCAGAGUAUCCCAAAUUGAAGCAGCAGCAGGACACUCGAAGAAGAGAUGCAUAUCGCUGAUUCCACUACCGUACCGCGCAGCCGCGAGGACAAAAGGCUUCAUCUUCCUUCAGGAUGUUUAUGUAUAUAUGUAAAUUAUCACAAAAUGUUCUGGCCGGUAAUGGUUGAAAGGAAGCAAAGCAUAGGAGGAGUGGCUAGAGUGCAUCACGUAGAGGUAGGCCUGCUAAUUGGAUUGAAAUCCAACUCUAACCCACACCAAUCCACAUCACGUUAAUUUCUUUUUUCAACCUAACUCACCCCAUAUCUAUAUUAUCUAAACCCAAACCGUUGAUAAAACUCAUGGUUUUGCUAUAUAUAUAAACCUAUGGGCUUAUAUAAAAAACUCGUAUAUAUUUGAAAUAAACGUGAGUCCACCAUGUGGGUCCUACGUGAAGAGCUAGACUCUAAAACUAAAAUGUCGUAUUCACACCUUAAAAUUUUAGCGAAAUUGAUCGAAAUUUGUUGGAGAUGACAGAGUUUGACUGCACGCUACAUUAUGCUAAAUAGUAUGGCUAAACAUACAUAGAGAAAUGAGGAAUGAGGUUGCAGGUUUGAAAGGCAAUCAAAACACUUGUGUUAAUGUCACGGAAAAAACGGUUGAGUCCAGGGGUUGCAUCACAUAUCCACCUAGGACCCUUGUGGUUGCAUCACAAUCGCACGUGUUGAAGAACGUGUGUGUGGUCCUAUAUAUUCUCCUAGAGGCACUCAGUCACCGGGGACUUCUAUUGCUCAGCUCACCAAGCUCAUAUAAUACCUAGUAGCUCGAGCACAGCAACGCACGCAGCCAUGGCGAGCAUGGAGAGCCGAAGCCUCCCCAGGGCAGCAGCCACCUCCAUGGCGCUAGCUAUCGCCAUUGUCUUCCUGAUCUACACAACCGCACGACUGGGAGAUGCGGCAUCCGUUGAGCACACGUUCAUGGUAAGUACGCAUGAUCCUGUUUCAUUCCCUUUGAUCGACUUGUCAGGCGUUAAUCGGUUAUGGUGCAACGAUAUUUACAUUGUAUUAUAGGGUGUUUUUUAAGACAAGCAUAUGCAUCGAUAAACGGUUCUAGAAAAUUAUUUUCUAAAUUAAGAUAUGCGUAAUCAACAAAGGCGUACAUUAGUGGUCACGGGUAGAAAACUCACCUUUAGUCCCAGUUGGUAGGGAGCAAAUCUCCCGAAAAUCCAUCCAGGAUAAACCAAUCGAGACAAAAGGGGGGUCUUUUGUCCUGGGUCACUCAACCGGAACUAAAGACCCCCUUUUAUCCCGGUUGGUAAUACCAACCGGGAUAAAAAGGGUCGCCACGCCAGGCGCAGCUCCCAAAAAAAACAAAGAAAUCCCGGGGACCCCCACACGUGAUUUUUCACGCGAAAUAUGCGCGUGCGUGGUGCGUAGCUUCCUUGCCAUCCCACCUACACAACACAUCUAACUAUAUAGGGAAUGCAAUCCUUUUGUAUUAACUCGUGGGGUCCCAGGCUGGAAACAUCAACAGGGACUAAAGACCCCUUUUAUCCCGAUUGGUAUUACAAACCGGGAUAAAAGGGUUCGAGGGAUUUAGUCCUUGCCAUCCGUGGGGGACCAUUUUAUCCCGGUUGGAAACACCAAUCAUGGUAAAAGAUCCCCUUUUAUCCCAGUUGGUAUUACAAACCGGGUUGGUGUUUCAAACCGGGAUAAAAGGCCUUUCAGGGCCUUUUUUUUUCCACUAGCCUUUGCAACCGGGAUAAAAGGUCCCGGUUGGUGAGCCCCCGUCAGUGACCGAGCUUUAGUCUCGAUUCGUGAACCUUUUAUCCGGUGCCAACUUUAAACCGGGAUAAAAGAGGGUGCAUGGAAGGUGAGUUCUCUACUAGUGGAUUCCCUAUGAAUUCUUAACAAUUCAACCACGAUGUAGGUAUAUAUGUAUCCAUGCUUGAUUUCUUGGAACAUGCACAUAUAUCUGUAGGUGAGCCAGGUGAAGAUGACACACUUGUGCAAGGAGACACUGGUCACCGUGGUGAAUGGGCAGCUCCCAGGACCAGCGAUAGAGGUCACGGAGGGAGACUCGGUGACUGUUCAUGUCGUGAACAAGUCACCCUACAACAUAACAAUACACUGGUAAUCAGCUGAGUUCCUACUCAAUACAAUCACUUUUCUUCCCAAGGACACUAAAAAACCUAUUAAUGUACAUUCACUUUGCAGUGGAAAUAAAAUAAUAAGAUGCUUUCCAGUAAUUCAUCAAAAUAGAAUAUUUUAUUUUAUUUCAUCUUUCGCCAUCUUUUUCUUCUGUGUUGUCUGAUGUAGGCAUGGAGUGAAGCAGUGGCUUAACUGUUGGGCUGACGGGGUGCCGAUGAUUACCCAACUCCCUAUCCAGCCAAACCAAAAUUUCACCUACCGGUUCAACGUCAUCGGGCAGGAAGGCACCUUGUGGUGGCAUGCUCACGUCCCCUUCCUCCGGGCAUCACUGCAUGGCGCCCUCAUCAUCCGGCCAAGAAAUGGGGCGAGCUCAUAUCCAUUUCCAAAGCCAGACAGGGAGGUCCCAAUCAUAAUAGGUUCGUGAAUUAUCUACAUCAUAUUCACUAGCUGUGUUACGAGAACAGAACAAACUGCACCUGAUUUUUUAUUGGAAUCUGUUUGGAAAAGAGAGAAGAAUGGACUGUUCCUAUUUGAAUUGAACUGUCUUUGACUUUGGCAGCGGACUAUUGGCAGCUAGACCUUGCACAGGCGGCAAGGAGGAUGAUGCAUGGUUUCUUGUUUUCUUUCGCCAAUGCUUCCACGAUCAAUGGCAAGCUUGGAGAUAUCUUCAAUUGCUCUGGUAAGAAAUUACUUUCUUACAGCAUUGAUGUCCGUGCCAAUGACAUAUUCCUUUUUUCUGAAAAAAGUGUCUGCUUGAAUUCAACUAUGAAGGUGUGCCGGAAGAUAACUACGUAUUGGACGUUGUGCCUGGCAAGACCUAUCUGCUACGAAUAAUUAACGCCGCGCUCUUCGCCGAGUUCUACCUAAAGAUAGCUGGGCACAAAUUCACUGUGGUUGGUGCCGAUGCCAGCUACGUCAGCCCAUACACCACGGAUGUCAUUGCCAUCGCGCCCGGCGAGACAGUGGAUGCCUUGGUUGUUGCUGAUGCGCCCCCUGGAAGGUACUACAUGGUUGCCCUGCCCAAUCAGGCGCCAUUGCCGGACACCCAGACCCCCGAAUACACAACCAGAGGGAUCAUGCAGUACAGCAACACUCACAGUUCUGCUGAUGAUCCAGCAGGACUAAUAUCAGAUCGUGGUGUGGAAGAAGAAGAAGAAGAUAAAGGUUCAUCCGGUGAUGUGCCAGUAGCACCUGAGAUGCCUGAUAUACAUGACACAAUUACAUCUUACUACUUCCACAGCAACCUGACCAACCUGUACCAAACGGUGGUCCCUCAGCGAGUUGAUGAACGUUUGUUCAUCGUGCUCAGCCUGGGUUCAAUAUGUCAGCAUGGCCAGUCCUGCAGGAGGGGUGAUCACAAUGAGACCAUCCUCAUCGCAACCAUGAACAACGUUUCCUUCCAGGAUCCCACGGGGAAGACGCCACUACUAGAAGCACACUACUACCACACUGGAAGCGUGGACUUGAUGCAAGAACUUCCGGACAGACCACCAAGGGCAUUCAACUUCACUGACGAAGCCUUAAUCCCGUAUGGGCCCAAGGAGAUGCGCUUAGAGCCAUCGUAUAAGGCCACGGUGGUGCGUAGGUUCCGGCAUGGUGCCGUAGUGGAGAUGGUGUUCCAGAGCACAGCAGUUCUACAGGGCGAUUCCAACCCGAUGCAUCUACAUGGUCACAACAUGAUCCUUCUUGCACAGGGGUUUGGUAACUUCGACGCCGCGAAAGAUGUUGCAAAAUACAACUUGGUGAAUCCACCGGUGAAGAACACUAUUCUUGUCCCAAAUCUUGGGUGGGCUGCCAUCCGAUUUGUUGCGAACAAUCCAGGUGUGUCUAAGAUUUAUUUGUGUUAGUCAGGUUUCAAAGUCGACGCUGUCAGAUCUAAUGCUUGUCUUAUAUGAUUUACAGGAGUAUGGUUCAUACAUUGCCACUAUGAAUUCCAUUUGACUAUGGGCAUGGCGGCAGUAUUCAUUGUAGAGGAUGGUCCGACAGUAGACACAUCUCUCCCUCCACCACCUGCUCAUUUUCCAACAUAUUGUGGUCAUGACGACAAUCUCCUUCCGGAUGAACUGUGCCUCCAAACUAAGAAGGAUGCAUGAAAUCCCACGUAUAAAUGUAGUCUGAAUAAAUAUUACUGCAACCGCCAGUUAUCAAAUUAAAUAAUGGAUGGCCCACGCUAGUACCUAGAUUCAAGUAUGCAUAUUAAAACUACUGUAUCGUCUUCACUCUAUCAAUAAUGCGAGGCCAAUUAUACGACAAUCUUCACUCUAUCAAUAAUGUGAGGCCAAUUAUACGACAAUCCCCUUUUAUAUCCAUAUAUGCAUAGCAUUCUUUUUUCUAUAUUAGAUUUUACAUCCUGGUGAAUUGCAAUUUUUAUCUAUAACUGCAUGUACUCCCUCCGUCCCAAAUUCUAUAUCGUUUUGGUAUUUCCAGCUACAUUCAUAUAUUUUAUUAAUAGCUUUUAUAAAUACAUGUAGACCCGUGUUAGAGUGGAAGUGACUAGACGAAUAAUUAAUCAUGUUGAAAGUCCCCCCAAACACGAUUAAAAAUUUUCAGUCACCCUUCUGUCGUACAGUCCAAAGUUUAAAGCACGGGAGCUGCAAACAAUUAUUUCACCACCGUUUUACACUUAAGCCAUAUAUAUCCUUCGUACAAAGACCAAGCGGAUUACACAUCACUAGUAGAGAAUUGGUCUUUAGUCCCGGUUGGUAGGGUGCAUAUCUCCUGAAAAUCCAUCCGGGAUAAACCAACCGGGACAAAGGGGGGUCUUUAGUCCCGGGUCUUUCAACCCGGACUAAAGACCCCUUUUAUCCCGGUUGGGAAUACCAACCGGGAUAAAAGAGUUUUCCAAAAAAAAUAGAAAAAAGCACUGGCGGGCGGAGGCCCGCCUCGGCUCCCGCACCACCACUGAGCCCCCAUCCCGCCGCCGCCGAGCCACCGCAUCCUGCCGCCACCCGCACCCCGUGUUGGAGGUAUGCCCUAGAGGCAAUCAUAGAGAUGAUGAUAUUCCAUUUGUAUCCAUGAUUUAUAUUGUGUUCCUUGAAUAUCCAUUAAAGGCUACUUGAAUUGAUUUGCAAUUAUGUGAAUUGUGUAUGAAACUCUUUACUUGUAUGGUUAUUCUAAAGUUGUCCCUAGUCGGAGUUCAUGUGAGGACAGACAUGAAUAUUAGACUAGCAUAUGUAUUAGUUGAUGACUAUGUUUCACAAGUCAUGGAUAUGGAGAUGUUGAACUAAUAAUGUGGGCACAUGUGGAGACAUGUGCUAGGACUGACCCAACACGAGAAGUAGUUCUCUCUUUAAACAACAUAUACGCUUUGUCCUUAGACCUAAGAUUGUCGCAUGUAUUCAAGAUGUGGAUCGACUUACUUAGGGGCUAUCAAACGCUACGCCGUAACAGGGUAGUUAUAAAGGUAGCUUUCGGGUUUGUCAAGAAGCAUGCUAUGAGACAUGGUCAAUCAAGAUGGGAUUUGCCCCUCUCUAAUUGAAAGUGAUAUCUCUGGGCCCCUCGAGUGAUUGGAUCCGAAAAUGCAUGGCCAUGCUACGUACGAUUAAGAGUUAACCUACAAAGGGAUUCCAAAUCAUAGGAUCGAGAAAGAGCGGUUGGCUUGAAACUAGACCAAAUAUAGUGAGGCAAAGGGAAUAGCAUGUAUAUAAUGUUGUGAUGGUUCGUCUGAUAUGAUCUUCGUGUGCGUAUAGGAGUUGGCACGUCUUGCUAGAGGCCGCUACCGACUAUUGGGCCGAGUAGGAGUACUCGGGCCAUGUCUAUACGUAUCCGAACCCAUAGGGUCACACACUUAAGGGGCUGGAAGCCCAAUUCGGAUGUGAUCCGAGUUGGAUUAGGUUUAGAAGUACUAACGGGCCUCGGACCCAGAGGCUCGUUAGGAACCUCUAUAAAUAGAGGGGUGGGGGCGCCCUAGGGUUUACACCUUUUGGCGAAACAAAUCUGUUGCGCCUCCCACGCCCUUGCCUGUUGCAACUCGCGGACCUAGCAGUCCGGCUUGCGAUGCUUCCUCCCUGCACGUGUGGAUACCUUGGAGGUGUUGCGCCUGCAGCACUUGGAUGAGCCACGACGAGCUGCCGACGAGCCACGACGAGUCGCCGACGAGCCACGACGAGCCGCGGCACGAGGGCGAUCUUGCUACACGUGGAUGAGCUGCUGAGGAGCUGCUGGACGUCGACGUGAUCGACUACGUACGACUAUGCUGAUCGACUUCGCUGCAUCGACGCGAAUCUACAUCUUCCGCAUCAUUGCGUCAAGUGGUAAUCCCGUGAUCCUUAUACGGUAGUUUUCCUGGUUUACGCAGUAGAAAGUUUUGAUUUGCGCUAGUGUAGCCUACCUUGUAUCCCAACACGCCGGCACGCCUGCUCCGGCCCCACCGCCUCCUGCUCCGCCACGCGCCGCCGCCUCCUCCGUCGCAUCCACCCGCCGCUCCUCGCCCACCGCCGCCGCCGCCCAAAACUCACCACAACAACACUGACACUGCACCGAGCUCGCCGCCGCCGCACCUCUUACUGCUGCUCCUCGCGCGCCGCCGCCACCGCCUGCAACAAAAAACAGCAAGAACUCACCACCACAACUACACUGACUUGGCCAUUGAGCUCGCCGCCAGCCGGCCACCUCUUACUGCGCUGCCCUGCACCUCGCCCCGCUGUUGCUCCUCAAUGGCAGUGAGGGGCGAGCAGAGGGGGAAGGGGAGGGUAGCAGAGGGGGCGGCAGCAGUCCAGGCUAGUAUUGAAGAACCAGCCACCGGUGGGCCGCCCACAUCAUAUGGUGAUGAUGACGCCUCCUUCAAAAAAAGAUGAUGCCAAUGUGCAUGCCGGUACUGGACGAAGCGAAUACAACAGUUGGUCAGAGUAGUGUUGGCACUACGAUAGCACAACCAUUUCCAUAGGUUCUGUAUCCAUUAAUACUCCAUGCUCAUUGCACAUUCUGGUCAGCAGAGUUGGAGAGACAAAAUAGGUUGCCCAGGGUGUUGCCAAUCCGAUUGGUGGUUUGUUUGAUGGAAAACCUAUCCCACCCCUGUAUGCAUGUGUACGAGUGCUUGAUAUCAAUCCAAACUAUGAUGAUGACGAGAUAGAUAUCCCCACUAUAGAGGGGAUCUAUUGCCUUGGACAAUGAGUCGAUAGUACCAUACUGUUGCAUAAACGAGAGAUACUACUGAUUGGUCCACAACCUUUGAUUCUUGAUGAUCCUGCCUCGCUCAAAACUUCCUCAUGUAUGAAAUCCAGACUGGGACAUGUUCUUGUUGAGCAUCCACUAGUGGAACGGACUUUGGCACCAGAACAACUAGUUCAUGGGAUAAGCAUAUCCUGCCACAUCAGCGAUCUACGCCUCUCAAACUAAGCAAUCCCAUUGGGCGAACCUUCUCUUGCACCUCCUUUCUAUCCCGUCCACCCAUCCUCCUCCUUUAUACUAUCCCUGCCUGUCAUCCAUUCCUACUUUACCUUCUCGCUCCCCCAACCUUCUUCAACCCAAGUGACUUCGGCUCGGUAUUGGUCUCAAACGAAUUUGAUACCGAACAGAUUUAAGUGUGGCUGAGGAUAGAUGUUGACAAGGGUUCUGAACCCAUAACUCGGUUGCCCGAGGUUAAGUCUGAUGCCUCAAAAUCGGAGGCUAGAGGUUGUCACGGGUUCCGAACCCAUAACUUGGUUGCCCAAGGUUAAGUCUGAUGCCUCGAAAUCGGAGCUCGAAGCUGCUAGGGCUUUAGCUGGGCUGAAAUUAAAAAAGCCUGGCAAGAAAACUGGAGUGAGAAUAGUCGAUGCUUUGGAGGAUGAUGACGAUGAAGUCGGUUUCUUGGAUGACAACUUGUCCCUGGUUUCACCUCUGCACGGUUUGCUCGAGGAUAAGGCUCACGAUGUUUCUGCUGAGAAGGAUUCGCAAUCCAAGAAUGUUGAAGAAACAUCGGAUGCUAUUGGUACUGUCCUUCCUAUUAUACUAGAUGCAAAGGAAAUUACAGAGCACGCGGUUGCUACCCACUCAGAAAGGUAAUCUUGAUAAUACAAGUCUGGCUGGUCUUAGUUUUGUGGAUGUUAGCGAGGCUUCUUCUAAAUUUUUGAUGGACUUGCAAAGCACAAUUGGCAAAGUUGGAGAGCCGUAUCAUGAACCCUCAUAUCUUUUGCAUGUAGAUCCUUUGCCCGACAGUCCUGAUCCACCUCAGGUUGUGCUAGACGACAACAAGGAUUUUGGUACAAAUAUCAAGGAGAAGUUGCUGGCUGUCCACAUUCCUGGAGCAGGUGAAGAUAAUGAUCCUUUCAAUCCUCCACUACUAUGUAGAUCGCAUGACUCACUUCGACCUGUAGGUGAAACGGCGAGGACUGUUCUGGGUGGUAAGUUUGAGGGCGAUGUUUCCUCUGAGGCUCUUGAAGAAGGCAAGCUUGCCAAAGAAGAAGAGAAAAAUCUGCAAGUUCCUGAAGCUUCGAGAGGCUUCUAUUCAGAGCGAUACCCAAGGAAGUUUCUUCGAUCUUGAGGCUUUGUAUUUUUUAUAAUGUCUUCUAUUUUUUUUUUGGUUUUUGAUGCCUUUGGUUGCUUAUAGAAUGCCCUUAUUUUGACAGAAUAUGAGAAGUCUUUGCGUUGCUAGGACCAUGAUCACUUGGUGAGGAUAACGACUACCCUCGGUCAUAAGGUAUUGCCUUUCCUGACUUACUGUUAAGAUUUUUACUAUUUGGUAUUUGUAUGAUUUUUCUCAGUUUUACUUGUUUUUCAUUUUUAGGCUGUAAUUGCUGGCAAAGUGGCCAAUGAUAGGCUUCAAGAGAAGGAGAGGGCUGCACUCAGCAGCAGCGCUAGGGUUCUUGAGCUUGAGACUGAGGUUGCGUGGCUUAAAAAGGAGAACUCAGCUUUAGAUGAUCUCAAAGCCUCACUUUCUGAGGAGAAUAUUGAGUUGAAAAAGAACAAGGAUCUUUUUGUGAAAACAUGCAGUGACCUCGUUCAGGAAGUGGAGACCUUUGAAAAGAAUUCUGAAGAUAACCUCGGAGUUUUGGAAAAACUGCGGAGUACCAUUGAGAAAUAUUUGACAACAAAUGCAGCUUUGAAGAAACAAAAUGAGGCACUUGCCAAAGCUUGCGCUGAGAAAGAUAUUAUGAUUCAUACCUUGGGAAAAAAACCUCGAGGAUCAAAAAGGUUUCAUCGAUGGUGCGGAGCAAGUGCUGAAGGCCCGUUUCUCACAGAUUCAUGAUGGGUAUAAGCUUGCACUGGUAGAGUUUGGGGCAGAACCCCUUCCUCUCUCUACUGAUAAGGGAGCCAACAAAAUAUUUGAUUGGAUGGAUCAAUAAUUUGAGUCCUUGCCCUCAGUUAUUGUGGGAGCCAGUGAUUAAGCAGCCUCCUUGUGUUGUGAGGGUAUGCUGAAGCUGCUCGAGGUGGAAAAUUGCUCAGAUUUCCUGAAAUUUGGUGCGCACGGUUACAAGUUUCCUUCUGCUUUAGAAUUCGAUGCACAGGAGACAUCAAAAAAUGUUAAGAUUGUGAAGAAGAAUUUCUUGAAGGAAUUUUGGAAGGCUUCUUGUCACGACUUUGCAAAGCUUGUUGCUCGUGGUCAUCUUUUGGAGGUUCGACUUUUCCUUUUGUCCAUUCUGCUUAAGACUGCUUUUCUUUAUCUUAUUGUGGUUGUUUGUGAUAGGCUAAAGAAUCUGAUGUGAAGGAAAAGAAGCAGAUUGGAGGCUCGGAGCAACAAGAGGUGUAGACUCUAGACUAGGUUUAAUUGGAAACUUAAUCUUUUGAUGCAUAGCUUAGGGUCGAGAACUAAAAUAGUUGUUGGUUGUAAUUUAACCUGCGCAAGUCCUAGGUGAUGGGCCUGCGCAGGACAUACUUCCUCUUCGAUUUCAUCAUGGAAACAUUGUUGCCAGUGGUCAUGCUUGGCGUCUCUUUCGUACUUUUCAUCUCGACGCUAGUUUUCAUGAUUUCUGGUGCUUUUGCUGUGAAUACUUUUCCGUGCAAAGCUUUAUGCUGGGUCACUAUUUUGAGUCCCGCGAUGGUUAUGCACUUGGUAUGAUGGAAGAAAAAAUAUUUGAAGCUUCAACGGUGAAGUCGGAGCCCCUUAGUCCGCAAAGUCAUGAGUUUGAUGAUGCCUAUGUGUGUGAUGCUGCAGAGUUUCGAGGUUCAAAACCUGGUCAUGUAAUCGAAUUGUCAUUCUGACUUAUAACGAAACUGAUUGGAAAAACAUCACCCCCCCCCCCUUGUUCCUUUUUGCGGAGAUUUUUGUUGCAAGAUGUUAUUGCGAGAAAUAUAUUGUGUUAUUUAUUUAAAGGGUUUUCUGUCUAAGUAUCAUAACCCGAGAUGACAAGGAAUAUAUGAUUUUAGUGAGAAACAUCACCCCCCCCUUCCGUUCCUUUUGGCGAGGGUUAUGCUGUUUGCGGUAUUUGGUCGAUGACAGAGGUAUCCUCGAAGCUUUCUAUCUUCCACAUUUUUCCGUGCAGUAGUUAUUGAUUUUGGAAAAAAGGUCCGGAGGUGUUUAACUUUCAUGUGGGAUUUUUAUACACCAGUUUUCUUGUAAUAAGUCAGCAAAAACUUGCUCCGAGUUUUGCGGACUUAGAAAGUUAAAUGACAAGUCGGGUCGAAUUCACAACUCUUGGUUGCUUCGACCAUAGAGCUGUAGAUCCUAUGAGGUUAGAUAGAAUUUUAGACGAGUAUGGUAAUGGCAAAAGCGAGGCUUUGCUUAUGCAAAAACACAAGAUUCGGGUAUUCUUGGAAGCAAAGUUGGUGCUGCAACUUAUUGUUGCUUCUGUCCAACGCUUGCGCAGAAACGCAAGUUUUUUCUCGCACAGAAAUGCGAGGUUUCGCUUGCACAGAAACACAAGGUUUAAGUUAUUCAAAAAGUAAAGUUGGUGCUGCAACUUGUUGCUUUCGCCCAACACUUGCACAGAAACGCAAGUUUUUUUCUCGCACAAAAAUGCGAGAUUUCACGGCAACUUGUUGUUGCUUUGGCCUCAGCAUGCACAGAAAUGCAAUGCGUUCUACUUGCACAGAAAUGCAAUGUAGUAGCCCUUUCGAGGCUUAGUAAACACGAGAUUCGGGGGAAUUGUAUUGCAUUAAAAUGUAAAGGUUUACAUGGAUCGCCUUGUUAAAAACCUUACCUCCAUUGUGGAGCCCCCUAGAUAGGAAAAGUGUACAUUCCAUUUGUAGCAAAGUAAAUGCAGGAAAGUAAAUUUUCUACCCUCGAUGUUGUUUAUAGGCUUACAGGCUGAGGGUUUUACUAUUUUGGUGACUAUGGGUAGUAUUUGCGCAAGUUAUCCACAUUCCAAGAAUGUGGUAACUCUGCUCCUAGCUGAUCUGCAAGGUAAAAGGAUCCUAGCUUGUUGAUGUGGAAUAGGGUCCCGAUCUUCCGAAAGGUUCAGUUAAUCGACGAUUUGGGCGGAGUCGCUACACAAAUCGAUCCGGCUUCCGAACAACACGUUCCGAACCCCGCAAUCGCAGCACAACGUCUCCUCAGGUUAUCGACCAGUGAUGCACGGUUGACCUCGCCAAGAAGGCUAAUCCUUGCCUGCAAAUCGAAGAACACAAGCAAGAAUAAGGAAGAAUGCAAACCAAAUUUGCGGAUGAAUGAUUAAGCUCACGAGUUGGGGUUUUACAAACCGAUGAUGGCGAAACUGUUCUUGACAGAUUAAUCUAAGCAAAACCCAAAACCUAACAAAGGUGACGGCUACUGUUAUAUAGGGGUUAGGGUCGUGGUCGACCCCCUGGACGCGCCCCUAAUGGGCUCAACAACAAUACACGGCCCAAAGGCCAAAAUAAGGCGACGCAGUGCCGGGACAGUUUCUGGACGCCAUCUUGUUUCGACAAUUUCCGUUGACUCAAGACGAAUUUAGGCAUGGGACCAGUGCCAUUGGAAAAAUAGAUGUUCUAAACUUUCCAACCAUAUAUAGAACGUCCAAAACGGAGUCCGUAUGCGGCCUGGGCGUCCAAAUCACUGUGGGCUGCUUCUGGACACCGAGGUGGACUCGAAGUCGACUUGGCUUGGGCCUCCAACUCGAGUUGUAUGUCCUUGCUGGUCCUCCAUGCCUCCCAGCCUCUCUCCACGCAUCUCCUGGUCCUCUCCUUUAUUCCUAAUCAAAAUAUAACCAUUGGAUAGCAAUUUAUUCUUAAAAUCAUAAAAUGAAUUGCUUAGGAAUGAUCUGACCUCUAAAUGCAAUUGUCGUGCGCGAGCUCUAGUGAUUGGACCUUGAAUGUCCAGCGGAGUAUCAUGUGCAUAUGGAGAAGUGAUGUCCUCAUCAUCCUCCCCUGCUUGAAAUGGAGUCAUCCUCGACUCAAGCUCAUCGUUUGCUCCCAAGUAAGGCCUCAAAUCUGAAAUGUUAAAGGUAGGACUAACCCCGAACUCGGGAGGCAACUCAAGUUUGUAUGCAUUAUCAUUAAUCUUCUCAAUUAUCUUGAAAGGACCUUCAGCUCUAGGCAUCAACUUAGACUUUCUCAAAUCUAGAAAUCUAUCCUUUCAUAGGUGCAACCAAACUAGAUCACCCGGUUCAAGUUUAACUUCCUUUCUACCUUUACUACCAGCAAUUCGAUACUUUUCGUUCAUUUUUUCAAUGUUGUGCUUAGUUGUUUCAUGCAUUUGCAAAAUAAAAUCAGCGCGUUCUUUGGCAUCCGUAUGAAUCCUCUCGCUAGUAGGCAAAGGCAAAAUAUCAAUAGGAGCACGGGGGUUGAAUCCAUACACUACUUGAAAAGGACUUACUUUUGUGGUUGAAUGUGUUGCCUAAUUGUAUGCAAACUCCACAUGAGGCAAACAUUCUUCCCACAUCUUCAAUUUUUUCUUCAAAACAGCCCUCAACAUGGUGCCUAAAGUGCGGUUCACCACCUCUGUUUGCCCAUCAGUUUGUGGAUGACAAGUGGUAGAAAAUAAUAAUUUUGUACCCAACUUGUUCCACAAAGUACGCCAAAAGUGACUCAAAAAUUUUGCAUCGUGAUCUGAAACAAUAGUAGAAGGCAUACCAUGCAAACGUACAAUCUCUUUGAAAAAGAGGUCAGCAAUAUGAACAGCAUCAUCACUUUUAUGACACAGUAUAAAAUGUGCCAUCUUUGAAAAACGAUCCACAACAACAAAAAUGCUAUCCCUCCCCCUCUUAGUCCUAGGUAAUCCCAACACAAAGUCCAUAGAAAUAUCCACCCAAGGAAUAGAAGGAACAGGUAGCGGCAUGUAUAAACCAUGUGGAUUCAAACGAGACUUAGCUUUUUGACAUGUUGUGCAGCGAGCAACGAACCUCUCAACGUCUCUCCUCAUUUGUGGCCAAAAGAAAUGUGAGGCCAAAGCGUCCACCAUCUUCUUGGCACCAAAAUGCCCCAUCAAUCCUCCUCCAUGCGCUUCCUGCAUCAACAAAAGACGAACGGAACCAACUGGAAUGCAUAGGCGGUUAGCUCUAAACACAAAGCCAUCAUUGAUCACAAACUUAUUCCAUGUACGUCCCUCUUUACAAUUGAGCAACACAUCCUUAAAGUCAGGGUCAAGCGCAUAUUGUUCCUUAAUUGAUUCAAGUCUAAAAAUACGACAAUCAAGUUGGGACAGCAAAGUAUAUCUUCUAGACAAAGCAUCGGCAAUCACAUUAUCCUUCCCUUCCUUAUGUUUGAUGAUAUAAGGAAAAGAUUCAAUAAAUUCAACCCAUUUAGCAUGUCUACGGUUCAAAUUGUUUUGAGAGCGAAGAUACUUAAGCGAUUCAUGAUCAGAAUGAAUAACAAAUUCCUUAGGCCACAAAUAAUGAUGCCACGUUUGUAAGGAACGUAUAAGAGCGUACAAUUCCUUAUCAUACGUAGAGUAAUUCAGAACAGGACCAUGCAAUUUCUCGCUAAAGUAUGCAACGGGUUUACCAUCUUGCAUCGAAACACCACCAAUGCCAACUCCACUAGCAUCACAUUCAAGCUCAAAGGUCUUACCAAGGUUUGGAAGUUGCAGCAAUGGCGCACGCGUAAGCUUGGCCUUCAAAGUGGCAAAGGACUCAUCUUGUGCUUUUCCCCAACGAAACACCACACCUUUCUUCGUCAACUCGUGCAAUAGCGCAGCAAUGGUGCUGAAAUCUUUGACGAAGCGGCGAUAGAAACCUGCAAGACCAAGAAAACUCCUCACCUGUGUGAUGCUUUGGGGCAGCGGCCAGCUCUCAAUGGCUUCAAUUUCCGUUCCAUCCACCUCAAUUCCCUGUGGAGUAACAACAUAUCCAAGGAACGAAACUCUAUCGGUGCAAAAGAUGCACGUUUGUUUGCUAAGCACUUCUCAAGGUUAGCAAACAAACGUGCAUCUCUCAAAGCCUCAAAAACAGCACACAAAUGCUCCCUAUGUUCAUCCAAAGAUUUGUUGUAAAUUAAUAUAUCAUCAAAGUAAACCACCACAAAUCGACCAAUAAAAGCCCUCAAAACCUCAUUCAUCAAACGCAUGAAAGUACUCGAUGCAUUAGUUAAACCAAAAGGCAUGACUAACCACUCAUACAACCCGAAUUUGGUCUUAAAAGCUGUUUUCCAUUCAUCUCCAAGUUUCAUUCUUAUUUGGUGGUAACCACUAUGCAAGUCAAUCUUUGUGAAAAUUAUAGAACCACACAACUCAUCAAGCAUGUCGUCUAACCUAGGAGUAGGAUGUCGAUAUCGAAUGGUAAUAUUAUUGAUGGCUCUACAAUCAACACACAUACGCCAAGUACCAUUUUUCUUUGGAACCAAAAGCACNNNNNNNNNNNNNNNNNNNNNNNNNNNNNNNNNNNNNNNNNNNNNNNNNNNNNNNNNNNNNNNNNNNNNNNNNNNNNNNNNNNNNNNNNNNNNNNNNNNNGCACUUUGUGCAGGAACCUGCAAAGAAUUUUUACCUGAACCCGAAGGUUUGGCAUUGUAGAAACUCCAGAGUCUGCUGGUCGCGUGCUCACCGGUAGGGGCGUGCGAAAAGAGGAGGACUUAGUCAGCCCCAAAGAUGGCGUCGUACACUGGUAUGAGUUACCAACCUUACUCUUGCCCUGCAACUCACGCCCCUGUAAUUCCUUUUCUGCAAACAUAGCCAACUGAAACAACUGGUUGACAGAGUUGAAAUCCUUAUAAUCAACUAUGUCCUGAAUUUCGCGCCACAAACCGGAAUAAAAACGGCAAAUAGCAUCCUCAUUGUCCUCAACUAUGCCACAAUGCAUCAAACCCUUCUGAAGCUCACCAAAAUAUUCAUGCACAGAUUUAUCUCCCUGAUCUAAGCGCAUCAAAUUCUUACGCAGUUCUCUAUGGUAAGAAGGUGGAACAAAUCUAUCACGCAUAGCAACCUUAAGUUGUUCCCAAGUAGUAGGUGCAACACCCGCAGCAACUAAUCCAGUCCACCAAAUGAUAGCAAAAUCUUUAAACUCACUAGUGGCUUGUCGAACUCUAUGUUGCUCAGGCACAAGGUGGGCACUAAAUUUUUGUUCAAUUGUCAUCUCCCAAUCAAGAUAUCCCUCAGCAUCAUAAUGUCCAGAGAAUGAAGGUAUAGUAAAUUUAAUCUUAGCAUAAGGAUCAUCGGGAGCACGAUUAGCACCUGCGUUCACACGAACACGUCGUCGUAUACGUACCUCUCGUGUAGCUACUUGGUCUAUGUUACCAUGGGCAUCAUACACCACAUCUUCAUCGGCUAGUGGUGGUGGUGGUGGUGGUGGUGGUGGACGGGCUUCCAACACAGCAACCCUGUCAGCUAUUGUGGUUAUCCGUCCAUUCACCUCCCUAAAAAUGUCAGCAAGCCUGAGUCCAUUGAUGGAGUCGGUGACGGCCUUGGCGACCACCUCUGUUAUCCUGGUCUGUGUGGCAUCCAUAAAAGCUUGCAACUAUCCUUGGCUGACACACUCGUUGAAGUCCUUGGGAGUGCCUCCAUCGUUAUCUGCAGCCAUUGUAGAUAGAAAACAGGAAUAAACGGUGAAGGUUAACCCUAAUAAUCUCCUACGCAGGUGUGGUGGUGUCUCUCAAAUCAAACAACACAGCAAAAGGAAACACAUUACCAAGCUCUUACAAGGUUCUUACCAUCAAGGCAAAGGAUACCUGGAAGGCGUAGACCGCGAUUGCAAGGGUCAAGAACCUGUGCUGCGCAGAAGUAAUAUGUGGAGCUAUAGGAAGGCCAAAGAUAUGUGAGUGGAACACAAUUCACUAGCAGAUAGCAAUGCUAAACAAAUGUCCAAAGCUACUUGUCCCUAGUUGCUAGCCUACCCGUGUCCUUAGAACAGUAGUGUCAACAAAUGAGGAACAAGGAUGGAUAUGAAGAGCAACAAUGAUACAAGAUCAGCAAGUAUCCAGCUGCACAAUAUCAGCAAACAAGUGGUUCCUCUCUACGUCCCUCCUGUUGUUUUGUCUUUUAGAACUAGUAGAAAUCAAAUUGUUUUUCUUUUUUCUUUUCUUUUUUUGAUACUUUUUCCUCAGCCAGGAGCACAAAAAUAGGAACACCACAAAGUAUCAGCUCAAUCCGAUGUAAGGUGUGAUCGGUAGAAAAUCACGAGCGUUUCACAAAACCGAUGCUGGAACUUGGGAACUCGAAUCGAUCCCCUUCUGAAUUUUUUUUGAAUUUUUUAAUUUCGGCAUGACUGGCAAAGCUGUGAAUCGUAUGUGCAAAAAUUCGAUAGCUUUCUGGGAAAAAAAAGAACGCCUCAAUCGGAGUUCCGAGCGAAAAGUUAUGCCUGUUUUAGGGAGGACCCUCCGAUGUAGGGUUUUGUGGCGGUCGAGAUGGAAUCGGGUGGGGAGAAAAAGAUGGGAUGAUGGCAGUGGAGUAUGGAUCACACAACCGAACUAAAACACGAUCUAAACCAGCAACAAUGACAUGAACGAGGACACAAACUCAACACUACGGACUCUGAAAAGAAUUAUGCAAAAGGCUACACACGGUGUUGGACUGGGAAAUGUUUUUGGCUUUUCUGUGGACUCUAGGAUGAAUGCGAAAAUAAAUCUAACUAGGGUAAGGGUGAACCUGACGGUAUACCUGAAGCUCUGAUACCUCUUGAUGUGGACUAGGGUCUCGAUCUUCCGAAAGGUUCAGUUAAUCGACGAUUUUGGCGGAGUCGCUACACAAAUCGAUCCGGCUUCCGAACAACACAUUCCGAACCCCGCAAUCGCAGCACAACGUCUUCUCAGGUUAUCGACCGGUGAUGCACGGUCGACCUCGCCAAGAAGGCUAAUCCUUGCCUGUGAAUCGAAGAACACAAGCAAGAAUAAGGAAGAAUGCAAACCAAAUUUGCGGAUGAAUGAUUAAGCUCACGAGUUGGGGUUUUACAAACCAAUGACGGCAAAACUGUUCUUGACAGAUUAAUCUAAGCAAAACCCAAAACCUAACAAAGGUGACGGCUACUGUUAUAUAGGGGUUAGGGUCGUGGUCGACCCGCUGGACGCGCCCCUAAUGGGCCCAACGACGAUACACGGCCCAAAGGCCAAAAUAAGGCGACGCAGCGCCGGGACAGAUUCUGGACGCCAUCUUGUUUCGACGAUUUCCGUUGACUCAGGACGAAUUUAGGUAUGGGACCAGUACCAUUGGAAAAGAGAUCUUCUAAACUUUCCAACCAUAUAUAGAACAUCCAAAACGGAGUCUGUAUGCAGCCUGGGCGUCCAAAUCAUUGUGGGCUGCUCCUGGACACCGAGGUGGACUCGAAGUCGACUUGGCUUGGGCCUCCAACUCGAGUUGUAUGUCCUUGCUGGUCCUCCACGCCUCCCAGCCUCUCUCCACGCAUCUCCUGGUCGUCUCCUUUAUUCCUAAUCCAAAUAUAAUCAUUGGAUAGCAAUCUAUUCUUAAAAUCAUAAAAUGAAUUGCUUAGGAACGAUCUCACCUCUAAAUGCAAUUGUCGUGCGCGAGCUCUAGUGAUUGGACCUUGAAUGUCUAGUGGAGUAUCAUGUGCAUCCGAAGAAGUGAUGUCCUCAUCACCUGUUGCUUCGAGUGACAAUGUAAGGCCCUUCCCAAGUUUCUUGUAAUGGCUAGGUUGGUGGUAUGAGUUGUCUGGCAGCGAGGUUGUUUUUUGCUGGUUAGUUGUCUUUUAACAAGCCUCGCAAGUUCUUACUAAGCUUCGGGCAUCUAGGAUUGUUGUUGGCCAGAAAAAACCCUGUCUCACGGCUAUAUCUACUAGGGCUCUAGUUUUGAUGUGAGAACUACAAAACCCAUUGUGGACUUCUGCUAACAAUUCCUUCCCACUCUCCGAAGUUAUACAGUGUAGCCAAGGAGCUGAGAUAUUUGUACAGCUCACCGUCGACCAUGGCGUAGCCCCUAGCCCUUUGCUUCAUUCUAUUUAGUUCAGCCUCAUUGUAAGUCUUGUAGUGUCCUCUGAGGUAGGACAUGGUUGGAGCCCUCCAAUUGAAUCUAGUGAUUGCAUUUACGACUCUCGGAGCUAGCUCUCUAGUUUAUGGGGAGUGUUUGACCUCAUAGAAUAGAUCAGGUGGCAUGGUUUGAUUUCCGUAGCUGCUUUUACCAAUUUGUCUGCAUCAUCAUUUUCUACCCUUGGGAUGUGCUGAACGGUGAACCUUUUGAAAUAUUUUUCCAUGGCUCUUACUGCGGCUAGGUACUUCAUAAACUCUAGCUCUCUGGCCUCGCUUUCUUUUUCUAUGUGCUCUUGAAUCACUUAGGAAUCUUAUUUUACUAUAAAUACUUGCUGACCCAAUGCCCUCAUUUUCCUUAGCCCCAGACGCAGUGCUUCAUAUUCUGUUGUGUUGUUAGUGGACCUUGCCUUGCCCUUGAAAUCAAGUCUUGCGGCAUAUCUGAUUUUACACCCAAGGGUGACGUGAUAAUUAGUGACACUCCUACCCCCUUGUCACACCAAGCCCCGUCGCAAUGUAUGACCAAUGGAACCUCAAUCUCAUCAGUUUCAAUGUUGCAUGGUGAUGUCCAGUUGACUAUGAAAUCAUCUAGGACUUGUGAUUUGAUUGCACUUCUUCUCUCAAAGUCCACUAGGUUUUCGGAAAAUUCUGAUGCCAAUUUUAUGAUUCUCCCCGAGGCUUCUCUGGUUGUGAGAAGAUCAUGAAGUGGCUGGUUGGUGAUCACCACUAUCCUGUGACCCUCAAAGUAAUGACUUAGCUUGCGCACUUCCAUAAUUACAGCAUAAGUGAUUUUUUCUAGCUCGGAGUAGAACAGUUUUGACCCCGAUAAUGCUUCUAAGGCGAAGUAUACUGAAGUUUGUCUUGGUUUGCCCUUGAUUUUCUUUUCUUGCACUAAGGCAGCACUGACUACAGAGCUCGAGGCUGACAAGUAUAGCAACAAGGGAGAUUUUGGUUCAAGUGGGAAUAGUUUAAUCAGGCUUGUCAGAUAAUCUCUUAGUUCUGCAAAAGCUUUGCUUUGCUGCUCUCCCCAUUCAAACUUUUGGGAGUUUCGUAGUACUUGGAAGAAAGGUAGACUUCUUUCGGCUGCUGUCUAGAUGAAUCUGUUAAGGGCUGUUAUUCUCCUGUCAGCUUUUGCACAUCUUUCACUAAAACAGACUCUUUCAUGUUGACCAGAGCUUGGAUUUUGUCUGGAUUAGUCUCGAUGCCCUUGGUUGAGACCAAGCAUCCUAGCACCUUGCCUUGUUGAAUUCUGAAUACGCAUUUUUCUCCAUUCAGCUUCAGGUUUGUUGUCCUCAGGUUGGUGAAAGUUUUUGCGAGGUCAUGAAUGUGAUCUUUUCGUUUGACACUUUUCACCACAAUAUCAUCCACAUAGGCUAGGAUGUUCCUUCGAAGCUGUGUGCUUAGGACUAUUGCUAUCAUUAUUGAGAAAGUUGACCUCGCAUUCUUUAGCCCCUCGGGCAUUCUGAUGAAACAGUAGGUCCCGAAUGGAAUGAUGAAACCAGUCUUCUCCUCAUCUUCUUUUUUCAUUUGUACUUGAUGCUAACCUAAAAAUAUAUCUAGUAGUGACAAAAUUUCGCUAUUUGCAGCGUCAUCUACCACAUUGUCAACCCUUUCUAAUGGAAAGUCAUCUUUUGGGCAUGCCUUGUUGAGGUCGGUGAAAUCUAUGCACAUUCUCCAUUUGCCAUUUUUCUUCUUGACCGGAACCGUGUUUCCCAACCAUUCAGGAUACAUAAUUGCGCGUAUUAUGUUGGCAUCGGCUAGCCUUUGGUCUCACACCUUUGCUUAUUUCUAACUUGUGCUCUAUUAUAUCUCUGUCUCACAUGUAGACCAUGUGAAGUCAUCCUUGCUCUUGUUGAGGAACUCGAUCAGUUGCUUUUCUUCAUCGGGCUUGAGUUCAGCAUUGAUGAUUACAGCUCUAUCGAGGACAUGUUCGUCUAGCAGUACUCUUUUUGUUUUGCCAUCUACACUCAUUUUUACUUUUUCUUUAUCUCUUUUUGACUUGACAUAUGGUUUUUUCAUCUCCGAGGGUUCAACCUCGCUUGAACUUGCUAAGUGGUGUACAUUUUUCAAACCCGAGUUUGCACCUUUUUCAACAUCCGUGGCUAUUUGUUGGUCACCAUAUAUUGUGAUAACUCCUUUCAGAGCUGGGAUCUUCAUACAUAAGAACAACUGCCUUAUGCAACAUCGAACUUGUUGAUGAAUCCCCUUCCAAAGAUAGCAAAUUAUGGAUAGUACAUUUCCACAAUGUUGAACAUUAUGUAUUCCAUUCUGGCAUUGUCUAGGUUUCCAAAUGAUACUGGUAAUGUAAUUUUCCCCAAGGCUCGCUUUGGCUUUCCACCAAAACCAAGUAAUGGUCUUUCUGCUAGCUAUAGUGCUUUCCCAAUUGUCCAUCCUACAACAAUAGCCUUGAUUACCAUCGGAUCAUUAUGCGAGGAUUUUUUGAGUUUGAAGUCUUCUUUAGUAAAGGAGAUUGGCAUGUGUGCCAAUUCUAGCUUGGCUGGUGGCCCAUCACGGAUGAUCGAAUGGAUUUGUCUGAAGUAAUUUUGCCUUUGCUUCUGUUUCUCAAAUUCUAGCGAAGAUCCACUUGCUAUUGGCAUGGUCAUGCCAUAGGUGGGCAAAAUGUUGGACUUGGUGUUUUGGGCAUUUUCAAACUCUUGUGAGGAGCCCCCUGAUAUUGGCAUGAUCAUGUCGUAGGUGGGUAGGGCUUUGGGAUCACUGUUUUGGACAAUCUUUGGUUCAACCUUAGGUAUUUGAUUUGGUAGGUUUGGCAGAGGUAGUGGUAUUUCUUGCAGAGGCUGAGGUGGUGGGAAUCUUGCAGGUUGCAUAGCUAGCUUACUUUGAGAUUGAAACUACGGCAAUGGUUGCCACAUCAUGGUGGGUUGGUAAUUGAAAGAAGGGUUCGUAAAUGAACUUGGGAGGGUAGAUGUAUGAAUGGUGUUGGGGUUUAUUUGUGAGUAAACUUGGCAGUAUGGCUGUUGUGGCCAGAAAGAAGUGUGAGGAAUGGUUUUUGGCGCUGCUGUUGUAGCUGCGGCUUCUCUUUUUUUCCUCUGCUAUCCUUUCGAAGGUCUUUUUUUGUUUCUGGAUAGAAAUCGAUUGCGUGGUCUAGUUAUUUGCCGUGAAAUGUGCAAUAGGACAUUCAAGGCUGGUUGUUUUGAUUGUGUGGCCUAGGAGGUCCUCUGCCUCGGCCCCUUCCUCUGCCUAAGUGGCCUCCUCUCUACCCAUUGCCAUGAUUUGUCUGUUGUUGUGGUGGUUGCCCAUUCUGAUUUUGGCUUUGUUGUUGUGAGGGUUGAGCACCCUCGAUCGGUAGCACAUGUUGAGCUGUAUAUGGCUGUUGAUGUUGUGUGAAAUUGUAUUUUAGGGCUAGCCAGUUUUGAUCUUUCUAGGUUGGCCUUUGGCGAUUCCUCUCCAUUACUCUUUCCCUAUGGUCCUCAUCUGACCUGCAAUAUUUUCCAACUCGACGAACGAGCUUCCAUGGUUUUGGAUUUUUCUCUUGUUAGGUGUGAGGCUGUCGGGGAUAGUGUUAGCCCUUUUAUGCAAGCUGAUAUGGCUACGCUUUCAUGCACAUCUAAGGUUUAUGACUUCAAUUGUACAAAUCUUUUGACAUAAUUGGCUAGAGGUGCUGGAUGCAAUGGAACAAGUCUCCCGAGUCUAUUGUUGCACGAUGGAAACCUUGGAAGUCUUGUAACAACUUUGUUUUGAGAUCGAUCCUGCUAUAUACUAACUGCAGUGGGAGUAAUGAGUACCAGUUCAGCGCGGCACCCUCACAGGCUAUGAUUAGGGACUUGGCUAAGACUACGUCAUCUCCUCUAGCUAAUGCUACUGCGGCCUCAUAGCUCAUGAGGAUUUGACGAGGGUCAUUUUGCCCAUUGAACUUUGGCAGUGAGACUAUCUUGUAGUUUGGAGGCCAUAGAGCUGUUUGUAGGCCUAUAGAUAAUGGAGAGCUUUGGUCAAUUGCUAUGUAGGGACCUAUCAUCACUAGCAUGUUGUGUCCAGCGAGGUUUGGAUCCAUUUGCAGAAUGUUUUCUGUGUUCAUGACAUGUUACUAUCUCGAAGGUGGUGGUUGUUGUUGUGGUUGCGUGUUUCAUUAAUAUUGCAACUCAUCCAACUCUUCUUGCAAUUCUGCCAGCUGUUGUUUUGCUUGAUUUAGUUUUGAUAUUUUUUGGGCUGCUAGAUGUUGGGCUUCUAGUUCAUGAGCAAACUUCUGUUUUUCUUGUUUUAGAGCUUCGAGUUGCCUUAGCACCAAGGCCAACUCCUUUUCUGUUGCACCGACUUGAUCGUUUCUUAUGCUUGACUAGGGUUAUGCUAGAUUUGCUACUUCUGCCUUGGCUCUUUUUUUCACUUCUUGUUCUUAAGUUAGCCUCGACUCUCUUUAACUUCUCUAUAGUAUCUAUGUUAUUCUGAUCAACAAGGACAAGUAUUCUCUCUUGAGCCACAUGAUUCUCUCUUUCACCCUCGGCGGCUCCCUGUGGUGUGGUCUUCUUUUUCUUCGUUUGUCGCAUCGUGGGUUGUUUUACGGCUAAAACCACGGUGGGUGCCCUAUUGGUCUCAAACGAAUUUGAUACCGAACAGAUUUAGGAUUACAAAGAGAACAAUGUACACUUCUCAAUUGGAAAAACCGAUCUCCCUUUAUAAUGGGGUAGGGCUCCCCUUUUAUUGUGACUCAUGGCCUACUUUGUAUUCCGUAAGUACCCUCGUUCAACCACUAUAUUCUUAGGAUAUGCCGUACAUAAAGGUCAUUGGGGAACAUGUGUACAAAUUGAACUUCUCCACAUGUUCACAUUUAUCAUGUCUUCCGCCUGUUAACCUCGAGACUUCAAUUGCAUCCUGAGACAGUCAUCUAGCCUUCAAGCUUCAUUCGCAUCCCGAGCUGGGCCCGUAGCCUCGAGGCUUCAGCUUCUCAAAGUCAUGAUGAAAGGUCUUAACCUUGAGCAAUUCCUCCUCGAGCAUCAUUCCUGAGUAAAGAGUAAAAAGAUGAAAGCUCGGUGUCCAGAACCAACUCCAAACACUCGAGGGUUAAUCCAAUGGAAGUUAGUCAUUAUUGUUGUCGAUCGCUACACUCGAGACCUUCCAGGGGUAGAGGCAACGCGAGGAUACAAGAUUUACUUUGAGGUGCCUCGCACAGAACAUGCAAGGUCAAAGGGGCUCCGCUUUCCUUGCUACCGAUGCGCAACUUGCGAGGUUAGGCUUGGAAUCUCCUACCGACAUUCGAGGGUUGCUGAGUUUUUAAGGAUCUCCAACACUCGGCCUUCUUCUUUAUACUAUAUAUCCCUACCCAUCCUCCUUUAUAAUAUCCCUGCAUGCAGCCUGCAUAGGGAGACUCUCCUUUAUACUAUCCCUGCCCAUCCAUAUAUUCUUAUUGUACCUUCUCUCUCCUUGUCACACCCGGUUUUUAAAACAAAAUCAAGUAUUAACUAUAUGUAUGCCAGGAUCAAGUUUCAUACAUAUAGUGACGCCAUAAGUGAAUAACAGGAACAGUAUCACGUAAAAAGAUACAAAAAGACUUACAAGACUAUCAGAGACACACCUUAAACCUUGGAAACGAAGGCUCCAAACAUCACAGGCACUCGACUGGGGGUUGCGUACGCCUAGAACUCAGCAGCAUCUUUAGAACUUCACACCUUCUUCUUCUGAGCAGCAGUUAGCAAGGGUGAGUACACUUAUGGUUGGUACUCAGCAAGGCCAUAGGAACUAACCGGAAUUAACGAUUUAAGUCCAUCUUCAAGUUUAAUUAAUCAUGUGAUGGUCCAAGCCGCUCUUAACCGUGAGCACAGCUGAUAUAUCAGUUUACACUCUGCAAAGGUUGUACACUUUACCCACAACUCAUGGUCCCCCAUGUCGCCCGGGUUUGCAAAGCCCUUAAACACUUCCCUUGGUGAGUGGCUGGGGGUUCCACUACGAAGCUUUUACAAAGACAUAUAGACAACUAGUAGCCCGCUAGAGUUUCAGUAGCGAUGUGGGUCACAACCCAUUGUAAUGAGUCAGCACCUUAGAAGGCUACAGCUCCGGGUCAUACCCCCAACACCUUCCCCCUCCUUGCCCUUUUGGUAAGGCCACUAGUCAACCAUAUGCCUAAUUAGUCGGCUAAGAUCAGAGCCAUGUGAUGUUGUGGUUGUACUGUUUUCUUAGGUGGUUCUCCAUGUUCCAAUUAACAUUCUCAUGGUAUUGUGAAUAAAGCAUAGGUAGAAGGAUGGUUAGGGACACUUGCCUUUCUCCAACGUCAAGUUACACUUAUUGCUCUUCAGUUAUUGCUAUCUUGAAACUCUUUAUCUUCAAAGUUUCGAACGAUGAUCCUUCUAAUCGAAGCAAACAUCGGCAACAAACAAUAAGAGCAACUAAGAACAAUACACCAAAACAAAAGAAAGACUUAAAACAGCGUACUAAAGGACAAGGCUCGAUCUAAGGAUCACGCAAACGCUUAAAAUGAACUAUCGAGAGAUUUGAUGUAUAAAAGAAAAGACAAGAGCUACUUGCUUCAUUUAUUUUAGUUGAGAAAACAAUUUAAAGAUAUUUCGGAGAAAUACCUUUAGUUGGAAUUAAUCAAGUCAUAUUUAUAUUUAUCUAAGAAAGACGAUGUAGUGCCUAGUCAAACUUUAUUUAUAAAUAUUUAUGUACAAAUUAUGCAAAUUAAAUAUUUAAUUUUAUAAGAAACAUGUAAAAGCAUCUAAGCGUAUAACUUUAUAUUUCGAGUUCAACUAAGCAUAUUAUAUUAAAAACACAUUUAUAUUUAUAUUAGCCAAAUUAACAUUUAUUUAUGAAAGUUCGGGUUAUAACCUAUAUAGCUUUUAUUUAGAAGACAAAUUGAAUAAUUAUUAAUCAAAUUAAAUUUAAUUUAAGAAAAGUUGAGGUUUAACUCUAAAUAGCUUUUAAUUGUAAGAAUUAUUCAAAUAAGUGUUAAUCAAAUUAUCUUCGGUUUAUGAUAAACCGGUGUAUAUCCUAAUUGGCUUUUAUUUUGGAAAGGUUAUGAAAUAAGCAUUAAUCAAAUUAAUGUUUAUUAUGAAAAACAGUGGAUAACGCUUGGUAACUUUUAUUUAGAGAAACACAUGUUCAUUAGGUAUUAAUAAAAUUAAUAUUAAAUUUAUUUUCAAAUACAUGAAAUGUAGGAUGACAUCAAUACUAACGUGUACUUCAUGUGUGUACUUCAUGUUGUUAUGAACCUAACGCAACUUGAACGGAUUAAAACGGAACUAAAACGCAAAAACUACGGACUAAACAAGAUCUAGUGACCUAAACGCAAUUAACCGUAGAUCUCAGGGGUUAGCAGAGAAGAUUACCAAGACACAGGAAACAAGGCCCACGAAAAGAUGAAAACCAAGGGUUAGAUCUGCAAAAGAGUAAGGGUUGAAUUAGAUUGAAGGAAUCUCAAUGAUUCAGGGUGUUUUCUGUGAAAGGUACAAGACACAAGAACAGGUACUGGGAUUAAAAGAUUCUUCAGGGGUUUCAAUGCAAAGUCACCUUAUCUCUUCUGCUGUCUCUCAUCUUUCUCUGGUUUCUUCCGUCCGUUCACAAUGGUGACCGGGAGGGUGCUUCCGGCCGGCGGCGACCAGGCGGGCAGCGACGGCGGCCGGGCCAGGGAGGCAGGGCGCGCGCGGCUGAUGCGGUUGAGGCGCACCGGGCCAGGGAAGCGGCGCGAGGCAACGGUUGGCGGAGAUGCGGCGGCGGUUGGACGGCGUGGUGCANNNNNNNNNNNNNNNNNNNNNNNNNNNNNNNNNNNNNNNNNNNNNNNNNNNNNNNNNNNNNNNNNNNNNNNNNNNNNNNNNNNNNNNNNNNNNNNNNNNNUCAGGUUGGGCUGGUGGAAAGGAGAGAUCCUGGGCGGGUUCGUGGGCUCGGCCCGUUUAGAAAGAUUUUGAUUAAAUAAUUUCAGUGCAAAAACAAAUCUAGAAACUCCAGAUGAUGUUUUUAGAGCACGAACAAUAUUUAGAAAAUUCCAAAAAUUCUGGGAAAAAUCCAUAGAUUGGGACAUAAGGAAUCCAAAUAAAAUAUUUGGAGCUUAUGAAAAGAAUUUGAGAACCAUCCGGAAAAUUGGAUUUAGCUCAAGGAUUAGAAAAAUUGGAAAAUUCUUAGAAGGGUCUAAUCAACGUCUAAACGCAUUCUAAAACUUUUUCACUCAUGAAACACCAAAUGCAUCGGCAUGAAUGCAUAGACAGAGAACACAUUAUUUAAUUUAAAAAAUAAAUAAUUAUUUUUCCUAUACUAAAUUUCUUGUAAAUAAAAUAAAUGUUGGAAAAAUUUAAAAAUUAUGAGAAAAUUAUUUUUUAAUUAUUUAUUUUAGUCACAUCCUGAAAUUUUUGAAUUUCCGGAUGUGACACUCCCCACAGCCUUCGACGCUAGGUCCCUCCUUGGUGGCGUUUGGCCUGUGUGUGCAAUGUGCGUGGGCCCACAAUGCUGGAGGACAUUGCGGCCCAGCUUUUUUUUAUUUUUUAAUCAGUUUUCAGUGCAGGGUGACGAGGUAUCCCGCCUCUGCAACCGUCAGCUUGUUCGGCUGGCUGCUGCUGCUCGGCUCUCUGCCGCAGUAGCUGCAGCACACAGCAGCUCUCUGCCGCAGCAACCAGCCAGCCGAACGAGCUGUGUAUUUAUUAGGCUGGACUGAGUCCUGCCCUACAGAUGCCUCAUAAAUGCAAUUUUACCUGGUGGUAAAAACGUUUUUUUUUUAUGUAGUGGUGGCGCUCUCGAGUCUCCACAAAUGCAAUGAACAUGCUGCGCCUCCCCUCGAUCCGACAGAUAUAUUAGUGUUGUUACAAAUCCUAUUUUUGUGACCAAAAGUUGCAAACGGUCAAGCACAUUUUAGUUAUUUUAUUUUACUUUCUUAGUGUCAUUUUUUUGUUGUUAGGCAUCUGAGUGGCACAUCGUAAGCUUGUCCUGGUUGCUCAGCUCAUAAGCAAUAAUUGAUGCCUGACAGUGACUGUCGUUGUUUGACCUGUCUCCACUGCUCGCUUGUGAAUUAUUGGGCCAUGUCCAAUGGCAGUCUUGCAGCUGAUUAGGUGAGGCAGCAAUCUUUUUGAGGGCCUAUAUGUUUAUGGACCAUUCUAAUUAAGUGUCCUUUUGUGGUCAGCCAUCUGAGCCACUGCUGCACAUAAUAACCACGAGGGCAGGCCCAGUGGACGCUCAGGCGCGUGCGUUAUGUCCGACUAGCUAGCUAUGGACAAAGGUCAAGUGAAUAUAUUUAUUUAUUUUUAACAUUACAAAUAUUAGACAUUUCAUGUUUUUUUGGUACCAAAAAGUUUUCAAGCAAGGGCACACAGCUCACCUGGAAUCCUAACUUCACCCUUUGGGCCCUAAUUUCACUUUCCCUCUCAUAUCUCUCCCUUUUCAAUCUCUUUGUGUUAAUUUUUAUCUGAAAAACGUGAGAUUGAACUAACUGUACAUCUCAAGACGUGUGAAUUUAAGAUAGAAUAUUUCAAAAAAAAAUAUAAAAAUAGAUCUUCAAUUAUGUAUAAAAAUAUUAACAAUAUAGUUUCAACAACCAUUCAUAAAUUAAAUAUUAAUAACAUGAAAUCGAAAUGCAAGGUGUCGGGUCCCUGGUGUGCUAUCGCUGUGUGAGGCGGAGAGAGACUGAGAAAGGAUGGAGAAUAUAGAGGACGGAAUGCAUUGUGAAAGCGACAUGUGAUUUUUUGCCCAUAGCCCCUGCAUGCUACUCUCACUGUCCAAUGAAAGAGUGCAAUUUUUCCAGAUAGAGGUGGUGUGAAAAGACACUCACAACCACAUUUAUUGACCAACUCAUAACCACAUUUAUUAACCCCAUGCAGGAAGUUUUGGCAUGCAAAUCAAAUAUAGGUAGUUACAUCUAAUUCUUAGAAUUGCACUCUUUUAUGGGAUUCUUUUCAAACGCUAGAACGACACAUAUGAUGGAGUAUAUACGUGCGCCUCAUGCCGUCACGUGGUGUGUGCUGACUAGACUAGGUGCCGGGGCCGUUUUGGGCAAGGUUUUAAGAUUGAUAAAGUCGAAAUAGAUGCUUCACCAUAGACGACGGUCACCUAGGUAAGAUACGUAUAUACGAAUGCACCACGUCAAUGCAAGACCAGUGAUGUACACGUUUUGAGCUAGCAACAAUGGCCUUUGUACACGUUUUGUCUGUGGCGGGAUGUAGGGCGCCCGUGUGUGAGCACACGCAAAUGCCUCCCCUUGGAUCCGACUAGUAGAUUUGUGUACUGACCACUGAUGGCAUAUCAUAGCUUGUCUGCUUGCCACAUCAUAGCGCGUGAACCACGAGGGCAGGACCAGUGACCUGGCCAGGUAAGGUGGGCGCUCAGACAUCGUGCAUUAAGUCUGAGGUGACGACUCUCUGCUUUAUUCCUAUUCGAGUGAAUUUUCAAAGAGAUCAUUUGAGUCCUUCAGCUUUUAAAGUGGUUCAUUUCACGUGUAAAUUCAGGUCCGUGGUUGGACCUCGAGUAAACAGUGGUUCAUUUCACUCUUUCUGUCAACAGUUAAACAUGCAUCCAUCGGUCAUGCUUUUGUUAAGUACCUGGAUUUAUUACAUAAUGUAGCAUUUCUCAUUUAACUAUUAACAUAAGGUUUCCAUACACUGCACAAGACCUUCAUUAACUCUUGAUUGCUUUUUGAAACGCCGAAUGCACGAUCGUUAUUAACAAUGAGAUAUUUGUUAGUUCCGGUGCUAACAAGUAGGCCUAACCAUGAUACAGGCCCAAGCAGGAGAUAAAAGGAAUAAGAAAAAUAGAAGAAAUGGGUAUUUCCUACUGGCAUAAAUUCAGAUAGAUGAUACAAAAGAUAUGUUAACCCUGAAUAAAUCCAGGAACAAUGAUAAGAAAUUAUGCUAAGCAACCAAAAGUUAUAUGCAGCAGCAUGAAUGUAACAUACAAAAAUAUAACAUAUGAUUCUUUGAAUUUAAUUUAGAAAACAAUUAUUUUACUACACUAAAUAUCUUGAUAAUACUAUAAUUUUUCUAGAAUUAAAUAAAAAUAGAAAAUAUUGCAUUAAUUUACCGUUAUCAUUCACAUUCCAAAAUAAUAAAUUUUGGGUUGUGACACUAACACAUCUGACGUUGCUGCAAAUUAUGAUAAUGAUGCACCAUGUCAUACAUUGCUUUGCAGAGAUACUUUCUUUUGACGUGGUCCUAUAUAUGUCUUGCCAUUUGCUUCGGCUGUCACCAACUUUGUUUAGGAAAGGAAUGAUGAUAUGGAGUUGAGAGGGCAACUGCAAUUCAAAAGAAAGGGAGAAUGAUGAGAACAUCAAGCUACGCAUGAUCCUGCAUCAGUGUAUACCGUUGGUGCUUGCCGUUAUUUUGCCAUUGUAAAAGUGAACCGUGGGCGCUUGUGUUACAAAGCCUAUUUGGCAGGGAGCAAAAGUUGCAAACAGUCAAGUACACGUCAUUUAUUUUCUUUUACAUUCUUAGUGUCUUUUUCUAUGGUGAGGCAUCUGAAUGGCUAUAGUGAAUGAGGCCCAUUAGAUCAUAAUUUAUGAUUUCGGUGAUUGAGUGACAACAUAGUCAAGGAACUAAUAGUUUGUAAAGCAUGUGUCAGUCCCAAGUGUGCAAAUCAAAUAAUGGCAAGGUCCAAAUCAUGUUAUUCAAGUAUCCAAGCUAUGGUAUUCAAGUGACCAAGCCAUGAGGAUACUUAGAUUGGUACUAACUUGAGAGUUUCAGAUUUUUCUAGAAAAUCCUCCGGAAUAUUUCGAAGUUUACAGAGUUUCGGGAGCAGUUUUGGAGGUCCAGAGUUUUUCAAAAAGUUUUUGGGAAGAAUCCGAAGGUUCUGGAAGUUUCCGGAAAAAGUUCCGAAAAAUUCCGGAACUUAACCCCCAAUGGCUAAUUUUGGGGUGAAGGGGUAUAAAUAUCCCCUCACCCCCUCCCAUAGUCUCUCUCUCGACCUAACAUUGCGCUGAGCCUCUAAAUAUCAUUCUAGUCCCCCUCUUUAAUCCCGUUGGUAUUCUUAGUGAGAUUUGGUGGGGAUUUAAUGAGGGAUUCAAGGGAGAGCAAAGGGAAAGUGCUAGUGAGCUGAUUUUCCAUCUCUUGAGCACCUUGUUUUUCGUCAAGCUGGUGGUUCCGCGUUUGUUACUCUUGGAGCUUCAAGCUCCUAGCUGGCUAGGCGUUGCCCAUGGAACAUCCAAGGAGUGUGGUUGCCUAUAGGAAGUUUGUAUUACCCCGACGAUUGAGUAAGUGACUCUAGCUUGAUCUUUGUGGUCGCUAGAGGGAGGAAAUUUGCUUAGGAGUGAAAAGUCCACCCGUCGUGGAUCCUCAACGGAGACCUAGGCUUCAAGGUGUGAAGCAGAACUUCGGAAAACAAAUCCUUCUAUCUUUUGUGCUUGUUGUUCUUAAAUUGAUUCAUAUUCAAGCAUAGACCAUAUUUCUAGGGUUUGUGCUUGAUUUACAGUUCUAGCAAGUUUCCAGCUGUUCUAUCUUGUGCCAAAGGCCUAGAAUAACCUACUACUUAACCUAUUUUUGACGAUUUACUUUUCAGCAAGUUUUUUCAAAAGAUUGUAGUUUAAAUCCUCUAAUCUCCGGCGAUCUGAAGAUUUCUCCGAAAGUUCCAAAAGUUUCAAAAUUUCCGGAACAAUCUUCGGAAGUCGCUAAUAAACUUGUUCAAAGUUGUAAAAAAUUUUAGGUUCGACUAUUCACCCCCCCUCUAGUCGACAUACUAGAUCCUUUCAAUUUGUAUCAGAGCUUUUGUUUCCGGAUUAAAGCUUAACCGCUUGGAGUAUCGAGAUGUCGACAUUGGGAAGUCAAGAGGUGCGUCAAGGAGGUGAUGUCUCAAAUCCAAAUAUCACUCAACAACCCGUGGUGCCACAAGGAGCACAAACAGGUGCUCAAGGAGGACGUGUCCGUGGAGCAAGCACAAGUGCAAGAAGGCAUCAAGAAAGCAAAGAUUCCUCCGAUGACGACUCCGAGUAUGAUGAUGCAAGAUCAACCCGCUCCGGACUUUCUGGUCCACGAAGGGAGUUUCACCAAAUCCCUUUCAAUUAUUGUCGCUUCAAUUUUAACACCUCAUCCGGGUCUAUCAACUUGGGAAAGCCUCCUCGCUUCGAGGGGAAAGAGAAGUCGUCUUUAAGUCGUACUAUCCCCCAGCUUGGGGAUCUACCAGAUAAAGAUGCUCAAACUAUAGCAGCAAUGCGCUUAGAACAACAAAUCCAUGUCAUUGGAUUUAUGAAAGAUACAGGUAUGUCUCUUGCUGAAGUUCUAGGGCAAGUUGAACCACCAGCUCCAGUGCCAGUUGUAGCUAGAUGGACCUUUGAGCUAGGCAAGCCUCUAGUAAGGCAUGAGUUGGUACGGAAACUAUCCAUGAAGAUGUAUGAUUUCCAUGAAUGGUACAUAAAGCAGUCUGCCAACGAGAGGCAAAUGUUCGGUCUUUGAGUUAAACCGAUAGAUUUUUUUAGCGAAGGUGACAAAGUCUUGUGGAUGGAAUUCAAGGAUAUAUAUGAAGUGUACCAUUAGGAUGCCCUUGACGUCUCUCUCAUCAGCGCCUGGCUUCUAUAAGUGUCUGUUUAUCUACAUGUAAAUUUUAGCUCAUAUCAUUAUUUUUUGUGCGUGUGUCGCCUACUAACUUCGUCUUCCAUUUUAUGUAGGAUGCUAAUCUAGAGCUGCCACAGAGAAUCGUACUUCAAUGUUGGCUUCAUGGAUCCAUCACUUGUUAACCAAAAGCAGAUACGGGAUUAGCUAGACAAAACAUUGGAGGCAGUAUACAAUUUCAUGGACAAACAACAUUACAAGAGUUACAUACUACUGCCAUACAACUUUGAGUAAGUGUGGGUACCGUAUAUUUUUAUUUUCUUUUUCCUUACCUAAUUAAUGUUAGUUACCUCUAAUAUGAAGAUUUAACUACAUAGUUUCCACUGGAUCCUCAUAAUAAUUGAGAUUGAUAGAAGCCACGUCAUUGUGUUCGAUUCGUUGAGGAAACCACCGAAGAAGUACCAGGACAUUCAAGGCAUGAUAAACUCGUAAUAAUUCUUGACCUUUAUCUCUAUGCAAAAGUUUGUUUCCUAAACUUUCAUGUAACACUGUAUCAUUCAUUAUUUUAAUUCGCAGCGUAUGGAAAUUAUUCCUUACGAAACACCAUGGUCCAUUCAGAGAAAAACUUUCAUUCAGAACAGACUUCUCGGUAGGUACGAAGUUUGCACAUUUUGUACAUUCUAUAACACGAAUAUUUCAUAACUUGUUUUUUCCCACUAAAGUGUUUAAGGCAGGAAUCCGGGAAUAAUCUAUGUGGAUAUUACGACUGUGAGCACCUGCACAAUUUUGUGGGACCCAAGGUGCUGACGUAGCAUGAUAUGAAAGUACGUAAAAUCAAACUAUUAAUAAUUAAUUAUUUUCUAGCUCCUUAUAUUUAAUUGUUCGUGUAACAUUCACAUAUUUCCAAUUACAGAUGUGGAAUAUUCAACAUAGCAUCUUGGAGAAGGAGAGAAUAGGGGCAAUAUGUGAAGGAUUCCUAGUGGACCGGGUGAUAAAUCCAGAGGGAGAAUUUCAUUACAAUGGACAUUUAGUAGACGCACCGAGCAACACCACGAAAGUGGAUCCUAGGAAUGAAGUGGACAAAUUUUUGUAUAUAUAGUAAUUGUAUAAAUACUAGUUUGAUUUGUAUAAUACGCUAAUAAUUGUAUAUACAUAUAUAUACACACACCACUGCAUGCACACAUGCAAACCAACCGGGACUAAAGGGGCCCGUGCUGCACCUAGCGUGGCCCCCCUUUAGUCCCCAUUGAGUGACCCGGGACUAAAACCCCCCCUCGUCUCGAAUAGUUUAUCCCGGAUGGAUUUUCGAGAGAGUUGAGGCCUACCAACCGGGACUAAUGCUCAGUUUUCUACCAGUGCAAGGUACAAAAGAAUAGCAGGCCCAAACAGAAAUUCAAAUCUCUAAAGCAAAAGAUAUGUUAACCCUGAAUAAAUUCUGGAACAAUCAUAAUAAGCAACCAAAAAAUUAUAUGGAGAAGCGUGAAUGCAACAAACAUAAUAUAACAUAUGAUUAUUUGAAUUUAAUUUAGGAAACAAUUAUUAUAAAAUACUGGAAGACUGAGCAUUGAUCCUAGCCCUUAAUACCGGUUGGUUUUUGACCCAAUACUUAUGUGAGCAUUAGUACCGAGUCUAACGGCUAGUUCCCCAGGAGCCCCCUAUGAUCCCCUUUAGAACCGGUUAGGGGCUCCAACCGGUACUACACCGGUACUAAAGGUCACCCAUUAGUACCGGGUGGCUCCACCCAGUACUAAUGUGUCUGAGGGUCUUUAGUACCGGGUGAAACCUCCAGGUGAUAUUUUUGUGAGAACUUUCAAGGCCGGCGCCCUCCUCACCCACCUUACCCGCAGCCUGCCCUCAGUCCCUCCUCCCCCGAGCCUUAUCUGCUCACUCCCUCCCCGUCCGCUCCCCUACCCCACCGCUCCUCCUCUACCUCCUUCCCCACCUCCGCUCCCCUCCGCCUCCCUUUCUCCUCCUGUGUCUCCCUCCCCAUCGGAGCUCCCUCUCGCCCCGACCCCCUCUCACUCUCCCUCUCCCGCUGGAACUCCCUCUCCCGCUGUCCCUCCCCUCCCUCUUUCACGCGUCCCUCACUCAUGGCAGUGACGAGCGGCGGCGGGGCGAAGAGUGGUGGCAGCGCACGGGGCUGCAGCGGCGCACAGGGCUCGUGUGGAUGUGGCGGUGGUGGGUGGAUGCGGUGGUGACAGUGAGCCCCCCUCACUCUCUCUCUGAUCUAGAGGCGGAUCCAGCCGGUGCGGUCGAGCUCUGGCGGGUCAUGCUACUGGGGCGUGUGGCGACACGAGGCCGGGGCACGCGGCAGGGGUGGCAGUGGUGGGGCCUGUCUCCAGCGAGGGGCCAAGUGUCCGGCAGGGGCGUGAGGCCCAAGGGUGGCAAAGGGGGCAAGGGCGGUGGCCGGUGGGAUGCAGCUCGCCCCACAGCGGCGGGGUGUGGCUCGAGCUCGGGCUGGGUGCGGCGGGUGCGGCUCGGGCGGGAUUUUUUUUUGAACUUUUUAAUACCCUUUAGUACCGAUCAUUUGAAGGCGUUUUCCCCAGCAGUGAUACUACACUAAAUAUCUUGAUAAUACUACAAUUUUGUAAAAUUAAAUAAAAUUAGAAAAGCAUCGCAUUAAUUUACCGUUAUCCAUUCACAUCCCAAAAUAAUAAAUUGUUGCUGCAAAUUAUGAUAUUAGUGCAUCAUACAUCUGGCACUUUUCGUCCUGCUGUCACUAGCCUUCUUUUUCAGUACGAUGGAGGACGACUGCAAUUUAUGGAACGAGUACGGUCCUGUUUAGUUGCCCGAUUUUGGACAACCAAAAUCACUAUGCUAGCACUGUAGCAUACUGUAGCAUUUCGUUUGUAUUUAUGAAUUAUUGUCCAAACAUUGACUAAUUAGGCUUAAAAAAUUCGUCUCGCAAAGUAUAACAAAACUGUGCAAUUUGUUUUUGAUUUCGUCUAUAUUUAGGUUCCGUUUGGAUACCUCGUGCUAAAGUUUAGCACAUGUCACAUCAGAUGUUUGGAUGCUAAUUAGGAGUAUUAAACAUAGGAUAAUUAAAAAACUAAUUGCACAGAUGGAGUCUAAUUCGCAAGACGAAUCUAUUAAGCCUAAUUAAAUUAGGCUUAAUAGAUUUAUCUCGCGAAUUAGCACAGGGAUUUGCAAUUAGUUUUAUGAUUAGCUCAUGUUUAGUCCUCCUAAUUAGCAUCCGAACAUCCGAUGUGAUACUGCUAAAGUUUAGCACCUAAUAUCCAAACGCCCUUUUAGUACUCCAUGUAUGUACCACAAGUUUGAUGUGAUGGGGAAUCUUCCUUUUGCAUAUUGUCAAAGUUGGAAUUUUGGGAACUAAGCAAGGCCUACAUCAGCACGCUGGAUACAGACUGAGCCUGCCUCAGUGCAUGCCGUCAGUGCUUGCCACUCUGCCAUUGUCCAAGUGCAACGUGGGCGCUUGUGAGUGUCCACAUGCAAUGCAAGAUGCUGCGUGCCUAUUUGGCAGUGAGCAAAAGUAGCAAACAGUCAAGUACACGUCAGUUCUUUUCUUUUACUGUGGUCAGGCAUCUGUGUGGCACAUGGUAAGCCUGUCCUGGUUGCUCAGCUCAUAAUUAAGCAAUUGAUGCUUGACAAUGACUGUCAUUGUGUGAGCUGUCAAUAACAGUGUUGCUCGAUUUGAGGGCUUAUACAUGCACCACGUGCAUUGCACGUCAAAAGAAAAAAAAAUAAAGGAUGCCUGCUGGUAUUAGAUGUGUGCAGCACUCAAAUAUUGAGCCUUGUACGUUUUGUCAGAGUCUCUGACAGGCGCCCGUGUCUUAGCACAUCCAAUGCCUGGCCGACACUUGUAGACGACUCUGCUUUUAUUCCUAUUUCUUUCAACAGUUAAACAUCCAUCGGUCAUGAUUUGUUAAGUACCUGGAGUUAAACAGUGGGCAUGGUAGGUGCUCACUGCUCAGCCAUCGCACGUGUUGAAGAACGUGUGUGGUCUUAGCUAGUCUCCUAGAGGCAAUAUUUUAAUCAGUCACCGGAAACUUUUAUUGCUCAGCUCAGCAAGCUCAUCUUGUUUGCCAACAAGUAGAGCAAGCGAGCACAGCGCGACGCACACAGCCAUGGCGAGCAUGGAGAGCCGAAGCCUCCCCAUGGCAGCAGCCACCUCCAUGUCGGUAGCUAUCGCCAUUGUCUUCCUGAUCAACACAGCCGCACCAGUGGGAGACGCGGCAUCCGUCGAGCACACGUUCAUUGUAAAUAUGCAUGAUGCUGUUUCGUUCCGUUUGAUCGACCUCUCUAGCGUCGAUCGUAUCUAUAACAACCAUUCAUGCGCCAUUAUCCACGCACUUAUGCUUGAUUUCCUUGAUCGUGUACACAUGUAGGUGAAUCAGACGAAGAUGACGCGCCUGUGCAAGGAGACACAGGUCACCGUGGUGAACGGGCAGCUCCCAGGGCCAACCAUUGAGAUCACAGAAGGAGACACGGUGACUGUUCAUGUCAUCAACAGGUCACCUUACAACAUGACAAUCCACUGGUAAGCUACGAUGGCAUACCAAUAAGUUCAUCCAUUUCAGAGGAUAAAGCUAUAUAUGGCACUGCUUAUAAGAAACAGCUAAGGUGGACCGUGCAUUUUGACGUCUAGAUUUUUUGUACGAUUGUCACCCGUUUUUCAAAAAUAUGGCUUCAAUUCUAGGAGUAUAUGUUAGACAAGAAAUCAAAAUAUUUGAUGAUAAUUACACGAUGAAAUUAUAAAAUAUAUGAAGUGCAUCAAGGAUAAAGCUGCGAAGGAUCACGUUUACUUCGUAGUAAGAUAUUUAAAAUUUAUGAGCACUUAUAAUUAUUCAGAUUGUAAAACGUUUUUUAAACAAAAUUGCAGCACUCCACACCUUUAUAGUUGACAACCUUUUGUGAUGUAUACGACAGAUAAAAUAGAGGAUAGUCUUGGAGGAGUGAGCAUUCGGGUUACUCGACAUGUUCGGGUUGGGUAAUUUGAGGUUUCAAAAGUUCGGAUUGCUCAAAUCCCUACUCAAGAUGUACCAUGGGAGAACAGUACCUGAAGUUUCACGCCUCGUUCGGCUGGCUGGCUGCUGCGGCAGAGAGCUGUUGCGUGCUGCAGCUGCUGCGGCAGAGAGCCGAGCAGCAGAAGCCCUGCAAAGCAGCCAGCCGAACGAGCUGUCAGUACCCAAAAUGUCGGGUUCGGGUGUCAAGAAAAUUUGAGAGAGGAACAAGAACAAGAACCCGAUGAACAAGAACAAAUCCAAGAGAAAGGAAAAUUUGAGAAGAAAAAUUAGGAGAACAGGUAACGAAACUUAGCAGCGUGUCAAAAAAAUUUAUUGUCGGUCCUCGCUUUGCAUCCACAUCAGGUUCCAAAAAGGAAAAGCAAUAACCAAUAGCACUCGCAUCUCGAUUCCCUCGAAUCCUCUAUAAGGUUCCAGCAUCUUCGAUUCCCUGGAGUAGGACGUAGCAUUAGCAGGGAUGUCAACUGCUAGUGAACCAGGAUCAGGGAGAUGGGACCUCGACGGCGCCGCGCUUUCCUCCACCAGCGCUGCGCCGGUCUCUUCCUGCCGCGCGCUCGCACACGCCGGCCGCCGGCACGGUCGUGCCAGGUUUGGAAUAUACUACUAGAAUAUGAGCAUUCUAGUUGAUUUUUGUACCGGAUGGUAUUUCGUCCGGUAAUAACGUUUGAAAUUGGUGCUGGAUACAAAUUUUUGAUCCUCGGAGAUAUUUUAGUACCAGACAAUAACACUAACCGGUACUAAAUGUGGUGUUAUUGCCCGGUAGUCUAGAUCAUUUAGUACUCGACAAUAACACCAGUACCUCGUGGAGUACCAUUUAGUACCGGUCAAUAACACCAACAGGUACUAAAUGUCUUGGUAUUAUUGACGGGAACUAAAAGCCUCUCCAUGAGUUACUUCAAAAUGACAGUAUUUCUAACUCAAUCACAUGUGCUACGUAGAUGAGAUGGUAAGGAAGGUUCACGUGAGUCUUGAGGUCGUGGGUUCGAAUCCCACAGACCGUGCACGCGCAUAUUACGCGAUACCGGUCAGGCGCCCGGUACUAGAGGGGGUUACUGAUCAGUACUAAAGGUCGGUUCUCCAGUAGUGAUAAGACUCUGUAGGGCAACUGGAUAAUUGUAAGCCGGACGGUGCAGGUUCCAUGGGAAAUAAUGAAGGUGGAUCUUGCAGCAAGAUUUCUUGCUCUGAUAGAUUUUUAACAUUCCGCUCUAAAAUCUGCUUACAACCUAACUCCUCACGUGGAACGGAGGUGCUAUAUUUUGAAUGAUAAGGAUUAUAAGAUGAUCCUCCUCACCUCUCCAAACUUACAAUGUGAUAAACCCACCACACUACAACCACAAUUAAACCACAUGAACCAACAACUACAGUACUAGAAGAUAUUGGGCUGGGGUAGAGUUUUUAUCUUUUCUGAGAACACAAAAGUAUUUGUGGUUUGUGAUGCAGGCACGGAGUGAAGCAGUUUCGGAACUGCUGGGCUGAUGGGGUGCCAAUGCUCACCCAAUGCCCUAUCCUGCCGAACAAAAAUUUCACCUACCAGUUCAAUGUCGUUGGGCAGGAAGGCACCCUGUGGUGGCAUGCUCACGUCCCCGGACUACGGGCAACUGUCCAUGGCGCAUUCAUUAUUCGGCCAAGGCAUGGAGCUGAGUCAUAUCCAUUUCCUCAGCCUCAUAAGGAGAUCCCAGUUAUUAUAGGUUUGUGAACCUUUCAGAUUUUUAUUGUUUAGGAUAUGAGAACCUUAACUUCGUGCAAAUUUAAUUGGUCCCCAUUUUGAGAAAAUAAAAUAUGUCAUGUCCUAUGGGAUUUAAAUUGUGCGCAAUUUUGCAAUGGUUUUGCAAGUAUCUAGUAGAUGUGAAAUGAUCCUGAUGAUUACAGGGGACUGGUGGGAGAAGGACCUUGCAGAGAUGGCCAGGAAUAUGACGAAGAGCAUCUUUCUGUCUUAUGCUAGUGCAUCCACAAUCAAUGGCUUGGUCGGAGAUCUCUUCAAUUGCUCAGGUAAGCAAUUAUACGAUUCUAAACAGCCAUUUAGCACAAUUAAACUCUAUUUAAUUACUGCACAGUAGCCAGCUGAUUAAAUUCUCAGUCUUAAUGGUCUUGAGUUUUAGCCCGUACAAAUGGCCGUUUAGCAUAAUUAAACAGCCAUUUUGGUGAAAACUGUAUACAAUUGUGCGUUUGGUGAAAACUAUAUUGGAUAUUUGUCCAUGUCGAAACUGAUAUACACUACGGGAAAGCUAAAAAUUGCCGAGUGUAUUUUUUUUGCCGAGUGUUUUUUUCAAGCACUUGGCAAACAAGCUCUUUGCCGAGUGCCAAGCUAAAAACACUCGGCAAAGAAAAAACACUCGGCAAAGAAAAAACACUCGGCAAAUCGGGGCUUUGCCGAGUGUCAAAUAAAAAACACUCGGCAAGCCACCCUCUUUGCCAAGUGUCUUAAAAAAUACUCGGCAAAGAGGGGGCUUUGCCGAGUGUCAAAAAAGACACUCGGCAAAGAGGGGGGGUUUGCCGAGUGUUUUUUUUGACACUCGGCAAAAAAAUAAUUUUUUUUCCUCUUUUCACCUUGAAAUUUUUUCUACUCCUCACAUACAACAUGUGGUACUCCAUGUUAAAGUUUAGUAUAUUUUUGAAUUUAUUUGCUAUAUUUAUUUAAUUAAUUGCAUUUCAAGGGAUAUUUUGGUAUAAGUCAAAUUUGAACUGCAAGUGAUUCAAAUUAUGGAACAAAAUAAGUAUAAAAAUGAUAUUCAUGUUAUUUGGCCCAAUUUGAGACCUGACCCAUGAAAUGAAAAGAAAUUUCGAACAUCUUGUUCAGGAAACACGAACAUGAACCUGUGGCAGUAGUAUUUUUAAAUUGUAAAAAAAACAAGCAAAAUCUGAAAAUCAAGAGAUUUGUCAUGAUGUGAUGAUAUAAUAUGUGGAGGCUGUGGAAAAAAGUGAGAAAGUUUUUCACAUUUCAUCAUGUAUGAUGAUUACAAACCGAAGCAUCUCAGAAGAAGAAUAGUAACUUUGAGAAGGAUUCGAUAAAAUUUAGAGUCGAAGUGACGGUCGAGUUCGGUUUGACUACAAAACUUUUUAUAUAGUCAGUAGAGAACAUAUAUUAUUUCGUGUGAAAAUUUGGUAUUUUUUUUGAAACUGCUAGAUAUUUUUUAAUUUUUUUUAAAAAAAUUUGUUGAGUGUCCUAGGGUGGACACUCGACAAAGAAACCCUUUACCGAGUGUCCACACUGGACACUCGGUGACGUUUUUUUCCCUGUACCGGCCAGGCCUGCCUCCUCUCACCGCCCCCGCCCACCCCCCCUCGAGACACCCCCUGCCCCCACUCCCCACGAUAUCAAGGAGAGUCCGCUCNNNNNNNNNNNNNNNNNNNNNNNNNNNNNNNNNNNNNNNNNNNNNNNNNNNNNNNNNNNNNNNNNNNNNNNNNNNNNNNNNNNNNNNNNNNNNNNNNNNNNNNNNNNNNNNNNNNNNNNNNNNNNNNNNNNNNNNNNNNNNNNNNNNNNNNNNNNNNNNNNNNNNNNNNNNNNNNNNNNNNNNNNNNNNNNNNNNNNNNNNNNNNNNNNNNNNNNNNNNNNNNNNNNNNNNNNNNNNNNNNNNNNNNNNNNNNNNNNNNNNNNNNNNNNNNNNNNNNNNNNNNNNNNNNNNNNNNNNNNNNNNNNNNNNNNNNNNNNNNNNNNNNNNNNNNNNNNNNNNNNNNNNNNNNNNNNNNNNNNNNNNNNNNNNNNNNNNNNNNNNNNNNNNNNNNNNNNNNNNNNNNNNNNNNNNUUGGUCCCACAUCUCUAAACCAAUGGCCCGGCAUGGAUGCACCAUAUCAGUGUUGAUUCUCAAAAAGUCCCUGAUACGUUUAGUAUCCAUCUCAAGAUUCCUCUAGCAUUGGGCACAGAUACCGUCUACACAUAUCUGUGGGAAAUUUUUGUAAUCUCAACAUAACAACUUAGAUUACAACUUCUCACUUAUGUGUCCCUCCUACGUAUGUGAUUAGGACUUAGGUGCUGUGAUAUGCAAGCACAUCUAAACGUAACAUUCUAGGACUCAGCCCCAAUCCUUGGUGCGACGUAUAUGAAUUGGAGGGGUGCCCCGUGCAUCAACCUAAUCUCGGCAUUAGGCUAAACACCAAUCAAUUACAGCACUGGGGGGAUAAGAAGUACGAGAUCCAUCUACUGUGUGUAGCUGAUCUUCACCAAUCAAGAACCUGUUCUUGAGAGGUGAAUCAGUUCUACGUCAAACUCUUAAUCAACCAGGAGUGAGAAGUUCCUGAUCUGGUGAAGAUAAGACCUACUUCAUCUACAGUAACACAUCUACUACUAUCGGUGGCAUCANNNNNNNNNNNNNNNNNNNNNNNNNNNNNNNNNNNNNNNNNNNNNNNNNNNNNNNNNNNNNNNNNNNNNNNNNNNNNNNNNNNNNNNNNNNNNNNNNNNNNNNNNNNNNNNNNNNNNNNNNNNNNNNNNNNNNNNNNNNNNNNNNNNNNNNNNNNNNNNNNNNNNNNNNNNNNNNNNNNNNNNNNNNNNNNNNNNNNNNNNNNNNNNNNNNNNNNNNNNNNNNNNNNNNNNNNNNNNNNNNNNNNNNNNNNNNNNNNNNNNNNNNNNNNNNNNNNNNNNNNNNNNNNNNNNNNNNNNNNNNNNNNNNNNNNNNNNNNNNNNNNNNNNNNNNNNNNNNNNNNNNNNNNNNNNNNNNNNNNNNNNNNNNNNNNNNNNNNNNNNNNNNNNNNNNNNNNNNNNNNNNNNNNNNNNNNNNNNNNNNNNNNNNNNNNNNNNNNNNNNNNNNNNNNNNNNNNNNNNNNNNNNNNNNNNNNNNNNNNNNNNNNNNNNNNNNNNNNNNNNNNNNNNNNNNNNNNNNNNNNNNNNNNNNNNNNNNNNNNNNNNNNNNNNNNNNNNNNNNNNNNNNNNNNNNNNGGAUGUUGGCAGCAGUUAGCACGCCAGUUUGAACCACAAGCCCAUGGAUUAGUUGUAACUCUUUCCUCAUAAUAUUCGUCUAAGAUUUAUCAAUCCGUGGAACUUAUAUUGCAAGAUCAGCUAAUGUUUUCAACAUGAUUUAAGUUUAUAUAUGAUUCAGAUCUAAUCUAGCAUGUACAGACAGAUAGCAGAUUUGAGUAAGUUUAUAAAGGAUUAAGAUGCUGCCUCCCCUUCGACCCCGACAGAUAGAUUCGUCUUGCAAAUCCUAUUCAUCAGUGACAAAAUGUUGCAAACCUUCGAGUCCACAUCAGUUAUGUUCCUCACCUUUCUGNNNNNNNNNNNNNNNNNNNNNNNNNNNNNNNNNNNNNNNNNNNNNNNNNNNNNNNNNNNNNNNNNNNNNNNNNNNNNNNNNNNNNNNNNNNNNNNNNNNNUCUGUUACAUGUGCAGGAGGAGAAUAUUAAAUUGUGGAAACCACUAUCUCAGUCUAGUCGUAUAAACACUAAAAACCAUUGCCCCCCAAAAAUAGUUUAGUCGCUAUGAAGAUACGCAAAAAUAUACUAAAAUAGAAAAGUCUCUAUGAAGACAGCAUAACAUCCUGCUAGAACAAUGAGUGGACCCUAACAAGAUAUUAACAGAGUCUAGUGAAUUAAGUUUAGACAAUAUCUUGCUAAAAAUGAGAAGUUUGGGCCUCAUUGACAGCAUAAGAUUAUGUCAGUUCCUUUCAUUGCUAAACAAUGAGAUUCAUCAGUACGUUCAGGUUUCUUCCAUUAAUUGUUAUGCUGUGCAACAUCAUGCUUAAACUGGGUCUAGUGGGACAUGAAAAAUCUGAAACAAAAAAAAUGUACAUGAGCGUACUUAAUUUUUUAAUCUUCCAGUGAACAUAUAUAUUUGUAGAGUCAGAAAAACAAGUAUUAUAUGAUAAAACGGUGCAAAAUUGAUAUCCAUAACAAAUCAUUUAUAUUCUGCUGAUUACCAUAUUAAUUAACCUUCAAUCAGUAUCAUUCUUAAAGUGCUUGGUUUAUUUACAGUAAUUAUACUCCAUACCUUUAGAUAUGGAUAAAAUAGGAAAGUGGCGAAAAAUAUGUCUCGAAGUUGCUGGACUUACGUUUGGUGUAUUGUAAGAACAGCCACAUACAAUUUGAUACCUUUACUCCAUUAGAUAGGGACAAAAUGGGAAAGUGGAAGCAAAGACAUGUCCUGAAGUUGUUGCACUUCUAUUUAGUGCACUUCUAUUUAGACACCUUUACACACGGAUCUCAAGGAGUGAAUAAUUAAGUAUACCGCAAUCCUUCAACAAAACUAGAACCAGAGUUUUUUCCUAUAAAUAUUUGAUCAUAUUUAUUAUCUUAAUUUCAUAAGAUGUGCUGCCCAUAUUUUUUUAUCCUAGUUUGAUGCCCAUGUACGACCUCCAAGAACUAAUUCUCGAUCUUCUAUGGUGUAUACAGGUGUUUGGUUCAUGCACUGCCACUAUGAGUUUCAUCUUUCGAUGGGCAUGGCGGCAGUGUUCAUAGUAGAGAAUGGGCCAACAAUGGACACAUCUCUCCUUCCACCACCUGUGAACUUUCCAACUUGUAGCCAUGACAAUAGUCUCAUCCAAACUAUAUGAAAAGUGAAAUCUAGCUAAUAAAUGGAGCAAGUACAAAGAUAACUCCGACCACUUGUUUUAAAAUAUGUCAUUAUGAAUAAUGAAGGUGCGGUAUGAGAUAAAAUGUAUCCGUAUUAUUUAUGUUAACAAAUCGAACCUGGUUUGCAGCAGAUGAAUUAUCCUGCAUCUGUAUGAUUUGAACAUAUUACGAUUUACUUGUGGUUGAAUCACCACUGUGAACACCUUACCCAUGUUAGCCCUGCCGUGCCGACCCAAAACACACCGGUACGGACGGUUCGUCCACAUCUCUAAAACAAUGACCGGCAUGGAUGCACAAUAUCAGUGUUGAUUCUCAAAAAGUCCUGAUACGUUUAGUAUCCAUCUCAAGAUUCCUCUAGCAUUGGCACAGAUACUGUCUACACAUAUCUGUGGGAUAUUUUUGUAAUCUCAACAUAACAACUUAGAUUACAACUUCUCACUUAUGUGUCCCUCCUACGUAUGUGAUUAGGACUUAGGUGCUGUGAUAUGCAAGCACAUCUAAACGUAACAUUCUAGGACUCAGCCCCAAUCCUUGGUGCGACGUAUAUGAAUUGGAGGGGUGCCCCGUGCAUCAACCUAAUCUCGGCAUUAGGCUAAACACCAAUCAAUUACAGCACUGGGGGGAUAAGAAGUACGAGAUCCAUCUACUGUGUGUAGCUGAUCUUCACCAAUCAAGAACCUGUUCUUGAGAGGUGAAUCAGUUCUACGUCAAACUCUUAAUCAACCAGGAGUGAGAAGUUCCUGAUCUGGUGAAGAUAAGACCUACUUCAUCUACAGUAACACAUCUACUACUAUCGGUGGCAUCAUAUAUCUAACUAUGGUGAUACAAAGAUAACUUCCUGGAAGGAGUGAUAACUAGUGCAACCUAGCAAAUAAAACUCGAAGGCAACCACCGUCUUCAGCCAGCAAUCUAAAUCGAGGAUUCACCCAACCACACUCACAAAUAACAAACCAACACAACUUAGAAUCAAACGGAUCAGAACCACCUGGAAUCUAACUUCUUUGAUACAAGGAUUCAUUACACUAGGGCCUCCAUAUAUAACUCAUUGUUGUCUAAUUCCUUAGAUAACCUUUAUUGGGAAGUCAACUAAAACAAAAAAAUAUUUUUAGGAUCGGAUUAAAACGUGGCGUGCCAGCACCUAUUUAGGAGCAAACGAACCUAUAGCCCAUGCAUAGAAAUAGAUUUUCAAAGACAAGUAAGGGGCGAGCCACCCCUAGAAAUAGGGUUGUUUCCAGGUGUGGAUGAUGGAAUGACUCGCCCCUGAAAAUAAUUUUAUGAGGUGGCUUGGCCCAUGACCCAUCCCUGUAAAUUAAUCUUUAGGUGCUGGUAGGAUGCUACAGUAGUAUGUUCUUUUUGUGGAAGCAGGGAACUUGUCGCCGGAUGUUGGCAGCAGUUAGCACGCCAGUUUGAACCACAAGCCCAUGGAUUAGUUGUAACUCUUUCCUCAUAAUAUUCGUCUAAGAUUUAUCAAUCCGUGGAACUUAUAUUGCAAGAUCAGCUAAUGUUUUCAACAUGAUUUAAGUUUAUAUAUGAUUCAGAUCUAAUCUAGCAUGUACAGACAGAUAGCAGAUUUGAGUAAGUUUAUAAAGGAUUAAGAUGCUGCCUCCCCUUCGACCCCGACAGAUAGAUUCGUCUUGCAAAUCCUAUUCAUCAGUGACAAAAUGUUGCAAACCUUCGAGUCCACAUCAGUUAUGUUCCUCACCUUUCUUAGUCCACAUCCGAGUACUACUUUUUUAGAUAAAGGAUAAUGUUCUAGCCUCUGCGACGGCAUAAAACCAACUUUUAACAAUGUUCUCAUCCCACAGGCAGAUUAUGAAUAGAAGGGUAAGGGCACACAAAUGGUAGGAAGGAAUCAAAAGCAAACUCUAUUAUUAUUUCUCUAUCCAUUCUUGGCAGUACAAAUAUCCAAUGAGAUGACUUCCAAUGCCUUAUUUGCUAAAAGAACAGUCUUUCUUGUGUUCUCACGCUAUACAAGGGACUAAGAUCGCAUCAGUAUGCUCCCCGGAAAACAGUCUAUAUAAAAGAGGUAAAACUUUUUUGUCAAAAAUCAAAUCAUUACGUAUACACCAGAUGCAUCUGGCCCACGUAAGAGCUGCAUCCCAAAAUCCUUAUUUCUUAUGGUCAUUAACAUUAUUUUUCGAAGGAUGUGCGCUAUUGACUUUGGUUGGGUUUGCUGCUUGCUCAGCUAAUAAGCAAUUGAUGCCUGACAGUGACUGUCGUUGUGUGAGAUGUAUUAUCCUCUGAAAAAUAAUAGUUGCGUCGCAAAAGCAGCUCUUUUUGUCCGGUUGAAAAUAAGAAGAAAAAACCAAGGAUGCCAGUUGGCAGUCAGCAAUAUGAGCUAGCAAUACUAGUGUUAAACGUUUGUCUAUAACGGGAUGUACGGUGCCUGACAAUCACAAUAAAAUCUCCAUUAUCACCUACCGGAACAUGCAAUAUGUCUGGCCGAAAUAUACAAUAAAAUCCCUUCGACCCCACAGAUAGAUUUGUGUUACAUUCCUAGUAUUCCUAGUAUUUUUAUUUUCUGCCCAUGACCACUGACAAUUUUGCUAUACACGGUACAAUUCUAAGUGUCCUUUUGUGGUCAACAAUCUGAGCCACUGCUGGCCCUAUUAAAAGAUUGACUGCUGGCCGCGUGAACCACGAGGGCAGGACCACAGUCUGAGUUGAGCUGCCUUCCUCCUCAGCUCAUCAUAAGCAAAGUGAUGCCUUACAGUGACUGACAUGGGCCAAUGGCAACUAUGCAAACACAAAAUCACAUUUGGAAUCAUUUUGGAAAAAAAAGAGCGUCCAAUUUUGACUUCAUAUGCAAAAGUUGCGCCUGUUUUAUUGAACACUAUGCAAGUCAGUUAUGCAAAAGCCGCUGACCGAAGCUUGCAGACUGCCGAGUACAAGUCAGUUAUUUAAUUUUCUCCUCAUGCACUCCUAACUAGUUUAUUCUUUCCGUUCCAAAUUGUAGAUUUUUCUAGAUACAUAGCAAACAUGUAUAAACCUAGAAAAAAUCAAAACCAAAACGGAGGAAACACUACACAUGCUACCUUUCUGUGUGUCCUUUUUAAUUUGCUGGCCGCAUAAUAGCUUGUCUGCUGGCCACAUAGUACCACGAGGGCAGGCCCAAUGGGCUCUCAGACAAGGUGCAUUAAGUCAGAGCUGAUAAGCAGUUGAUGCCCUACAGUGACUGACAUGGCCCAAUGGCAAUCUUGAUUGCAAAAAUAACAGUAGUAGCACCACGCGCAAUGUGAGGAAAAAAGUGUGCAAAAUGUGCGGCACUCGAUCGAUAAUUGAGCUAGCAACAUGUACUUACGCUUGUCUGUGAGGGAUGCAUUGUGCCUGACAAUGACAAUGGCAUGCAUCUCUCUCAGUGCUCACCUACCUUCUGACAUCUCUCUCAGUGACAUCUCUCUCAGUGCCCACCUGCCUUCUGACAUCUCUUUCAGUGCUCACCUACAUGUCAGUGUCUACUGACCACAUAGCUUGUCUACUUGCCUGGUGCGCGUGAACCACGAGGGCAGGACCAGUGGUCGUGCACUACUAGGAAUUGAUGGCGCGGCGUGGCUUCUAAGGCGGUGUUUGGAAACAUCCUGCUAAACUUUAGCACCUAUCACAUUAGAUAUUUGAAUACUAAUUAGAAGUAUUAAAUAUAGUCUAAUUAUAAAACUAAUUGCAUAGAUAGAGUCUAAUUUGCAAGACGAAUCUAUUAAGCCUAAUUAGUUCAUGAUUUGAUAAUGUGGUACUACAAUAACCAUUUGCUAAUGAUGGAUUAAUUACCUUUAAUAGAUUCGUCUCGCGAAUUAGACUCCAUUUGUGCAAUUAGAUUUGUAAUUAGCUCAUGUUUAGUCCUCCUAAUUAGCAUCCGAACAUCUGAUGUGACCCUGCUAAAGUUUAGCACCUCGUAUCCAAACACCAUAGUAUAUGUAUUUUCUUCAAUCGUGUCAUCACCCAUUAGUUGUCGUCGCUGAAAUCAAGAGGCGAAAGUGUCAAUGUGAUGAAGUGUAAUCUAGGCCUCAGUCUUCCCCUAGUUUGAGGACCGUAUAAUGGUCAAGUGCUCCUUCGUAUAUGGAGCGACUAGGGAUGAUUGUUGCAGGACUGUGAAGUGUGCAUUACAAAAAGUAUCCUCAUCGAUCUCCAUCCGAGCUUUCCUCCCUAGUGUGCCCUUUCCCUUCAGUCUCCCCUCGUGGCGUGAUACAAGGACUCUAAUCGAACUCAAGUCAUCAAUAAAAUCAACACAAAACUCAAUGAUCUCCUCUCUUCCAUAUACCUUUGCGAUGCUUCCUUCUAGACGGGCACGAUUAUGAAUAUACUUCUUUAAAAUUACCAUAAACCUCUCAAAAGGGAACAUAUUGUUUAGAAAUAUAGGAUCGAGAACAAAAACCUCUUCAACAAGGUGGACUAGAAGGUGGGUCAUGAUAUUAAAGAAGGAAGGUGGAAAGACCGUCUCAAAGCUGACAAGGCAUUGCCCACGUCAUUCUGCAGCUUUAGUAGAUUGUCUGGAUGGAUUGCCUUCUGAGAAAUUUUGUUGAGGAAUGCACAUAGCUUCAUGAUUGCCAUUCUCACAUUCUCCGGUUGAAUACCCCUAAGUGCAACAGGCAGCAAUUGUGUCAUCAGGACAUGGCUGUCAUGGGCCUUUAGAUUUUAGAAUUUUUCUCGUUAAUAUUUAUUAUUCCCUGUAUAUUUGAGGAGUAGCGCAAUGGGACCUUGAUACUAUUUAAGCACUCAAACAUGCUUUCCUUCUCUUCUUUGCUGAGAGUGUAACUAGCAGGAUGCAAGUAAUGUCCAUCAUCUCCCUUUUCCGGAUGUAGGACAUUUCGUUGUUUCAUACAUUUCAAGUCCCGACAUGCUUCAAUUGUAUCCUUUACCUUUCCAUAUGUACCGAGGAAGCCAAGCACAUUCACACAAAGUUUUUUCAUCAGGUGCAUCACAUCAAUUGUAUUACAGACAUCAAGGAUUUCCCAAUAAGGUAGCUCCCAAAAUAUAGACUUUUUCUUCCACAUGGGUGCAUGUUCAUCCUCAUCGUUCAGAAUAGGUUGGCUACCAGAGCCCUUGCUAAAGACUACCCUCACAUCCUUUAUCAUAGAAAAUACACACUUACCAUUAUGGUGAAUGGGCUUAGAACAUUUUUCUUUCUCCCCUUCAAAAUGCUUCCCUUUCUUUCUUAAUGGGUGCUUAGCAGAAAGAAAUUGACGAUGUCCCAUAUACAUGACCUUCCGAUAAUGUUUCAAAUACAUACUGCAAGUAUCAUCUAAACAGUGUGUGCAGGCUUGAUGUCCCUUGUUUGUCUGUGCUAAUAGAUUACCAAAUGCGGGCUAAUUAAUUAUGGUUACGGACAGCAAUGCUCAUAGAUUAAAAUUCUCCCUUUUGUCCUCAUCCCACACACGUACACCUUCUUCCUUCCAUAACAGUAAAAGUUCACCAACCAACGGUCUUAGGUAAACAUCAAUGUCAUGGCCAGGUUGUUUUGGGUCUUGGAUAAUACCAGCAUCAUAAUGAACUUCUACUUCAUGCACAUUCAAGAUGGAAGGUUGAACAUAGAUAAGGUCAUAGGCCAAGUGCUAUGACCACUACUAAACUCACUAAAUGGAUUGAAUCCAUCCGUACUUAAACCAAGCCUUAUGUCCCUUGCAUCCUUUUCAAACUCGGAAAAUUCUCUGUGUACUGUUCUCCACUGAGACCCAUCAGCAUGCAUAUCUAGGGCGAAAGGUUGAACAUACAUAAAGUCAUAGGCCAAGUGCUAUAACUAGUACUGAACUCACAAAAUGGAUUAAAUCCAUCCGUACUUAAACCAAACCUUAUAUUCCUUGCAUCCAUUUCAAACUCAGGAAAUUCUAGUCAACUAUUCUCUAAUGGGACCGAUCAGUGGGGUGUGUGAUCAUUUCAUCUUACUUACUUUCUUCUUUGUGCCAAUACAUCAACUUUGCAUGUGCCUUGUUUUGGAACAAACACUUAAAGCGUGGUACUAUAGGGAAAUACCACAUUACCUUCGCAGGAACUUUCUUCUUGCUAGCCUAGCCCUCAACAUUACUAGGGUCAUCUCUUCUGAUCUUAUAACGCAGCGCUUUGCAUGCAGGAUAAGCCUCCAAUUUGUCGCAUUCCUCACCACGAUAGAGGAUACAAUUAUAAGGACAUGCAUGUAUCUUUUGUACCUCCAAACCUAAAGGGCAAACAACCUUUUUCGCUUUGUACGUUGAGGACGACAAUUCGUUCCCCUUAAGAAGCAUGUUCUUUAUGAUUUUGAUUAACUCAUCAAUACCCUUGUCAGAAACUUCAUUUUUUUUGCCUUCCAUUACACCAUUUCCAGUGUGGUACCUAACUUUUUGUGCUCCUGUUUGCAAUCUGGGUACAACAAUUUCUUAUGAUCAUCUAACAUACGCUCAAACUUCUUUGACUCCUUCACAUUCUCGUAGUCUUCCUUUGCAUCUCGCAACACUUGACCUAGAUCAUUGAUAGGAUCUUCUACCUCGCCCAUCUCUUCUUCAGCCUCGCCCAUUAGAGCAUCUACAAAGACACCUCCUUGAGUCCAGUCAGGAACGUUGUCAUCUUCUUCUUCAUCAUCAUCUUCCAUCAUAACUCCUCUUUCCCCGUGCUUAGUCUAAACAAAAUAGUUAGGUAUGAAUCCAGAACUGUAUAUGUGGGCGUGAAUAGUCUUCCUUGAUGAGUAAUCUUUCCCAAUUUUGAAAUUUCUGCGUGGACAACAAAUGAAAUCAGAUGGUGGCUUGUUGGAUUUUGCCUGAUCGAGAAAACCACGCAAGGCAUUAAUGUACUCCAUGGAGCGUUUGGCUGUGUUGUACAUUCAUUGCCGAUCCAUCUACAAAGUAUUAUCGAACCAUUAAGAUAUAAUGAUCAUGCAUAUAAUUAUAAGCAUAUACAAAUUUCAUAAAACUUAAAUAUUGCUGAAAGUUUAGAUAGAAAUACACAAAUUUAAAGUUCAAACCCAAACAACAUGAUACACUACGACAAACUCAAAUGUUCCUUAAAGUUUAGAUAGAAAUACACAAAUUUAAAUUUUAAAUCCAAACAACAUGAUACACUACGACGAACCAUCCACUUGAGUACUAUCUAGGAGGACUUUAAGUAUCCUUGGGCAGCGGAGACGAAGGUUUAGCUGACCUAGCCUCAUCCUGUUGAUUAUUUGUGCCUCCUAUGGGUAGUAUUCAGUUGACUUGAAAACAUCGGGACUGGCGGUGGAGCAUAACGACUACCAAAAAGAGGUUCCUGACCCACUGCAAUAGCAUCUUCAUGACAUCUUUCCAAAUAACGAAGCAUUGCUCUCUCCCACGUGGUUAUUUUCUUCAGCUUAUCAUGAGGGCCAACUGUGGUUCUCACCUAGCCGCAAGAGGAACGAUGAUGGGGCCCACUAUCGCCACUCCCUCUAGCAGUAGUAGCCAUCUCUAUGUACCAUAAUUUAUUUUGCUCAUAUUUGCAAAUGACUAAACUAUGAACAAACUAUAUUUUCCCCACAAUUUAAUCUUAUUAUCUCUAUGUACCACAAUUUAUUCCACAUAUUUGUAAAGGACUAAACUAUGAAAUUAUUCCUCUAACCUCAUAUUAAUCAUAGCAUCCAAAAAUUUGUAGCUCAAACAUAAAUAACACAUGCAUAAAAUUUCUCCAUUGUAGCUUUUUCUAAAGAUAACAAAUUACUCUAGCUCUAAAGCAUAAAAUUUAGUAUACUAACCAUGUAUCAAGGGAGAUGGAGUUUCUAACCUUUAGAACACUUGAAUGGGUGAAAUCCCCACGAAAUGGUCAAAAAUCUGGCAGCACCUCCCCUAUUUCGCCAUGAGUGGAUGAUGCCCGAACUGGAGGAAAUGGCUUGGGCAGGAGGAAGAAGACGCCUGAUUUAUAGGAGGAAAGUUAGUAUCAAGUGGAGGCUUCACCCGGUACUAAAGGUUGCCAAUUAGUACCGGGUGAAGUCUCCACCCGGUACUGAAGGUCCUUAGGCACAUUAGUACCGGUUGGAGGCUUCAACUGAUACUAAUGGAUGACCUUUAGUACAGGGUGAAACCUCCACCCGUUACUAAAGGGGGUCACGGGGCACUACUGGGGAACUAGCUGUUAGACUCGGGACUAAUACUCACAUUAGUACCAGGUCAAAAAACCAACCGGUACUAAGUCUCGAGGUGAAUGCUGAGGUUUCCAGUAGUGGAGCCAACCUAUAUUACAACACAAUCAAUCAAUAAAUGCAGUGCGCAUUGCGAGGGACAUCGAUCGGUGAAGGGGAAUAGCAACACCAGCUCUCGUAGGCAAACCAUCGUGCACAUGGCGUGCAUGCAUCUCCUGUGUCCUUUCUAUACCUACGUGGAGCUGGAACUUGGAAGUAUGUAUCGGUGUCGUGAUUAGCGUCAUGGCGUGGCAGAGGCAUCUCUGGAGAUGCUGAGCUAGCGCUGCCACAAGGCAAAUUGGCCGGCAUGUGCUUGAGGAAUCUGUGUCGUUGUGGCCUUGUGGCUUGUGGGUAGCCUGGUACGUGCUCAACCAUCGCAUGUGUUGAACGUGUAUGUGGUCCUAGUCUCCGAUAGGCACUCAAGUCUCCGUGCUCAGCGAUCUACCUAGUAGAGCGAGCACAAGCAAGUUGCUACCUCCAAAUGUUGUAUUUGUGUCCGCUGAGCCCUAUAUCACAAAACGUUUUCUUUUGACUGUGUCUGCUACAGAAAACCUAAUUGUUUUAUACAUGUUUGAAGGGCACCUAAUUUUUCCAUCACUACUGUUAGCCAUAAAAUGAUAUAAAAAUAAAAUGGCAGUCAUAUUUAUUAUGGCAAAUAUUAAUAGCAGUGUGUUGUUGCAAGCGGAGAUAACUAGUGCAACCUGACAGAUAAAACUUGAAGUCAACCUCGAUCUUUAACCAGCAACCUUAAUUGAGGAUUCUCCCAACCACAAUAUCAAAGAACCAACCAACACAACCUAGAAUUAAAAGUACCAGGAGCACCAAUUGGAAGCUGAUGACGCAACCGCUUCCAUAACCCCUCAAGGAAAUUGCAAGAGAAAAGGGGUGGAGAUCACUCUCCUAAUUUGUUAGCACACAUCUAAACAAAAGGGGUUACAUUCAAUUAUCAAAGUCUUGUCUAAAUAUUUGGAUACAAUGAUUUUUUAUACUAGGAACAACCCUCUUAGUUGGGUCUGAAUGGACCUUGGAGUUUCUAGAGUUAUGCUAACUCGAAGGUCACCAUGAACAGAAAUCUCAAAAGAGACUCGCGUGGCUGUUGGCGUUGUAUGCAGUCUCCACUAAAUCGAUUAUAACUCUUGUUUGGAAAGUCCACAUGAAAUGCAGUCUAUGCAGUCUCCACGAAAUUGACCUUAGUUUCGUGGAUUUUGUUUAGUUCUAAUUUUUCAUUGAGAAACACAAUCAUUCAUUAUAACUAUAUAUGGCGACAAGUUCGUUUAGUAUGAUUCAGAACAGUUGUUCUUGUUCUUCUCGAUUGUGGUAAUUUAUCCUUUUGUGUUAAGAGCUUGAACCUCAUUUUCAGAUUCGCUUCAUAUACAUAUACAAUUUCAUAUUACAUUUUUUUCACUUUCUUUCUUGUGUUCUUCGAUUUGCUUUAUGGGGAAAGUCUUAUUGGCGAGGUCAAUUGAAUUGUACUUAGUUGAUAACCAACAGAGUAGUGGUGUAGCAGUUGCAACAGUUUGAAUCACGUCAAGCUUCAUCUCAUCCAAUUUAUCAUAUACCUAUCAGAAGAUCAGGCCAAUGCAAUAUAAGCUAGGCACGCAGCAUAGCCAUGUACCAAGGGUGUGGUUCUGGGAGUUUUCUCCAUAUGUAGUGAGCUAAGCAGGGUCCAUCCCUUAAGAUGAGGUGAAUAAAAUAUCCAGCAAAAUAUAAUCUACUAGUUGUUUUUGGCCCAUGUGGUUAGUUAUGGUUCUAAUUGGUGGGUUUAGUACCACCUUGGAAGUUUUGAGGUCGGGUGAGGGCAAGUUUAUAAUCCUUGUCGCUCCAAAGAAGCACCUUUGGGUUAACCCUUUUAUAUGAAGCGAGGAUGUAAGUGUAAGAGACUUGAUAUGCGUAUGCAAGUCCAUUCCAUGUGAGUAGUUAGGCUGUUAUAUUAGUAGACUUUGGAGUGGGGUUUUACAGAAGGUUUUCAGAGCAUGAAUCCUCACUUCACGUGCGUGCGCAGUCAUGUACCGAGGUGUGUUUCUAGGAUUCUACUGCGUUGUGGUGAGCUGUCCAGGGCAUCUGCCUAUAAUGUGGGGUCCUAACUCAAUAUCUCAUGUGGUCUAGUUGUGUUUGUAGUUGGUGAGUUUAGUACAACCUUCGAAGUUUAGUAAGGUGAUGGCUACAUUAUAAUCUUAUUGUUCCAAACACAACAUCUUCAGAUUAAUCCUUUUACUCGAAAUGAGAACGAUAGUGUAAUAGAGGUGCUCUGCGUACGUAGGCCUGUUCCACGUGAGGCGCGUGUCUUAAAAGAAGAUAAACAAAGCAUGAGUGUGUGGGAUCCUUGGCAUCCACAUUAUUGUCAAUGCAGCCACACUUUACCUAUAUGUAGUACUACUUAAGAGGCACAUUGCAGAGCACAUUGAGCUAGCUAGCCAAAUCUCAUACCAUGGACAGCCGGAGCCUUCCAGUGGCAGCCACCGCUGCUCUCAUCUUCUUCUCUGUCAUAGCCCUGUCAGCGGGUACAGCCAUCGUCGAGCACACCUUUGUUGUAAGCAUGCUGCUCUUUCAUGAUUUUAGUUCCAACCACUGAUCCGUUCUUAAUUUGGACAUUUAUAUGUAUAUUCAUUUACUGAUGUUGAAGCAUGUACAUAUGCAGGUGACCCAGGUGACUAUGACUCACUUGUGCAAGGAUACGCUGGUCACCGUGGUGAAUGGGCAGUUGCCCGGGCCGGCGAUCGAGGUCACAGAGGGAGACUCCAUCGCCGUCCAUGUUGUCAACAAGUCACCCUUCAACUUAACAAUCCACUGGUAAUAAAUUAUGCACUAGUCAAUUGUUCAGUUGAUUCAUGUGUUCCAGAGAAAAGACCCUACCAGUAACACUCCAAGGUCCAGAAAUUUCAGCACUAAUACAGAUCCAAUUGGUGUGUUUCAAGUUCCUGAAACCGUAUUGAUUCUAGCGCCGCCAAUGAUGACAUUAGUAAAAAUUAGUUAGUUUCCAUCACUUCAAAAUGUCACUGAUGGAUGAACAGAAAAAUCGGUCACUGCAUAAUGACAUAGAUUUUCUUUUUGCAUUGAUCUUUUGGAAUUCAUUGUUUCGAGUUUUCCUCUUGUAGGCAUGGAGUGAGGCAGCUGCUCAACUGCUGGGCGGAUGGCGUGCCGAUGAUUACCCAGCGCCCCAUCCUUCCAGACCAUAACUUUACCUACCGUUUCGAUGCUUCCGGGCAGGAAGGAACCCUAUGGUGGCAUGCUCAUGUCCCCUGCCUCCGUGCAACAAUACAUGGCAUCUUGAUCAUCCGGCCGAGGCAUGGAGCCAUCUCCUAUCCAUUUCCUAAGCCUCAUAAGGAGAUCCCCAUCAUUAUAGGUAUGUGAAUUUUCACCAUUUGACAGCCUCAUAAAAUAAAAUCAAAAUUGCACACUGUUUUCAUACUGGACGCAGUCGUUCCCCACUGGCAGCUAGCGCGCAAAUUCCAUGGGCGCCGUAGGACGGGACGAUGGCAUACUGUUCCGGCUCCGGGAGGCAAUCCGACGUCAGGACGAGCCGCCGGCGCGUCCGAGGGACUUCCUUUUCAGUUUUCCUUUGUUGAUUUGCCCCGUUCCAAAAUUGCUGCUCAGUCUCGUCAAUUCUCCUCCGUAUCGGCGUAUUUAGCUUCUUGCGUUCCCACGAUUCUAUAGGUGUUCAUUACCAUCAUUAAGCAUUAAGCUAUGGCAGGUUCGCGUCUAGGAUCCUAGGCCAUCGUCCAAAAAUGCAUUCUCUUCAUGGUCAUCGGCAUGGUCCUUGCCUCCUCAUCUUCCUCGUGGCUUCCAGCAACGCGGCAGGUGCCUCUGUUAGCUCUGGGCCUUAGAUGCAGCGUUGCACAGGCACACGCGCGCACACCAUGCCACGCAGCAGUAUACAGGUCCGGCGCGGCGUCACGCGUAGCGUUCGAGGAGGCCCGCGGCAUCCGGCCCGGCCACAGCGUGAGCCAGAACGGUACGGUGAUCUAUACCACCGGGACCUGCUGUGGAUCCAUAACCUCGACCACGACCCGCUCGAUGAAAUGUGCCAACCCCGAGCUGUCGAGCGAAGCCAAGUCAUCCAGCCACUUCAGCGCUAGGAGCUGAUGUGGGGAACGGUGCACCAAUUAACCAAAGAUGCAUUUUAAGAGUUCGUGCAGCUAGAUGGCACGAAGGGACAAGUAGAAGUACCGCCGGGCGUAUUUUACUCUAAAAAUUUCAUUAGAAAAAGGAUUUGGCUCCGGCCUGUGCAACUGCUGGCAGCCAUAUAUAUGCCAACAACAUUCUCAGCACAUUAGCCGAUCCAAAAUAACAAGGCAAAUAGUGCACAAAGAGAAUCAAAUAAUUAUAAAGCAAAGUCGGAAAUCUAGCUGGCAUACGUUCUAUACUUUUAUUUCACAAUGCUGUGGCUGAACUAUUUACUGUUGUGUUCCUGGUAAUGACAGGGGAGUGGUGGGACCUAGAGGACCUUGGACAGGUGGACAGGCACUUGAGGCAUUAUGUGGCUGACGAUUACUUCAAAGCGUCCACAAUCAAUGCCAAGCUUGGAGAUCUCUACAACUGCUCUGGUAAUCAAACUAGUAUUAGACUAAUUCAUGUCCACGUUGAAAUAUUAUGUUUUAUCUCACUGAAGUUUCAUGAUUCAACUUUGAAGGCGUCGUCGAAGAAGCCUACAAGCUGGACCUGGAGCCCGGCAAGACCUACCUGCUCCGAGUACUCAAUGCUGCGCUCUUCUCUGAGUACUACCUCAAGAUAGCUGGGCACAAGUUCAUAGUGGUUGCUGGCGAUGCCAACUACGUUAGCCCCUAUACGACGGACACCAUCGCGAUCGCUCCCGGCCAGACAUUCGACGCCCUCGUGGUCGCCGAUGCGUCUCCUGGAAGAUACUACAUGGUCGCCAUGCCCAACCAGCCUCCAAAGCCCGACUAUCAGAGCCCAGUCUUGCCCACUAGAGGCGUACUGCAGUAUAGCAACGGAGCAGGAGGAAAUCAGCCCGGUGAUGUUCCAAUGUCACCAGAGAUGCCUGACAACCACAACCAUAUGCUAUCGUUCUACUUCCAUGGCAACCUUACCAGCUUGCACCACCCAAGACACCUACCAGUGCCGAAGCGAAUCGAUGAACGCCUAUUCAUAACGCUCGGGCUUGGCUCCGUUUGUCGGCAAGGCCAGUCCUGCGAGAGAGGAGCAGAGAGCGACGAGGUCAUCGUUGUGGCAACCAUGAAUAAUAUAUCAUACGAGCUCCCCACCGUGUCGAGACCACUGCUAGAAGCCCACUACCAGAACCCCAGCAACAUUGACUGGCUGCAAGAACUCCCUGAUGUACCACCGCGGGUGUUCAACUUCACUGACAAUUCCUUGAUCCCAACAGGACCCAAGGAGGAACAGCUAGAGCCGACGUCCAAGGCUGCGUUGGCACGGCGAUUCCGGUAUGGAGCUGUUGUUGAUGUGGUGUUCCAGAGCACGUCAAUGUUGCAGAGCGAGUCCAACCCGAUGCACCUGCACGGACAUGACAUGUUCGUGCUGGCACAGGGGAGCGGCAACUAUGACAUGGAAAGGGAUGUGGCGAAGUACAACCUAGUUAAUCCUCCACUUGUGAACACCGUGCUUGUACCACGGCUUGGAUGGGUGGCUGUCCGGUUUAUUGCGGACAAUCCAGGUACGAACGUGAUUUUAACUUUCUUUUUUUUGGCCAAGGAAGAUACAAUUAUGUAGAACAUAACAACUCUUUCUCUUUCGGAAUUUGUUAUAUGAAUAACUGUCCUACGAUACAUUAGCUAGGUUUAAAGUUUGAUUUGUAUGUAUGAGGCUGAAAAGUACCACAUGUCAAUGCUAUAACUUUGUUGUUUAUGUUUGCCACGUGUCAUGCCUCAAGUCUGUAGUGCUAUUAAAAGUUCUUUUAAAAAGGUUUAUUGCGCUUUCCUAGUGCAGUGUGAAGUUAAAAAAUUAAUAAUUAUUUUCUGCAUCUACUAGGUCCUUUGUUCUAUUUGGAUAUCAUUUUAUUAUUAGAUCCUUUGUUUUAACCAAAUGAUUCAAGUACCAAUCGAUCAAUUUCCUUUUAGUUUUCCAACAUCUCUGCCGUUGAGUUCACAAAAACAAAAAUUUGAAAUAUAGGAAAGUGUUUUCAAGAGCUAGCACCUCAUUGCCCAAUUUUUCAAGUUUCAAUGAAGCCUAUUUUGAAAGUACAAGUUUAGAAAUUUUAUAUAAGCCAAUAAUUGUAAAGAAAUAAAAGGACUAGACUUAUUAUCCACGUAAAAGUAUUCACCUUGAGUUCGUCAGUGAUCUACAACUUUUUUAUAGAAGAAAAUAUGUCAUGAUUAUUGCUGCAGUAAAAGAUUUAUUAACUUAUCACUUGAACUACGGAUAUUUUUAGAUACGCACUCAUAUUUCAGUUGUAGUUGGGAUGGGGUGGGUAAGUAGAAACAACAGAUCUGAUGCUCUCCUUUUUGUUGUAUAGGUGUAUGGUAUAUGCAUUGCCACUUCGAGUUUCAUCAAUCAAUGGGCAUGAUAGCAUUGUUCAUUGUGGAGGACGGACCAACAGCGAACACAUCGCUCCCCUCACCGCCAGUGGAUUUUCUGACAUAUGGCGAUGAUAAUAAUCUCAUGCCAGAUGAAUACUACCUUUAGAAUGAGCAAAUUAAGUCCCACGCGUACACUACAACAAAACAUAGUGGUAGUCAUGCUUGGAUUGCUAUGCUAUUGAAAGCGUAUCUAUAUUUCUUAUGCUCCCGGCAGUUGUUAACACACUUUAGUAAAGCACUUCAAAACUUGCAACGUAGAUAUGUUUUUAAAGUGUUGUUUCUGAAUUGUAGACACGUUUGACAAAACGUGUUUAUAGUUCUUGACAUGGUCCAUAGGGAGACGCUCCAGACACACUUUAGUGAAGCGUAUCUAUAAUUCACUAGAGAUGAAAUAAAGCGUAUCUAACCUAAAAAUAAAACGUAUCUAUAGGGGUUGUUUCUUGUAGUGGUAAAUGGUGUCUAGACGAUAACUAUCAUAAUGGGCUUUCCAAUAAAGAAAUAAACAUAUGAGCUAUUAGAAGAUGUUAUACAGAUACACGCAUACUUGCUAUAAUAUAUUUUUUUCACAAUCUCCUUGAAAUUUGAGUUCAAGUGAUUUUGUUGGACUUUUGCUGUAUUGUUUCUCUACUUGUUUGCCAUUAACUGAUAUAUUUCUCAAUGUAAGUUCAAUAGAGAAAAAAUAUAAAUUUCAGAAAAACUAUGUAAGGAACUGGUGCUCGUAUUUAGGGGUGAAUUAGGCAACAUAAAAACUUAAGGAAAAAGUUCAAAUUACUCCCUCCAACUAUCGCCCAAGUUCAUAUGCCCUAUAGAAAGGGAGAUGAGCUGGAGCUUAAAAUCUCUAGUGCAUAUCGGAUUUCCAUCAGUGUAACUAUAAUUCAACACAUCCAAGGCUUGAGCUAGAAUCGCAUGAAAGCUCUUUGCCAUUGUUUGACCAAAGAUAUCCUAAAAGAAACAUGAUGAAAGUUAAAAAAUGUAACAUAACUCACAAAAGAAUGAUUAGAUAUGUUCCAUACCAUGCCAUAUAAAUUGAGCUGACAAAGCCUCUUAGUAGUCAUAGUCACAUUGCUUUCUCCCUCCUCGAGCACCUUUAUUCAAAAAUAUGAGAAGUCUGGUACAAACUACCCAUGAUCUUUAAGCUGUUGUAGACAGGCCUCCAUGAUGGAACUUCAAUAAUGCUCCUAAUUGGUGCUUCAUCACCCCAUGCGGCAAUUGAUACCAUCAGGAUGGCCUAUCCUGGUUGCAUCGAGUUAGCCUGUCCUCCUCGAACAUGUACUUGAAAAGAGAUCUUUACUCUCAUAAAAUUCCUUGCACCAACUACCUCGGAUUGCACUAAAGGAGAAGUGCCACCUAGAGCUUCGAUAACAUCUUUGACCUAUCUAAUAGGUUCGAUAAGCUACAUUGUAUGUAAGUAUAUUUAGGAAUUAUUCAUGUGUAGCACAAAAGAAACAAUUACAAGAGGGAAAGAAUAUUACUAUGUUAGGCAUCCAUCCUUGGCUUCGAUCGCUGCAAGGCAAGUCAAUGACGCGAUUAGGGAAGUAAAUUCCUAGAGGACAAGCCAACGGUGGCUCCUCGAGAAUAUAGUGUCCGCGGCCACAACAAUCAUGGCCAAAAUAACAUCCACUGGCCAUAGGCCUAGUGGCGGAGGCGCGGCCGGCGGUGCAGUAGAGGUCGGAGAGGAAGGGCAAGGAGCCGGAGCCUGUGAGGAAGAGGGCAAGGUAAGCACCGCGGAGGCCCGGCAAGUCGGAGCCCGCUAGGAAGAGGGCGAGGUAAGCACCACGAAGGCCCGGCGGCAGGAGCCCGCGGGGGAUGGGAGGUGCCGCGGCGGCGGAGUGUCACUCCGGGUUUUAAAGGCAAAACCAGAUGGAUAAAUUACAUGUGCACCAGGAUCAAGUUUCACACAUGCAACGACUUCAGUAAAUACCAUAGGCAGCGCCAAAAUGUAAAGAGAGAGUAUUAAAUUUAUUACAUGACCGAAAGUCUUUAUUGCGAAUGGCAAAAUGAGUCUUUAUUCUAGCAGCUGAGCUCCAACGAUGACAACGACUCCAUAGGCAGUUGACUAGUGGCACACGUACGCCUAGAACUCUUCAAAGUCUUUAAGAACCUCCUCAAAGUUGACUUGGUCUGAGCAGCGAUUUUAGCAAGGGUGAGUGCACUUGUGGUUGGUACUUAGUAAGCGUGGGGAAUGUGUAGUGCAAGAUUAUGCAGGGAUAGGCUAUUGUUUAAUAGCAUUUCAGCAUUUUAAUUGGUUGGGUAGAUUUUAUUAGCAAUUACUAAGUAUAAGUUUAUACCACCCACAUUAAGCAUGCAUAAAUAAAUAUAACAGCAAUAAAUAACAUCAGCUGAAUUCAACUUCCGAUAAAUUAAUCAUGUGAGGGUCCAGGCCGCUCUUGACCAUGAAUACGGCUAUUAUAACAGUUUUACACUCUGCACGGGUUGUACAUAUUUACCCACAAGUCACGUAAAAGUUCAAAAGAACUUUAGACCCAACCAUGUUGUGUGGGCUAAGAACAAUACCAAACUUCCAAGGUGUGAUUGCAUAAUGAUGCUACGAGGCCUUUACAAAGAUUCCCUAGUAAGUAGUAACCCGCUAAGGUUUCAGGUCGAAGCAAAGCAUAAACCUCUCUGAAGACUGUGAAACUACCAUAGAGCAGAUAAGCCUGAGCCUCCCCUAUUGCCCUUUCAGUAAGAUUACCUUAGACUAGAGUCUCUAAUUAUUUCACCACGUAGUUCUUAUGGUUGUACUGUUUUCCUGGGUGGUCGCUCCAUGUUCCAAUUAACCAUGGUGAUCUUGUAUUAAUGGAAGGUAUAGCAUAAAUAAAAUAAGUUUAAGAAUUGGUUCAUUAAUAUCACCAUACCCAGUUAGAGCAACUAAGCAAGAACUAUCCAACAAUAAAGUAAACCCAGGUUGUUCAAGGUGUAGGGAUAAAACUAGGCACACCUUAAAUAGGACCCAUCAUGUUUAUAUACUUAAAGUGCAUAGCAUAUGUGUAUUGAACAUGAAAGUAAAGGGAUGCAUAGGAUCAAAUUGUGGUCAAGGGCACAACUUUCCUUCGCGAACUUGCUCUUGCUGCUCAAAGUCUUCAAAGCCUUGCGAUUCGAAUUCCUCAAACUGCGAUCCUUCUAUGCACAUCAAGCAAGUACAUACAAGCAAACAAAGGACUAAAAUAACAAAACACUACAUCAAGCAGUAGCAACAGAGUAAAACAAGACCAUAAAACUAAUCUAUGCAUCAACACAAACUCAUAGGUGCAAGGAUCGCUUAAAACAAAUUUAAAACACUACAGAUAUGAGCUAAACAAGGUUCAGAGGCUUAACUGUGAGGAAACUAAACUUCCAGGGGCUAGACUCAAAGAAACUGAGGGCCAAAACCUAAUUAAACAUAUAAAUAGAAGGUCUAACAAGUAAAAGAGCAAGAUAGUGGGUAGGAUUUUAUAAAAGAGUAGGGGCUAAACAGAAAAAAAAGGACUAGAACCUAAUUACUUUUGAACUAUGCAGGACCUUGGGUUCAAUAAAGAAAUAAGCAUAUGAGCUAUUAGAAAUGUUAUCCAGAUACAAGCAUACUUGCUAUAAUAUAUUUUUUCACAAUCUCAUUGAAAUUUCAGUACGAAAUGACACUUUUUAACUUUUUGAUUCAUCAUAGGUCGAAAGAUUUCGUGUAGUGUAACUAUAUAGUCUAGUGUGUGUAUAAAUGCACUAUCCAUAUCAAUAGUCAUAGUCAUGUAGGGAACAACUAAUGCCUAAAUAAUCAUGGGAUACUAAACCAUCUUAAUUGAAAAAUAUAUGAACUAUAAAUUUUAGGUCUGUUUGAUCAGUAGAACAUUGAUAAGAGCUGCUUUACAUCGAGGGUUGUUUGAAAAAUUCAGAAAUUCUAGAUUUCAAAAUUUGAGAACUGAUAAUGAUUUUUUGGACUAUUAAAUGCCAUAGAUCUUGUCAAGCUCUACAAUUUUGAUAUUAAAUUUUUCUUCAUUCGAGAUCAUAUGAAAAAGUUAAAAAGUUAUUUGACAUUUCUAGGGGCGAGCCAUACCAUCACCCUCCCCUAUAAAUCAUUUUUGGGAGCAGGUGAUGCCAUCGCCCGCUUUUAGAAAUAUUUUUCAUUUUCAGACGCUAUAUUUUUAGGGGCAGGUCACCCCCAUCGUCCGCUAAAUGGUGGGAUGUCUUACCCAUGGCCCAGCCCUACGAAUGCUUCUCCAGGGUGGCCGGAAAGCUACAGUAACCCAGCUCCUUUUGUAGGUGCGGGUGACCUUUUAGGCCAAAAAAAAUUGAGCCGCUCCUACAAAUCUUUUUUCUUUCUAGUAGUGUUUUGUUAAGGCACUGAUGGUUAGAUUGUCUCUUUCUAGUAGUGUUUUGUUAAGGCACUGAUGGUUAGAUUGUCUCUGUGUUACAUACCGCCAAAUUCUAGUAUAAGGUACGGUAGAAAAACUCCAUGAGUUUUAGUAGAGAUGGGGAUGGACACGAUAAAAAAGAUUGUUGCAUGCCAUCAAUUACAAGGAUUUUAAAAGCAUAUGCAAUGACUAGCUGAUUACAAAUAGAUUUUACAAAAAACUAUCUACGAUGACUAUAUAUAUACAUUUCUCAGAUCGAAACAUUUAAGAAACUUGCCCCUGAUUUUAUAAAUUUCAUAUGUGUUUUGUUACAGAAUGAACGUUGAUGUUGUUGUACCCUUUUUUCAUUCCCCGCCUAACGUAGACCCAAUACAAACCGUAGUAUCCCCUUCAAAUCUUCCCCAAUUCCUCCUCAUUACUAGGCGUCCACAACCUCUCCUCGUCGAUGAUAAUAGCUGCGUCCAAAACGCGCACCAACUCUUCGGUAUUUCUUUGCUUGCAAGCCUUCCUAGACGAGCACCUCCACUCAGCCCAACCCAUCAGCUUGGCCUGCACCCCGCAGUCUCUCGCGCACGAGAGAGAUUCAUUUAUUGGGCCUCAAUUUGUUAGCCAUUCAGAAUUUGACCGCCAGUCGGCCCAACCUCGGCCCGCACUUCCAUCGCUUCCUUCCAUACGUAUAAUAAACGAGUAAUCACCCACAUAGCUCCCAGAAUUCCAUUCUUUCAUAUUUUUUCUGUCCUCUCCUGUAUCGGAACCAGAUAAAAGCCUCGCAAAAGUUUUUGGUGUUGGCGCCUUUUCCGACCAAGAGUGCGCUAGUUCGCGCGUGCACUAGAAGAUCAACUCGCCGGAGUCCUUGGACCUAGCCGGUCAGACUGGUUGUCGAGGAACUUCUAGAAAAAUCUAAGAUCACCAUCUCGGGAAGGACCCGUCGGAGAUGGUGAGUUUAGGAUUACUCUGAGAUCGGUCAGGCCACUCAGAACGUCUUCAAACACUGCUGGGACAAUGGAGGAAAGCAAAGUGGUUGGAAAAGCCAGGGUUUGAAAUAAAAGUGUAAAAGAUAUGUUUGACGAUUAGGUAUUUAACCUCAAUCGGCCAGGGCCCUUUAUAUUUUAUAUUUAUAGGGUGGAAGGCCUUUUUGCGCAAGGAAAUUCCGUUUCAACUCCAAUUCGACCAGAACUCCAAAAUUCUCCUCGAACUCAAGGUGAGCAGUCUGAUCGGUCGGGACCACCGGUCAGACCGGUAGGCGCAUACCAGACCGGCUACAAUGGCCAAAACGGUCAGACCACCCAUAGAGACCAGUCUGACCGGCUGGUCCAGCUUGGUCGGCAUUGCUGCCACUUUUGGGCUCCAACACAUGCCCCCUGUUUCUUGGUAAAACUUGCGGACCAAGAAAUAAAAUAAACCUAAGGGCGAUAAAUUUCAUCGACCAUUUGUUCUUAGGGCGAUAUCUCAAAAUAUUGGCCAUAUUGUUUCAAGCGUCUUGCCAAACACUUCAGAGCUCUAGGUAGCUUAAAUCCAUGCAAUGUCUCUACCAUAUAGGAAUUCUCAUGAAGCACACUUGUAAUUUUAUAUGGCCCUUCCCAACUUCGAGACCACUUUCCAAAUUUAUUGCUCUUGGUUCCUAUAGGUAGAAUUGUCUUCGAAACCAGAUCCCCCACCUGAAAUGUCUUGGCCUUGACCUCUUUGUUGUAUGCUCUAGCUACUUGAAUUUUAUCCUUUUCACCACUUCAUUGAGCGGGGUCUCGCACUGCCAACUUGUGAUUUCUUCCGGGGCUUGCUGGAUUUCUAUAAGUUGGAGUUGGUUCAUCUGAACCCCAAUGGGAUCUUCUACAUUACUAUUUUCAUCCACUUCUACGAAGCCUUCCUAGGGAUUAGGCAACAUUUUCAAUUAUUCCGGAAAUUUUUCCGUGUGAAGCCACAACCCUCAUGGGAACACACACGUUUGGUUGCGGGCAUCAGAAUUUGGAUACGGGAGACAGUCGGCAGCCAGUAUUUGGAUUACGAGUUGAUAGACUCCAAUGUAGGGUGGAAGGAAAAAUGGUGCAAUAUUGGCAACCAUGAUUCGAAACUCCAUAAGCUGACAGGACAUUGUCCUUCUUAGAAUAACAGUGGCUUGAGGCAAUUGCCCGAUUUGAUGGGUAGAAUCACCCAGCUAAAACAAGAGGGCCUUACUGAAGUAGGAGUAGCCUUUAGCUUUAUGAAGCAUCACAUUCAACAUCUGCAGCAGCCGUGCUAUUAUGGCUAUGAGUAUACCGGCCUCAAUGAUCCAUCUAGAUUCACUUUGAAUGAAAUCAACACGGAUGAAGUCAUGGCGAGGCUCAAGCGAAUGUUCCAGAAUGUGGGCGGGAUCCCCGCCAAAUCCUGUAAGUACUCGUGACCGUAGCCCCCGAGUAUUGAUUUUUAAACGUACUAGUCAACUGACUUGUCUCAUUUUGCUAGAAGAUGUUGCUUUGUAUUUCUCUACUCCUCCUCCUCCCGGAUCUCAAGUAGUCUGUGAAGCUGCUCCUCGCUUGUUUAUACGGAAAGUCAUGACAGGUGAUGAUGCCACGGAUGAAGUCAAGGCUCAGCCAUAUGCUAAGUCUGGGUCUUCCUCUAUAGUGAAGAAACACUCUGCAACAGGUGAGCUUAAAGCUACAUGUUGGGGUUCACCCAGACAACAGUUAGAAGGCCACGACAAACGAAGAUAGUAACUGCUCAAGCAAACAUAACAGUGGCUAUCCUACCAGUUAUUAAUGUUUGUUUUGAGGGGGGGGACGGUUUGUCUCCCUUUAUAGGGUCAUAAAGUUACAUUUCCGCAUUCCCGUUAUACCCAUACCCAACAACUACAUCUUGAGUAUAUUCCGUACAGGACAGUAACUUGGCCCCUACUCAAAAUAUCGCUUUCAUAGUGGGAUUACACUUCUGACCCUCUCGCCAAGACUCUUAUUACAAAAUUGCCCUACUAUAAUACGGUCCCAGGGCUAUCUUGAUUAUUUCCUUCCCCGUUCAUGAGCUUCGUCGGGGCUGAGCAAGCUUCUGUAAGCUUUCCGCCUUCUUCGGUCGGAGUCAGCUAGCUUCGGCUUCUGGUCACAGAACCUCCCCGAAGUCAAAUCACCGGUGGCUCCGUGGGGGCUUCCACUUUGUGAGUCCUCGCCUGCAAAAUCACAGAGUGGAUAUCUUCGCGCUAGUUGACUUUGGUUAAUUGUUAGCUUCGUAAAAGGGGAAAUGGACGAGGUUAGAGCCGAUUAAGAGAAAGGGUUCCCGCCAGCCUCGUUCAGGGUGCGUUGUGGGGCGGUCCCCAACAGUAGCCCCUUCAUGGGCGAGGUCAGAGGUGCCGUUGACCGAUCCCGCGAAAAGUCCAAAAACGCCCUCAAAACGUCACCCUGAGCGGCGACGCGGGCCGAGGCGUUUUACCGUUAUAUGGGGGUAGUAAGGUCAUUUUCUAUGUGGCGGUUAGUGAUUCGAGGCGGUUUUUACCGUGCCUAUAUAAGGUUUACCGGGAGGACGGGCCAUAUUUUGUGCUGUCACUUUCGAGUUGUAAUUUUCGCCACUUGCGCCUUCGCUACGUAGCUUCGUUGUGCUCUAUUGGCUCCGUUUGGUUGGUGGGGUGUUGACUUCGUUUUCAUUGCAGCCAGUACCAGGCAGAGUUGUAGACAAUAUCUUCGGAGGAGUUGGCCCUUCAGGCUGCCUCUGGUGGUGGGGGUAGUCCUGCUUCACAGUCGGUGUCUGUGAGUAGUGGAGAGUUUGAAGGGAAGAGGUCAAAGAAACGAAUCUAUACGAAGGAUGGCCUGGUUUCUGUAGAAGAGGGAUCUUCCGGGAGUAGUUCGCCUGAUUGGUCCUCUGACGGGGACGAAGGCGAAGGUGAACAGGGCCGAACCACAAAAGGUAUAGCAGGGACCGAAGUUCAUGCUGUAUCUUUGGAUGAGGAGGAGGGGGAAGGCAAAGAGGCUGGCGAGGUUGAGGGGGAGGAGGAGGAGGAGGAGGAGGAGGACGCUGAGAUUGGAACGAGGUCGGAGACGUCAGCCGGGGGGAAGGUUCAAUGUGUUCCUACUCUGUACUUCGGGCGCUCCCAGGUGACUUCGCGAGACAUUGCAUUUUUUGAGGAGAGCAACUUCUUCCCUAAGAGGGUGGGCAGAGCUCCUGGGAGCGAGGCGGUUCCUACGCCCGAGGUUGGUGAAGCUGUUGUUUUUAGGGACCUGUUUACUACGGGGCUUCGGUUUCCCUGUGAUAGGCAGUUGCCGGUUAUAUUGGAUCGUUAUCGUGUUAGACUGCACUAGUUGACCCCUAACGCCAUCGUGAACUUGUCUAAGUUUUACUGGGUGCAACGCACAUUUGGCGGGAGCAUUGAUGUGGAAGGUUUCGCGAGGUUGCAUGAGCUUCAUAUUCAGAAGAAGAGGACUUAUUCCGAUGAUGGCAAAGGUGCUUGUGAGAAUCACUUUGGAUGCUGUACCUUCGUGCUGCAUCGGAAGAACGAUAAGAGGAAUCUGCCGAGGGUAGAACUUACCUUCGCGCAGAGGAAUAAGUGGGAUGAUGCGUGGCUGACGCAUUGGUUUUAUGUGAAAGUUGAAAUGGUUGGGCUUGGCACUGGAUUCCCAUUCUACGCACCGUUUGGGCCGAUGGACGUGCUCACAACUCCUUCGUUUAUUCAGACGGCCAUUGUGACGAAGUGCGAGGCUGCUUAUAGGGCUGCUGGGCCCUUGUUAUCUGGGCGUGACCUUGUGAAGGAGUAUGUUGCCGCUCGAGCGUGGCCCUUGUCUGCUGAUUUUGCAAAACCGUUUGAACACGUUGAGAAGAAGGUAUCUUGGUGUGAGAAGGCUGUGCCAUAUCCAUGCUUUGAGCUUAGUAAGGAGAAGGGUGCCGACCUAGACUCGUUUGUACAGACAAUAGAGGACUUGGCUUAUGAAAUCUUAGGUUCGGUGACCCAGCCCGAAAGGCGUUCUUUCGAGUCUAUUGUGAGACACGGGUGUCAUGUCAAUCAAAUUUUUGACUUGCUUCAUAUUGCAGUUCCGCCUCGUCCCGAAGUUGUGGGCAAGAGGCGUCGUCGUGGUGCUGGUGCUGAGCAAAGGAAGAAGGUGAAGUUUGAUUCUACUCACGCCACGAAGCUCGUUGUUGAGUCACAAGCGGCCGCUAAGGCGAAGCAAAAAACCCUUAACCUGAAAGCGCAGAAAAGGAAGGAUGCUACCGCGGGUGCUUCAUCUGCCAUGCUGCCGUCUGGGUCGACAGCUUCGUCUGUUGACUUGAACAAACCGGCAUAUGUUGUGCCUGUCUUUGUGCGUCCUCCUACUGUUGCACCUUCAUCCGCUGGGCCUGCUGCACGGACCAAAAAAGGAGCUAAUAAACCUCGUUUUGCACGUGUUACUAUACCGGGCGCCAAGGUUGAUGCGCCCUCGGUGACCAGCAUGAAGACUGCAGCGCCCUCCACUAGUUCGAAGACUAGAAGCGCGCAGCCUCUCUUGAUUGAAGCUGAUAAACAUGAGAAGAGGGUAGCUGCCGAAAAGGCGAAGCUUGUGGAUGCGUUCUUGUUUGAUCCCAAGGGUGCUUGCGUCGAGGCUGUGAGAUCUGGUAAGCAUGUAGAGGUGGUUUUGCCGAAGCUUCGGUUCUUUGAUUGUGGAAGGGCUUCGACGGCAUUUUUGAGGGAUUUGGAGGAAACUAUGGGAGACGUUGGUGAGGUUAAUUGCGAGGAUCAUGUGAGGCUGAAAGUUAAAUGUUAUGAUGUAGGUGAGAGCUUUCCGGCUGGUCUUCAAGGGCUUAAUGAAGGUUUGGGCUUGAUGAGCGGGCGCACAGAGGUUCUAGCGACGUGCACCGAAGGUAGGGUUUAUAAUCCACACAACCUAACUUUGGACUGGGGGAAAGAGGGUGAAGAUUGCAAGCGCUGUGUAGAUGCUGGUGGUUCGAAGAAGGUGGAGAAGGCGGGCGCAGCGACCUCGAGUGGGGUUAGAGAAAUUGUUCCGGUCGCCAUUGAGGCACGAAGAUACGAAGGUGGGGGCUAUUUGUUUGUGAUUAUUGUUGUUUGUGGCCUUUGUUGCUGUUGUGGCAUACUUAUAAUAGUAUCUUUUGACUUGCAGAUUUUCAGCAGGCUGUAAAGUCGAUGAGCUCAGAAGAGCUUUUCAACUUAGAGGCCAACCUCAUAAAGAAGGUAUGGUUGCUGGCUGAUUUGAUGAUAUGUGUGGUGUGCACUAUCUUUGUUGUGUCUUUUGCGACUUGGCUUAAUGUUUUUUGUUUAAAACUUGCAGGUAUCUUAUUCGUCUAUGAUUACGAGGGAUCGGCUUGCCAAGAGCGAGAAGACAGCUGUGGAACUUGCGAAGAAGGUUUCUUUACUUGAAGCGACUAUUGCAGCUAUGUCCUUGGAAAUGAAAAAGGUCAAGGUUGAGAAUGCAGAGUUGAAAGAGGACUCUCGCAGACUCGGUGAAAAUUACGAGGCCAGGGGCGACGAGAUUGAUCGCCUGUCAUCGGAAGUGGUGGAUCUUGAGGGCCAAGUGAAAGAGAAGGACCAGGUUAUCAAAGGCUUACGCGAAGGUGCCCAGCGGGACAGCGAGACUAUCUCGGUUUUAAAGUCUAAGGUCGGCCAGAUGGAGCCUGAGUUGGAAACGAAGGCAAAAUUGCUGAGCCAAAUAGAGACUACCCUAAGGGAGAGGUUUUAAAAAGUUCAUGAAGUUUAUAAAGCCUCCCUUGGUGUGUUUGGCGCCGAGCCCGAUGACUGCCCAUUGGAAGAAGGAUGUGAACGCAUGUUCGAAUGGUUGCUAGACGAGGUCAAGAGUCUCCCCGAGGUUCUUGAGGGCUUGAAUGACUACGCCGCUGUGUUCUGCUUGGAAAGCGCCCUUCACUUGCUGGAGCAACAAGGAUGUGAGCAUGUUAAGAAUCUUUUCAAAGAUGAUUACGUUGCGCCAGCUGCCUCGGAGAUUGGAUGUGCUACGAAGUCUUUUGUUGUGGAGAACGCCAAGAAGAACUUAUUCGAGUGCAUGUGGUCAACCUCCAGGCAAGACUAUGUGAAGAGGCUGGCAUGUGAGUGGUUAGCUCAGCUUCGCUCGCAGUCUAGUGUUGUUAACGAAGACGAGGAUGCUGCGGAGUAGAUUUUUUAUUUAUUGGUUUUUUUUAUGUAAGGUUGAUGAGGUCAGAUACUUUUGAUUGUGUAUGAAGUUGUGCCUUAUGAAGUACUUGUGCGCCUAUGUAUUUUUUAUAAUUGCUGUACUUUUGUUCCGCUUAUUCGUGGGUCCAAUGCAAGGUUAGAUAAGUCAAAGCUGGGUUGCCAUGUCAGGCAACCUGCUGACUUAGUUAUUGCGAGAGCCGGUUGAUACAACGACUUGCGGUCGCUUCAACCUCAACUGGGCACGCUGUUGCAUCUUACGCUGGUGACCUCGUGCGAGGUCGGCGUGGUUUAUUAUUUUUUGAACUGCAUGUGUUUCCAAGUGUUUUUGAAAAACGUCACCCCACCCUUUUGUGACGUUGCGAGAGGGAGGUUAGAUAACUUAUGCUUGGAGAUUCUCCUCUUGCGAAGUCGCAGAAAUUUUGCACGUGUUUUUUGAAAAGCGUCGCCCCCCCUUUUUGCGAAGCUGUGGGGAAGAGGUUUUUCCUGAUCUGCGAAAGUUGUUGUGUUUAGGUGUUAGGCUUUUUGCGCGCUUUUUAUUUUCAUACGUGAAAAACUCUACCGCGCACUGGCGCGAGGUUGCGCAACUUGUUGUUGUUUUCACCCACGGAAAACCUCUCCGCACAUCGACGCGAGUUCACGCAACCUGUUGUUGCUAUUAUAUGGGUGCGAGGUCACGCAACUUGUUGUUGCUUUCAUAUGUGAAAAACUCCUCCGCGCAUGGGCGCGAGGUCACGCAACUUGUUGUUGCUUUCAUACGUGAAAAACUCCUCCGCGCACGGGCACAAGGUCACGCAACUUGUUGUUGCUUUCAUAGAUGAAAAACUCCUCCGCGCACGGGCGUGAGGUCACGCAACUUCUUGUUGCUUUCAUACGUGAAAAACACCUCUGCGCAUGGGCGCGAGGUCACACAACUUGUUGUUGCUUUCAUACACGAAAAACUCCUCCGCGCACGGGCGCGAGGUCACGCGACUUGUUGUCGCUUUCACACACGAAAAAACUCCUCCACGCACGGGCGCGAGGUCAUGCAACUUGUUGUCGCUUUCAUACACGAAAAAACUCCUCCGCGCACGGGCGUGAGGUCAUGCAACUUGUUGUCGCUUUUCUACGUGAAAAAUAUUUUUAGGGGAAGUUUCCUUUCUUUCUUUUGCAAAAAAGAUGUACAUGAAUCUGCCUCGUUAAAAACCUUGCCUCCAUUAUGGAGCCCCUAGCAAGGAAAAGAGUGUAGACCAGACUCUGUGACCUUAUAGACGAGGUAAACUUAAAAAAGAAAAAAGAAGGUAAAAUCACUCUGUUACCCUCGGUACUGCUUAUAGUUCCGCAAGCCGAAGGUGAUGUGUACAAUUAUGGGUAGUAUUUUUGUAGGCUAUCAAUGUUCCAGGUGUGAGGGAGAUUGUUUCCUUGUUGGUUUGCGAGAUGGAAAGAGCCGGGUCUGCCACUCUUUGUGACAAUGUAGGGGCCUUCCCAAGUUUCUUGCAGCUUGCCUGGGUUUUCCCAGUUCUUUUUCCUCUUGAUGACAAGGUCACCGACAUUGAUUUGUCUUUCUCGGAUGCGUUGAUCCCUCCAUCUUCGGGUUUCUUCCUGGUAUUUGUCCAGAUUCUCAAUGGCCUCGUUGAUGUCGAGUUCGAUCAUGUCUUUCUCUAUUCUGUCGAUUUUGUCGACGCCCUCGUGUUUGAGGACUCUUAGGCUUUUGUUUUUUAUUUCUUCAGGUGUUACAGCUUCGGCUCCGAAUAAGAGCUUGAAUGGUGUGAAGCCUGUUGCCCUGGAUUCUGUUGUGUUAUGGGACCAUAUGACUCUUGGGAGCUCGUUGACCCAUUUGUCCUUUUUCUGAUCAAAGAGACAUUUCUUGACUGCGGUGAAUAUUGUACUCUUGGCUCUUUCCACAGCUCCAUUUGAUUGUGGGUGGUACACGGACGAGAAUUUUAUCUUCGUGCCUAUGUUGGCGCAAAAAUCUGUGAAUGAGAUACAAUCAAACUACUUGCCAUUGUCGAUGGUUAACUCCCUUGGGACUCCAAACCGACAGACAAUGUUUUGCCAGAAAAAUUUUUGUACCGAAGCUGACGUGAUGACGAUGAGUGGUUUGGCUUCGGCCCAUUUGGUGAAGUAGUCUAUUGCCACUACUGCGAAUCUGCAAUUUUCUUGUGCUGCUGGCAGUGGACCAACUAGGUCCAUCCCCCAUCUCUGGAGAGGCCACGAGGGUGGUUUGAGCUGGAUGGGAAGUGAGGGUGCAUGUGUUUGCCUUGCUGUUUUUUGGCAUGCCUCACAGCUUCGUACAAGCAGGUGUGCGUCCGUGUGGACUGAUGGCCAGUAGAAUCCUUGCCGGAUUGCCUUUCCUGCUAGGGCUCUUGAGCCAAUGUGGGUUCCGCAGAAACCGCCGUGUAUUUCUUUGAGCAGCUCGCUGCCUGUUUCAUAGUCGACACACCGAAGCCAUGGUGUUGAGAUGCCUGUUUUGUAUAGCUGCCCUCGAUGAUUGCGUAGCCCCUUGCUCUUUGCUUUAGGCGUGUGCAUUCAGUCUCGUUUUGAGGUUCGAAGUGACCUCUGAGGAAAGCCAUUAUGCUUGCGCGCCAGUCGUCACGCUGGAUGGUGUUGAUGGUGGCUGGGUCUUCUUCUUUGAUUGAAGGCGAGGUUAUGACUUCGUAGAAUGUAUCUAGUGGGAUUGGCUCGCCUUCCGCUGCUGCUUUUGCAAGCAUGUCGGCGUUGUCAUUUUGUGCUCUCGGUAUGUUUCUAACAUCAAAUCCCCUGAAAUGUUUUUCCAUGGCUCAGAUUGCCUGAAGGUAUUUAAUGAGCUCUGGUUCUUUGGCUUCGCUGUCCUUCUUGAUGUGAUCACGGAUUACCUUCAAGUCCGUUCUGAUGAUGAAUGUUUGUUUCCCUAUGGCUUUCAUUUUUCUUAAGGCCAGAAGAAGUGCCUCGUACUCUGUGGUGUUGUUGGUUGACUUCGCAGUUGGUGGGAAAUCUAGCCUCGCUGCAUACUUGAUUCUGAUGCCUGUUGGCGAGGUGACCACGGCUGCGAUGCCUGCUCCUUUGCGGCACCAGGCUCCAUCGCAGUGGACAACCCAUGGCAUUUCUAGCUGCUUUGGCUCCUAUUUAGGCGACGUCCAAUCGACGACAAAGUCAGCCAGCACUUGGGAUUUUAUAGCCGUGCGCCUUUCGAAGUCGACGACGAAUUCUGAGAUACGGCUAGAAGCUUCUCUGUUUGAGAAGGGAUCAUGAAGAGGUUGGCUGGUUACUAUGACUGUUUUAUGCCCGUCGAAGUACUGUCAUAGUUUCCGUGCUGCCAUGACGACUGCAUAUGCGAUUUCUCUAGCUCAGAGUAAUGUAUCUUUGAGCCGCUCAGUGCUUCGGAUGCGAAGUAAACUGGUAUCUACUUGAUUUCGCCUUCGAUUUCUUUUUCUUGAAUCAAUGUAGCGCUGACAGCUGUUGCUGAGGCUGAGACGUACAGUAGCAGUGGUGAUUUGGGUUCUGGUGGGCAUAGCUUCGUCAUAGAUUGCAGGUACUCCUUGAGGUCCUGGAAUGCUUUGCUUUGCUCGUGUCCUCAUUCAAAUAUUUUGGAGCUUCGAACUGCUUUGAAGAAAGGAAGGCUUCGCUCUGCUGCUCUCGGAAUGAAACGGUUUAGCGCUGCGACUCUGCCCGUGAGUCGUUGGACUUGCUUGAGUGAGGUUGGCUCUGACAUGUUGGCUAACGCCCUGAUUUUGUCUGGGUUGGCCUCAAUGCGCUUCGUCGUUACCAAGUAGCCUAAGAUCUUUCCCCUUUGGACUCCGAAUACACAUUUCUCUGGGUUUAGCUUUAGGUUGGCUGACCUCAGUUUAGCGAAUGUUUCUGUGAGGUCCAUGAUGUGGUCGCUUUGUUUGGCGCUUUUUACGAUGAUAUCGUCCACGUAGGCCAGUAUAUUGCGCCGAAGCUGAUUGCCCAGGACUGUUGCCGUCAUCCUUGAGAAUGUUUGGCCUGCAUUUUUUAGCCCCUUUGGCAUACUGACGAAACAGAAUGUUCCAAAGGGUGUCACGAAGCCUGUUUUUCCUUCGUCCUCUUUUUUUAUUCUGAUUUGGUGGUACCCUGAGAAGAGGUCAUCCACUAUUUGCAGCGUCAUCCACUACCUUGUCAAUCCUUUCAAGAGGGUAGUCGUCUUUUGGGCAGACCUUGUUGAGGUCAGUGAAGUCUAUGCACAUUCUCCAUUUGCCAUUUUUCUUUUUAACUGGUACUGUGUUGGCUAGCUAGUAGGGAUAUUGAAUUGGCCUGAUUACGUUGGCUUCGAGGAGCCUAUCAACUUCGGCAUUUACGGCUUGGACCUUUUCAUCGGACAUUUUUCUUAGCUUCUGUUUCUUUGGCCGAGCUCCUUGCCUGAUGUCGAGGCUGUGCUCAAUGAUUUCCCUGUCCACCCCCUUUAGAUCUCCUGCGAACCAUGCGAAGAUGUCUAUGUUCUUGUUGAGGCACUCGACGAGGUCAUGCUCUUCAUCUGGGUUGAGGUUCGUCCCAAUUGUUACAAAUCUGUCUGCGAUGUACUCGUCUAGGAGUACCCGCUUUGUUUCGCCGUCCGCACUGAUUUUUAUCUUCUCUUUAUCUCUCUUGGGCUCGUCUUGGGCCUUUUGCUUUGCUGGGCUUUCGGCUUUGUUGGACGAGGCUAGAUGGUGGACAUUCUUUUGGCCCGGAGCUACCCCUUUUUCUAUAUUCCUUGCCAUUUGCUGAUCAUUGUACACUGUUAUGACCCCUUUGAGGGCGGGUAUUUUCAUGCAUAGGUACAGCUGUCUACUUGUUGCGUCCAUUUUGGUGAUGAAGCCACGGCCGAGUAUUGCGUUGUAGGGGUAAUGCAUCUCCACCAUGUCGAAGGUAAUGUGUUUUGUCCUCACAUUAUCACGGUCCCCGAACGAAACUAGGAGAGCAAUUUUUCCCAAGGCCUUCACUGGCUUUCCACCGAAGCCGAGGAGCAGGACGUCAGCUGGGUCGAGCGUGUUCAUGUCAAUGUUCAUUUCUCUGAAUGCAUUUGCAAAGAGGAUGUCUACGGAACUGCCCGUGUCUACCAGGACUUUCCCUAUUGUCCAGCCUGCUAUCAAUGCUUUGAUAACCAUCGCAUCGUUAUGCGAGGUUGUCUUGAGCUUGAAAUCUUCCCCGGUAAAGGUUAUGGGCAUGUGUGCCCAUUCUAGCUUUAUUGGGGGUCCGUCGGGAAUGAUCACGUUGACCUCUCUGAAGUAAUUCCGCCUCUGCCUCUUGUUUUCGAAUUCUAGUGAGGAGCCUCCAGUGAUUGGCAUUAUCAUUCCGAAGGUAGGCAAGGAGUUUUGGUUGUUAUUUUGUGUGGUGGGCUCCGGCUUGGGCAUUAUGGCUGGCAUGCUUGGGGGUGGAGGUAGUGUUUCUUAGGGUUUCUGAGGUAGGUUCGAAUUGGCAUGCUGCAGAAUUGUUUGGUGGUACGGUUGUAUAUGUGGUGGAAGUGGCCAAGUCAUUGGUUGCUAGAAGUUGGCGAAGCUAGGCUGGUUGUGGUAGAAGCUUGGGUGUGGGUAAAAGGCUGUGUGGUGGAUUGUUUUGGGUGAUUGUGCGGCUGCCUUUGCGGCUUCUUCCGCAGCUUUUCUCUCUUCCUCCUUUUUGGGGCACCACUCUGUAUUGUGAUGAUUCUGAUGGCCGUGGUUGACAUAGUAGAAUGACUUUUGUUGUCUUCCUCGACCUCGUCCUCUACCAGAGUGGCCCCAUCUUUGGGUAUUGUUAUUUUGGUUUUGGCUCUAGCUUUGGUUUUGGUUUUCCUCAAUGUUCAUGAUACGGUUUUGGUUUUGGUUUUGAGGCUUGUUGUAAGGCGGUUGCCAGCUUCGGCUUUGGUUUAUUUUCCUCUCUUUGUUGCGUUCUGCGACUCUUCUGCGGUGGUCCUCGUCAGACCUGAUGUAUUCAUCGAGUUUGCUGAAGAGGGCACUCAUAGUUUUGGGCUCUUUCCUUGAUAGCUUCGAUGCUGUUGGGCCGGGGGUAAGGCCCGCGAUGCACGCAGAUAUUGCUACAAAUUCCUCAAUGUGCGGCGCUUGAGAGUGAAGCUGGACAUAUCUUCUUACGUAUUCUGCGAGUGGUCCUUGUCUUUUUGUUUGCACUGAAAGAGGUCUGCCUGGGCCGUAUGGGGGUAAUGGAAACCCUGAAAAUUUUGUGUGACCUUCAUCUUGAGGUCAUGCCAUCUGAUCACUGUGUGUGGAGGUAGUAGUGAAUACCAGUUCAGUGUCACGCCUUCGCAAGCAAUUAUGAAAGAUUUGGCGAGGACGACAUCAUCUCCCCCGGCCGAAGCUACAACGGCUUUGUAACUCAUUAGGAAUUGCUGUGGGUUUGUCCGUCCGUUGAAUUUGGGCAGGGUGGUUGGCUUGUAUGUUGUUGGCCAUGGUGCGGUUUGGAGCCCUAUUGAGAGCGGUGAUGUGGUGUCGACCACAAGGGACACCCCCGGCGAGUGGUGUUUGGUGCCUUGGCCGAAGUUGAGGCUGGGCUGGAGCUGUGCUUGAUCAACACUGGGACUUUGAUAAAAAUAAGUUGUGGCCUAGUUUGUGUUCUCGAGUGGGCUUUCAAGCUCCGCGACUUCUUUUUGCAGUGCUUCUAGCUGCCGUCUGGCCUCGUUCAGCUUUGAUAGCCUGGUCGCAGCCUCCCUCUGUCGUUGCACUUGUCGUGCUAACUGCUCCUUUUUUCUUUUGACUUCUUCUAUCUCUCGGAGGACUGAGUCUAGCUCGUUGUCCAAGCUGGAGGGGCUAGUAGCUUCGGGCGUUGCGGGCUGGUGGCUUUCAGUGCGAUUGGCAGCUUCGUUUGCUGCAGGUUAUUGGCUUUGGUGGUUGACUUCGGCUGCAGGUCGCUUGCUCAUUGCUUUUGCCCUUAGGGCUUGCUCGACUCUUGCAAGACAUUCCUCCUUGUCGGGGAGGACUUGAUCUGUGGCUUUGGGGGCCGUAGGCUAACCGACCUCUACCGUGUCGUCUUCUCUCUGAGCUGCGGGUCUCUUUUUCCGUUGUGGUGGCAUCGUGGGCUGUUUAACGAGUUAGACCGCGGUGGGUGCCAGAUGUUGGGGUUCACCCAGACAACAGUUAGAAGGCCACGACAAAUGAAGAUAGUAACUGCUCAAGCAAACAUAACAGUGGCUAUCCUACCAGUUAUUAAUGUUCAUUUUGAGGGGGGGACGGUUCGUCUCCCUUUAUAGGGUCAUAAAGUUACAUUUCCGCAUUCCUUUUAUACCCAUACCGAACAACUACAUCCUGAGUAUAUUCCGUACAGGACAGUAACUUGGCCCCUACUCAAAAUGUCGCUUUCAUAGUGGGAUUACACUUCUGACCCUCUCACCAAGACUCUUAUUACAAAAUUGCCCUACUAUAAUGCGGUCCCAGGGCUGUCUUGAUUAUUUCCUUCCCCGUUCAUGAGCUUCGUCGGGGCUGAGCAAGCUUCUGUAAGCUUUCUGCAUUCUUCUGUUGGAGUCAGCUAGCUUUGGCUUCUGGUCAUGGAACCUCCCCGAAGACAAAUCACCGGGGGCUCUGUGGGGGGCUUCAACUUUGUGAGUCCUCGCCUGCAAAAUCACAGAGUGGAUAUCUUCGCGCUAGUUGACUUCGGUUAAUUGUUAGCUUCGUAAAAGGGGAAAUGGACGAGGUUAGAGCCGAUUAAGAGAAAGGGUUCCUGCCGGCCUCGUUCAGGGUGCGUUGUGGGGCGGUACCCAACACUGCAAUCCCUCCACUACCGAAGAAAAAGAGGACCAUCAUUGCAAAAUGGGAAGUGAAGAAGUCUAUAUCAACAGAUGAUGUGCCUCCCAAGUUAAUUACCUAUGAGGAAGGACAAAAUCCUGAUUAUCAUGUACUCGCAAAGGAUAUUUCCAAUGUCACCACCGUGUCUACUCAGGGUAACACUGGUGGACUGCAGGUACUCGAGUCAGCUACGGAUGCUAAAAAGGUGGCUGCUUUGGCUAUUCAAUAUGAGUCACCGGUGAUCGAAGAAGUGAUUGAGAUUGGCGACGAUCCAUCAUCUCAUGAUGCUGCUGAAGACCAUGCAUCUAGUCAAAUGGUGGACCCUACCAAUGCAAGAACAACUCAAAGACCGGAGGGAGUACAAUAGGCUGGUCAAGUUCGCAUUGUGGAGGUACAGACAGUGACAUGGUACCCUCCCAAGGCAUCAAGCCCUUGCACUUGAUAGGAGAGCCCAAGUUGAAGUUAAAAAGAUCGUCCUUCUCCAACUACUUAUGGUAUCGCGUUAUCUUUGCUACUCAAAUUUGUGACUUCUUGGUUCUGUAGGAAAUCCUCAGACAUGGAAUUGUCAAGGCCUAGCGAAAAAUCGAGUACUGAUGGCCUUGGCCCCUCAGUAGAAGAUCCUGCCCUGGUGCCACCAACCACAAUGCCUCAAGGGCAACUUGAAGAGACUACGACUUCAUUUCUGAGAAUUUGACUCCCUGUACCCUUGUGAUAGACCUUGGAUCAGUAUCUAUCAUGUACAAAACUCAUUUCAGCACAAUAUCACUUCCAUACAAUGGAAUCAGAGUACAAAAAUUGAGAUUUAUUGGAAUACGAAUAUGAUAUAGGCCCCUUGGGCUUAAUGACAUACAAAACUCAUACGCAACGGAAAACUAGGGCUUCAAGUCUUCAUCUCUGAUCUUCACCACAGGCAUCCUUGAGUGAAGCAACGCGACCCUUCCUUCAUGAAUCCUUCAAGAUUAGUCUUUCGCUCCAAGUCCAUACCUGCUCACUCACGAUCUAUCCCCAAGCAAUAGGAUAGGUCCACAUCACCAUCUGUAUGCAAGCUUUAAGUGGCCUAAUUCUAGUAGUCAAAAGUAGUCAAGGAAUAGGCUCGGGUUUUCCUAUGCAGUAGCAAGCAUAAAGAAUAAACUUCCAUAUCCAUCAUCCCAAUCUCUCAUCAUGCGAGCACACCUGCCUCGACAGGGUCCCUAUCACCAACAUCCUAUCUGCAUACUAGGGUCAAUGCGAAAGCUCCCUCCCUUCGCAUCUCAACAAUUAUAGCCGGAUCCAAAAGGCAGAAGGGAGCAUCUGCUCCUCUCCCCGACCGCAAUUGCGGCUCACCACACUCAAAUGUAUCUAAAAGGGGGAGGUAGAAAUAACCCAAAACAAUGGAGAGUCAUGAUGAUACAGGGUUGUCCAUGACCGAGGACCUGGCUAUACAUAUAGUUUUUAACUCUGCAGAGUGUGUACACCUGCAAAUGGUGAUCAGCCGACUGAACAUCACUCUAUCGAGUGAAGAACCUGGGAGUUAUGAUAGCACCCUGCAACCGGGCUCGAAUGUGAUGCCCUGCAGUGGACCACCCCGGAACUAUGAAGCAUGCCAACCGGGGCCAAUCGAGGGCAAAAGCAUAUCAGGGGGCUAUAGGUCAACACCUCUUCCCUCUGCACUGAUACUCCAUCCUAUGGCAGGUAUGGUACCACACUUGCCAGUCUUGACCCGGGACUAAACCCAUAAUUCGACGAGUGAAGUGCACGUUUAACAUAUUCUUGUGAAGCAUGGCGACCCACUCGGUUCCAGACCAAGGCAAGCUCCUAAUCUACCACAAAAGUGACUCCACCACUUGGAUCGCAAUGAUAUUCAUAACAGUUAUCACCACCAACUCCUAUGCUCCUCAACCAUGUACUCGCAACAAGUACCAAACAGGGAACAUCCGAGAACGAACCCCAAGCCCCCAAUCUAACGAUUGGGUUGUGUAAAGCUCACCCCCGUCAAAUAUCCCAAAAACACCUUCUCCUGCCAUAUUUCCCCCUCCUCUCCACCGUGGUUAUGGCCGGGAUCGCCGGAGUUCCCCCUCUUGGCGGCCCUAAAUUCUACCAGUGAGGUGUCCAGGAGGUCAACGGGCAGCGGUAGGCAGCGGAGCACCUACUUUUCCUGCGGCAAUGCAUGGGCGGCUCCGGUGAAGUCACGGCGCGCGCAUUGGGUGGCAUUCUAGAGGUUCAAAACUAGCACUACGGCUACCUCCUCGGGAUCUAACGGCGCACGGGCCCGUCGCUUACCACGGUCGCGCCCUGGUUCACGACAACAAGCGAUGAAAACAGAGGAAGUAGGGGCUCACCAUGGUGGCUCGGUGGUGCGGGCGCGAUGUAGCGGUGAGACGAGGCUAGGCAAAGUUGAGGCUGGGGAGGUGUGAGCAGAGAUGGUGGCGUGGUCGCACAAAGGCUGGCUUGUCAGCUUCAGCGCCAUGGACAGCUCUGGUGGUAGUGUUCUCCUUCCUCCGCUCCGGCUCUCCUCUUCCCCCUUCUCCCUUUCUUUUCCCCCUUGGUGGCGGCGAUAGGUGGGAGUGCCCCUAGGGCUUGCGGUGCGCCGGAACAAUGCGGGUGGGGGUUAUAUAGCGGCGCACCUAGGGCUCGGGCGUCGAGGUUGAACGGACGGUGGAUGAUCCUUGGGAUCCACAUGCAGGGGUGGCGUGGUGAGAAUCCAACAACUCUGGGUUGCGGUCACGUUGAGUGCGGGGUCAUAGGGGCGCGCGCACAGGCUUAGGAAGGCUCGAUAGCUUCCUUUGUCACGGCACAAGGUGGCGAAUAGUAUGAGGCAGUGCGACAGAGCAAAGCAGUUAGCGGAUGAGGCGGAGGUAGAAGAAAGCCGACUGGUGGGGCCGGUCUAUCGGUGAGAGGGGGCGAAGGAGCGGGUGUGGUGCUGGCAAAGUGCGUGGGCAGGCCGAGUGGGCCGUUUGCUAGGCCGAGGAGGCGCGCGUGGUUUUGGCCUGGGUGGAGGGGUCAGCAGGCUAGCGAAGGGAAAAAGGCCGAUGGGGUCUUGCAAGCCGCAGAUGAAUUCGACCCAGGUGAGCUUAGGAAGUUUGUUUUUGUUUUUCUAAUUUGAUUUUGAUUUUAGAUUUCAAAUUUUGAAUUCAGCCAAAUAAACUCCAAAUAAGUCGAAAUAAAAAUUCAACUCAUUCAUGCAAGGUCAUGACUAAAUAUUUUGUGCAUCAUUUUCAUUUUCUAGAGAUUUUUGGGAGAGGAAUUUAAAUCUUAAUUUGCAAUUUAUUCUCAUGGUUCACACAAGUCAAACAAAAAUUUUGAAAUUUUCACUCUUUGCUAUAAAUAAAUAUUUCGCAAAUUUGCGGGAUGUGACACCGAGUGUCGUAUCUAGUGUGGCUGCAUUAAUGGACAAAGUAGUCGAGUCAAUGGAGGGUGUAGAAGUGCCAGCCCCCGAGCCAUUGCCAACAGCAUCGACUUUGGAAGCCAUUUUGACGGAAGCAACAGCAGCUGGGCCAUCAAGUAGUCAUGCUUUGGUGCUGCAAGGUGAAUUCCAUGCAGAUUCUGGAGCUUAUAAGAAUAUCCGUCUGGCGGACAUCCAAUAGAUCGACGACCCAUUACAGAACCCUGAAAUGGUGUCACUGAUGAUGGAGUCGCAUCGUCGCGUGGGCAAUUAUAUGCAAGGUAUAUCUUCUUGUCCUUGUUUUUUUGAGAUAAUCAAUGGAUUUGUGCUCAUGAAUUGCCACGAGUACUGAUUUUUGUGCUAUAGGACAUUAUUUAGCACUCCCGCUGCAAGUCACACAUGCUUGAGGGAUACGGAGAUACAGUGCUUCGUGCGGAGGCGCUAGAGGAGGAGCUUGCCAAAGUAAAAGAGUACUCCUCAUGGCUGCUUAUGAAAUUUGAUGGGACGGCCGCCAAGUAUUGCAAUCAUAUUUAGGAGCUUACGGAACAAAAGGAUCACCUUGUUGGGCGGAAAAGGUCCUUGAGCCAGAAAGUGAAAAGUAAUCCUCAACUCUUAGAACUUUAUGUUUGUUGAUUCUGCUUUGUAGUCUUUGACCCUUAUUGUACAUCCAUGUAUAGCUUCAAAAAAGGUCAAGAAGGAUCUCAAGGCGCAAGUCACGGAUUGGAAGAAUUCUUAUUACUGUGUGACCAACCAACAUGACAAGCUUGUUCUUCACAUGGAGAAGCUGGAGCAUCACCUUGAGAAGGACAAGAAGAUGCAUAAAGAUGGCAAUGCUGACCUUGUUCAAGCCAUGGAGACUUUGAAGAAUCAUGAGGCAGGAGUGGAGAGUACUUCCUUUUCUCUGAAGCAAAUCUGUGUAGCCACUCAGCCCAUUACGGACAUGAUAGAACCUCCGGUUGAAGGUGUGGAGCAUCGUCCGCUGUCAGAGAUACCCAAGGAUAUGCCCUAGAAGACUUAUGGCUAUAUUCAGAAGAUGGCAAAGUCUAUCUCCCAUCAAAUAUUGAGCUUUGUGAAGUCUUUCUAUCCCUGGGUGAAUUUACAACCAAUUAUCAAAGGGAUGGCGUCGGACUGCUCGGAUGAGCAAUUCAAGGAGAUUAUGUAGGAGAUGGAUCCCAUUGCUGAAGAAGUAGCCCAGCAGCUAGACCUUAAGUAAUUUUGAGUUUUUUGCCUUUGGGAGAUAUCAAGAGUACUCUCGCACCGGUGCCCUCGAGCUUGAGUGAUCCAUUGAAAUACAUGAUCCAAUGCUCUAGACGCUCCACUAGCGUUGGUAGUUGAUUCUCCCACUAGUCUACAAUGAAAUCGACUAGGGCCUGGGACAUAAUUGCAGUCCUUGACUUGAAUUCCAGGGACAAUGCUCUAAGUUCUAUGGCCCACUUAGAUAUUCUUCCUAUAGCAUCCCAAUAGUGGGGAAUUUCUCCUAGAGGAAAGUCGGUAAUAAUGGAGAUCUUGUGCUCCUGGAAGUAAUGUCAUAACUUCCAUGAGGUGAGCAGUAUCGCGUACAACAACUUCUGGACCGGUGGAUAUUUGGUCUGUGAAUUUGACAGCACCUCGCUUAUGAAGUAGACGGGCCUCUGUAGUUUGAAUACAUGGCCUGAUUCCGGUCUUUCCACCAUAAUAGCCAUGCUGACAACGUCAGUAGUCGCGGUGAUGUAGAGCAACAAAUCUUCAUUGGGGUUUGGCGCCGUGAGGACUAGUAGCUUUGAUAGGAAGUCCUUCAAUUGUUGUAGAGCUUGAUGCUUGAUGGGGCAUGCAUAUUGUUGAUGGCGAAGAUCUUCUCGGGGUUGGCUUCAAUGCCUUGGUGACUAAUGAUGACCCAAGUAGUUUCCCGGAAGGCACCUGAAGACACAUUUCUCGCAGACUUGCGAAAGUUUCUUCUAGAUUUGCAUUCAGGUCGUCAGGAUUUCUAGUCUUUACGACCACGUCGUCCACGAAUGCCUCCAUGUUGUGGUGUAGUUGCUUCUUGAAGCACUCCUGGAUUGCCCAUUCAUAAGUAGCAUCCACCUUCUUCAACUCGAAAGAUAUUGUUGUGUAGAAGAAAGCUCCGUAUGGGGUGAUGAACGCAGUCUUGAUCUAGUCUUCCUUCUUGAGAGCUAUAUGGUGAUACCCCGAGUAGCAAUCAAGGAAGUAGAGGAGGGCGCAUCCAACUGUGGAGUCAAUGACUUGAUCAAUCCUUGGGAUCCUGAAGGGAUCUUUGGAAAGUGCUAGUUGAGGUUUGUGUAGUCGACACACAUCCUCUACUCUUUGUUGUUUUUCUUUCGCACCAGGACGGGAUUAGCGAGCCGCUAUGGAUGAUAGGCUUUUUUUACGAAGCCAGUCGCGAGUAGUUUGGCCAGCUCGUUAUUGAUGGCUUCCCUUCUAUCUUGGGUGAAUCGUCAUAGGCGUUACCUUUUUGGUGUAGCUUUUGGAUUCACGUUGAGUGAGUGCUCAAUCAACUCCCUGGGCACCCCCGGCAUGUCCACUGGUUUCCACACGAAGAUGUUUCAGUUGGCCUGGAGGAAAUUGACGAGCGCGCUUUCCUAUUUAGGAAAAAGCCUUGUGUCAAUCAAGGCUAUCUUGGAGCUAUCACCAUUCUCACGGUCAAUGGCUUUGACGUCUACUUCACUUGUCAGCUUGACCUUGGUUGCCCCCGACUUUUUUUCUGGAAUCUCGAGCUCUGACGGGGACAACUUCUUGGAUUCGGCGAAGACUUGCAUCAUCAAGUUUGGUACUUGGGUAGUUGCUGCUAGCUCCAUGGCUUCUAUGUCAUAGUUGUACGACCUCUUCAAGUCUCCACGCAGGGACAGUACUCCCUUGGGUCCCAGCAUCUUGAGUACUAAGUACAUGUAGUGCGGGAUGGCCAUGAAUUUGGCCAAUGCUGGUCUUCUGAGGAUGGUGUGGUAUGAUGUUUUGAAGUUUGCCACCUCGAACCGGAUGUAUUCUAUUCAGUAGUGUUCUUUGGUCCCAAAGAUAACUAGCAAAACCACCUGUCCGAGGGGUAGAGCCACGUUGCUCGAGACAAUCCCAUAGAACGGAGAUUUCGUUGGGGUGAGCAUAUUGAUGACAUCGUGGCCCAUCUUCUUCAGUGUCUUGGUGAACAGGACAUUGAGACCACUACCGCCAUUGAUCAGUACUUUAGUAAGUCUUGGCGAACAGGACAUUGUCCGGUAGUGUUCUUCGGUCCAGGAUGAGGGGAUACUGUCCUGGGUCUGAUAAACUAUUCCAUUGGUCCUUCAUGAAGAAGGUAAUUGGCACCUCAAAUCAUUUGAGGAACGUUGGCGUUGUAGGUUUAAUGGACAUUAUCUCUCGAAGGGUGAGCUUCUGGGACAACAUAGUAGUAGUACCCAGGGUUCUACCAAAGUUGACGUUGAUGGUGUUGGAUGGGUUCUUGCCACCACCUUUCUUGGAUGACUACGAGAUUGCCGUGAGAGUAUUGUCUAGCUUGCAAUUGCGGUUCUGAUUUCUCGAGUAGUGUUUUUGGUUGUCAUUGUUGGGGCGAUCGUUGUAGUUCUUGUUGUUACGUUGGCCAUUGUCCUGAUUGUUGUUGUUCUGACCCUUGUUGCGAUUGGAAUCAAACCUUUCGAUCUCUUUAUCUUCUUCAUCUGCCCAUGCCUGUGCCACAAUCUUGAGAGAUUUGACAUCAGUGAGGCAUCUUCUGCUAAAGUCUUGAAAUAUCCAGCGGUUGCGGAGGCCGUUCUGGAAGCAGUCAAUGACAUCACGCUCCAUGAUAACCACAAUUGUAGCCUUCUUGUCGAAAAAGCAACGUAAAUAGCUCCUCAGGGUCUUGCUUUCUUGUUGCUUGACCUGGGACAAGUCGAUCCUGUUGCCAAAAUGCCACCUUGAGGUCCUUCCACGAGUUGAUAGAGUUAUUGUCCAACGAUUCGAGCCAUGUGAGUGGCGCCACCUCCAUGCAGAUAGGGAAGUAGAUGACUUUGGUGUUGUCGUUUCCCCCAGCUGUUUGUACUGACAGCGAGUAGCACCGAAGCCAUUGGACUAGGUCUUGCUUGCCAUCGUACUUGGUGUUGCCCGGGGGUUUGAACUUUUUGGGUAAAGUUGUCUUCCUCACAUGUCUGGAGAAGGUGGGGAACCCGUCAGUAUCAUCUCCUAGGUAUUCAACUUCUUACUCAUGCUUGCGGUGCUAUCCAUUGAUGAUGGUACAAGCAUCACGGUUGGUGUUGAUCUUGUUGCGGAGGUCUCCUAUUGGGCGUUUAGGCUCUGGGUUAGCCCCAUAGUGGCCACGGCCUCUUGAGGGUCCUGCCUGGUUACCUUCAAUUGCAGCUUGGCUUGGUUUGGGGCCUCCAGGUGGACUUAGUCUGGUGCCUCCGAGUUGACUUGGUCUAGAUGGAGGGCCACGGUGGCUGCUGCCAUGUUAACUUUGCUGGGAUGCAGUGCGCUGGACUAACUGUAUCGGUUUCUACUGAUCGAAUUAUUCGCACAUGAGUUCCGCCAGUUCAGCCAACUAUCUAUUGUACUUGUUCUCGGGCAUCGCGCGGGUGAUGAGAUCAAUAGACGCAACGGUAGCCAAGGGAGUAUGAUGAUGAUGCAUUUGAACUGCUUUAAAUGCGUUAUCAAGGUUUUGGAUUGGUAGAUCUGUUGCAUGGGGGCAGGGGCGCUCUACUUUGUGGCGUUUCUUUCUCGUCAUCGAUUUCUUUGAGCUUCGGUCUCUUCUUCGACAAUGUUGACGCUCAUGUCAUGGGUUUCUAUCCCAUUGCUCUUCUUCUUCGUCCUCUUAUCCAACGAUAACGGUGAAGAGUUCUCGUUCUGGAGAGUAGCUUGUCGAGCUUGAAGUGAUGACCUUCGUGAUGCCACCUUCCUCGUAGAUGGGCGAUAGAGGAGCUCCCUCCUGAUAUGGGAGAGUGUCGAGGUGGGCGAUACGGCGUGAAUCGCCAUCCUUGGCAGGAGCGGGUGGCUUCAUGUUAGGCUAGUAGACAGAUCUGCCUUGAGGAGUUGAUGUGAUUACCAGGCCCUGCUGCAGACUUGAUAAAGGAGUCUCGUCAUCCGGAUCCGAUUAGUAGUUGAGGUUCUCGAUCGUAUCCAUAUCGGAUUGUGAUCUAGACAGGGCCACCUGAUAAAUAGUGCUCACGUUGUAGAGUCCAAAUGGGAAUCGACUCUGGUGGUAAUUCGACUCGCACGAUGGCUUAUGCGCUAGCUCAUGAAAGUCAAUCCAACCGGCAGGAGUAGUCGACUUGAACUCGGACUCGUCCCCCCAGCCUCUGACUAGGUCAUAAAUUGAAUCUUCGUCAAAAUUCUCAAUGAGAUCUUCCGGAUCUUGGGGCUGGAGCUUCAUGAUUUGUUGCUUCUUCUCCGAGGUUGACGCAGUGUGGCGGUGGAAAUUUCCAGCGCCAUGUGCGAUGCAAACCUAGGAGCUGAAGACAAAUAUCGCACCUGCUUCGAACGCGACAAUUGGCUUGAUGAUGACUUGUGCCAUCGAGUUCGCGAGUGGAUUCUUAGCGAGGUCCCCUACUUAGCACGCUAGUAGUCGGUGUUUAGACCCGGCAACCUACCGAGGGGGUUGCCCGAGGUACUGUUUUGGUUAGUGUAGCUCAUCGAGAUCAGGAACUCGAAGGUAAACACAGACACACGAUUUAGAUAGGUUCGGGCAGCUAGAUUGCGUAAUACUCUAUGUCCGGUGUGUUGGUUGGAUUGAAUUACUUUGGAGGGGGUCCCUGCCUCGCCUUAUAUUGCUGGGGGCAGGGUUACAUGUCCAUUGGUUAUAAGAAUACUAGUCGGGUAUGACUAGAGAAGUUCUAUUCUUAUUAUAACGAGUACUUUCCUAAUCGUCGACUAGUUCCUCUCUUUCUAUAUAGACUACACCGUCCUACACUAUGGUCUCCAUAUCAGAUGUGUCUCGGUGUCCAACCUCAUAUUUAGAACUGUCCAAACCUUCUGGUGGGUCCAUAGAUGUAAAUACGACAGCCACUACUACCAGAUCAGCGUACUGGCUACUCAAGCACUCUAGCCAUGACAUGAACUCCUCCGUGGACAAUGCUCCGGUGAAUCUUCCAUUGCACUCAAUACAAAUUUUAUAAUCAAGCAUUCGGUGUAUUGAAUCUUGACACAAUGCACGAAAGCUAAUACUUCGACCUGUUAAUUUCAUCAACCGUUGGGUCAUCUGGCGUUAACAAUCUAGCUUCAGGGAUUUGUAGCUUCUUUUAAUUUGCAAUUCCAAACAUAGUCAUAAGCCAAUACUUUGAUCAUUAAGUCCUAUUAGACAAUGCUAAGUUAUAUACUAACAACCAUAUUAGCUCCAAUAACUAUGAUGUCAUUCAAUAACCAAAAUAACAAAUUACAAUGGAGCUGUCGAGCCUGGUAUCCGGUGUUAUUGAGAUAUUCUUUCAGAUGGGGCAUCGGUAGCCAUGCCCGGGGGUUGUAGGCCACGUUUCCUGUGACGCAAUAAGUAUGGUGCCAUGGUGUCCCUCUCUACUGCCGUCCUUCUUGCUAUGGCAUUCUCUAUUCUUGUGCGCUUCUGUAAUCAAAUUGGUUAGAUCGAGUACGUUGGCAUGUCACCAUUGCUGAUGCUUUUCUCUAGGACCUCGAGGAGCGUUAUGCGUGCCUGUAGGUGUGUCCUCAUCCACAGCUUCAGGUUUCUUAUAGAGAUAAAUCACCAUCUUGAUUCAGAGCAAAGUUAUUAGGACCGGACCGGUCAUCGAACCGGUGAGACCUUUGGUUUAAUGGUUCACCGGUCAAACCGUUAAAAACUGAUUGAACCAUCGGUUUGAUAACUUUGAACCGGAGAAGUGAUUGAUAGCUUUGAAUUAGAGAAGUGAACCGGCCAAAGAUACCUUUGAACCGGUCGAAUAUACCAGCCAUAAUUAAUACAUAAUUACAUAUACAAGUUCAAUAGGGACAAGUUCCCAAAUUCAAACAACAACUUGACAAUAGGGACAAUAUCCAAGUUCAACUAUUCAAAUGUUAAACAUGCAAACCACAAAUUCAAACAGCAACUUGACAAUAAGGAUAAGUUCGCAAAUUCAAACAACUUGACAAUAGGCAGCCACAAUGCACACAGCCACACAAUGCAUAGACAGCCACACAAGUACACAACCACAAUGCACAGCCACACAAAGUCACAAACAGGGACAAGUUCACAAAGCCACAACUCCACAACUAGUAAAAUGGCGCCCAAUCUUGAACUUCAGCUGCAGCACUCAGACUUGCUUCCAAACCUUCAUCAAAUGCAUUAUCAAGAUCAUCAAGCACAUUUUCGUUGACAGCAGCCAUUACUUCAUUUUCUUCCAUUGUAUCAGCCUCAGCCUCAUCCAAGUUUAGCUCUAAAUCUGAAAAACAUUAUUAAGUUAAAUGCUAGCAUAGGCAAACAUGUAUGCUGAUUGCUGAAAACAAAUAAUUUGAACACUUGAUAUUACCAUCACUACAUUGUAUACUCAAAGAAGCAAAUUCACCACGGAAUUCAUUUAGCUCUUCCAAGUUUAGAUGUGGUGGAUUAUCUUCUACGGUCCAUGCUUUAUUUCCCUUUCGAAUCUCAUCCAAACUGAUUGGAUCAUAAUUUGUAACCGUUUUUUGACCUAAUGUAGGAAAAAUUGAAUAUAAUCAUGUAUUAUUUCUAGAAACAAAAUGAACAGCAAGGCAUCUCUUGUAAGUUGUAAUGAAGCAAAACAAAAAGGUACCUUUGGUGCAAUCUCAAGUUGCAAUGAACAUAAACAAUAUCAUUUAGCCUCUCAUGCUCAAGUCCGUUCCUCUUUUUGCUGUGUACAUGCUCGAACAAACUCCAGUUCCUCUCACAUCCUGAAGCACUACAAGUUUGGCUUAACACACGCAAGGCUAGCUUUUGUAAAUUUGGAGCACUGCAGCCAUUGGUUUGCCACCACUCAUCUGUGUGAAAGAAAAAAAAAUUAAAGGUGCUGAAAUGUAACAGAAAAUUACAAGACAACAAUAUAAUGAAAGCGUAGUUACCAGCAAGCAUGUGUUGUCGAUCAUUUAUAGUAGUUGAACGUCCAAAAUCACCUUCUCCUAUUCUAAAAAUUCUCAUCUCUCUUGUCAAAGAACUCCGAAGAGCUAUAUCUUUCCCAGCAUAUUUUUCAAUGAUAUCAAGAACUCCAGAAAAAGUGAAACUAUACUUCUCUCUUAGUUGAUCAUUAUACUAGUUAUUAGGAUUGAACCAAAAGCCGGCAGCAUGAAUAUUCUUAUCAAAGUGUUUAUCCCAUCAUGCAUCUAUGUAUUCCAGAAAGGGCUUAACUAACUCCUUCUUCCUCUGAAACCUCUUCUCAAUUUCCUCUCGAGAAGCAUGGAAGGCUGCAAAUAGAUAGCCCAUUGCAGGUCUCUCAUCACUGUCCACAAUUCUCAACACCCUAACAAUUGGUUCUGAUAAUUGACAGACAACAGCACAAUCUUUCCAAAAGUUCUGAUCUAGCACAGCUUUGGUAAAUUUUUUCCCUUGUGGAUCCUUAUAAUAUGCAUAGUUAGUCCACUCACUACAGACCACCAUUGCAUGAAGAUCAGCCUUGUGCUUGUAUAUGCUUUGCAAAGCAACAAAAUUUGUAGCAAAAUGAGUUUGCACAGGCCGAAGAAUUUCAUGACACUUAGUGAACUUCCUCAUUAGAUAUAAUGGAUAACAAUGGUUGUAGAUAUAUUUUGUAAUAGAUGAUGCAUGAGCUACAGUGGUCUUCACUAAAUUUUCCUUGCCAAAGUCAGACAAUACUAAAUUCAAACAAUGGGCAGCACAAGGGGACCAAUAAAUAGAUGGGAACUCAUCUUCUAAUCUUCUACCAGCAGCAACCAUGUUUGAGGCAUUAUCAGUGACAAAAUGAACAACAUGUUCAGCACCAACAAAGUUCACUACAUCUCUAAAUAAUCUGAACAAGAACUCUGCAGUUUUGGAACUUUCAGUGGCAUCAACUGACUUGAGAAAGAUAGUACCUUUGGGACAAUGUACCAAGAAGUUGAUGAGGGUCCUUCUCUUCCUAUCAGUCCAUCCAUCAACCAUAAUUGUGCAACCAGUUUGCCUCCAAGUUUUACGAAAUCCAUCAACCAAAUUUCUAGUUUCCUCAACACACUUUGCAAGUAAUGGACCACGCAAACUAUUGAAAUUUGGCCCCUUGUAUCCUGAACCAUAUGCACACACAGCAUCAAGCAUUGGCUGAUAAAAGAUGGAGUUACUUGCAUUAAAUGGAAGUGAUGCAUCAAUAAACCAUCUUGCCAUACACAAAUCAGUCUUUAACUUGACUUCUUCUCCUUGGAGCACACUCUUUAUUGUAGGUUGAUCCCCAGGCCGGUUUUAGGCUUGAAAUACUUGCCAAUACUAGGUGUAGCAAUGCCUCUUUUUCUUCCUCUAGUUGCUGCAGUAGGAACAUGCCGGGUUGGGGCUGCUUCAGUAUUAGAGACAUCACAUGAUUCCUCAUCUCCAGGGUCAGGCCCAUACGGGUUUUCUUCCUCAUAAAUCUCUUGCUGCUUCCUUUUCUUAUCUUUCCAAUUUUCAAUACUUUGAUUCAUUGCAUGUUGAACCUCUGGACCAACCUUUGGACAUCCAGCCACAUUUCUUGGAUAUUUGGCUAAUGUUCCUUGAAUUGAUGGAUUCCUCCUCCUUUCAAAAUCAUGUCACAAUACAUGCACUUGAUCUUCUUUUUUCCUUCCUCAGUAACAUGUGUACAAUACCCCCAUGCCGGAUCAGUUUUUCUUCUUGUCCUUACUUCUGUUCCAACCUCUUGGCUAGGUGCUGCGCUAUUGGGAGUGUCUGAAGAAUCCACUGUGAAUGUUAAGUGCAAAAAAAGACAAAUCAGUACUUCAAUAAUAAGUAUACAAAACAGUAGUACCUACUCUAAUUUUGUGCAAUAAUAAGCAAUACUACUAAUUUGUAGUGAGUAGUGAGUACUAACCAUUAGCCAUGGUAGAUCAGAAAUUCAAAACUUGCUAUUGCAGUCGAUUGUCGAAGAUCGACUUGCUAUUGCUGCUCCUGGCUCCUGCCCUCGCUCAGGCGCGGCCGGCGCUCCGCCGGUCCGCCGCUCAGGCGCGGACGCGUGGUGCCACCGGUCCGCCACCCAGGCGUGGUGGUGGGCUGGUGGCCUGCCGGUCAGCCCACUCGCCCAGCGCAACGGCGCCCAGGCGUGGUGGUGCUGGCGCCCCGCCGGUCUGCCGCCGAAGCCGCCAGGUGUGGUGGCGCUGGCGCCCCACGGCAGCUGCCCAGGCGCGGUGGUAGCCCCGCCGCCGGUCGGCCCACUAACGGAGGGAGGACGGGGGAUUGAGGGAACCGGGAUGGACCUGGGGGCUGGGACCGGUGGACAGCGACGGACGGACGGAGGGGGCAGCGUGCGCCGGCCGGUAAGCGCCUGUCCGUGCAGCGCCGCCGCCGGCCGCAAUUUUUUUUCCGCGCGAUUUUUCCCUCCGGCCGAGUCUCUCUGCUGCCUACUGCGCGGCGUGCCUACUGCCUAACCGUAAAAAUUGAAGAAUUCCAUUUUUGCCCUCAUGGUGAUAACGUUCCCCUGAAUUGAUAGAGGGGCAUUUUGGUGAAGAAUCGAACCAGUCCGGUUCAAUCGGAACCGGCCGGUUUACCGGUUCCAUAAAAAACCAGCCGGUUCCACCAGUUUUUAAUGGUCCGAUUGCACGGCCGAUCUUUUAAGCGAACCGAGCCAGUUUAGGCCCUGGUUCAGUCUUUUACCGGUCCAACCGCCGGUCCAGUCCGGUUCAAAUAACUAUGAUUCAGAGUGGCUCUGGCAACCUUUUACAAUAUGGCAAUUCGAUGGUACUUUAGUAUAAGCACAUGGCGUUCCCAGCAUUAAUGAUGGAUCAUGCAUGAUCUUAGUCAACUUAUCUGUUCCACUUGCAUUCGUAUAAAACUAGAGAGAUGCCAAAGCAUCAGCAUCGCAGCCGGAUCCAGCCAAGAAGUUCCACGCGAGGCUCACCAAUCGCACGUGUUGAAGAACGUGUCUGUGGUCCUAUUCUCCUGGAGGCACUCAGUCACCGGAUACUUCUAUUGCUCAGCUCACCAAGCUCAUAUAAUGUCGUACCUAGUAGCGCGAGCACAGCAACGCACGCAGCCAUGGCGAGCAUGGAGAGCCGAAGCCUCCCCAGGGCAGCAGCCACCUCCAUGGCGCUAGCUAUCGCCAUUGUCUUCCUGAUCUACACAACCGCACGACUGGGAGAUGCGGCAUCCGUUGAGCACACGUUCAUGGUAAGUACGCAUGAUCCUGUUUCAUUCCUUUAAUCGGUUAUGGUGCAACGAUAUUUACAUUGUAUUAUAGGGUGUUUUUUAAGACAAGCAUAUACAUCGAUAAACGGUUCUAGAAAAUUAUUUUCUAAAUUAUUUCCUAUAGUCCCAGCUCUAGAUAAAUGGUGUGCAUUGGGACUAUAGGAAAUGUUGAUUCUAUUGAUUAUUUGUCACUUAAUCAAUUAAAAUUAGUAAUUAUGAUGUUAUGAUAUACACUCUAACUGAAUCAUACUGUUUGACAAAUCAAGCCAUAUAAUCCGAACUUGCCAUAUAACCUUUUCACUGCGGGCACAGCCGUCGUCGAGCACACCUUCGUUGUUAGCAUGAUGCUCUACCAUGGUUUUCAUCUCCACCACGAACCCUAUGAAUUCUUAACAAUUCAACCACGAUGUAGGUAUAUAUGUAUCCAUGCUUUAUUUCUUGGGACAUGCACAUAUGUAGGUGAGCCAAGUGAAGAUGACACACUUGUGCAAGGAGACACUGGUCGCCGUGGUGAAUGGGCAGCUCCCAGGGCCAGCGAUAGAGGUCACGGAGGGAGACUCGGUGACUGUUCAUGUCGUCAACAAGUCACCCUACAACAUAACAAUCCACUGGUAAUCAGCUGAGUACCUACUCAAUACAAUCACUUUUCUUCCCAAGGACACUAAAAAACCAAUUAAUGUACAUUCAAGCUGCAAUGGUAAAGGUCGAAGUAAAAUAAUAAGAUGCUUUCCAGUAAUUCAUCAAAAUAGAAUAUUUUAUUUUAUUUUAUCUUUCGCCAUCUUUUUCUUCUGUGUUGUCUGAUGUAGGCAUGGAGUGAAGCAGUGGCUUAACUGUUGGGCUGACGGGGUGCCGAUGAUUACCCAACUCCCUAUCCAGCCAAACCAAAAUUUCACCAACCGAUUCAACGUCAUCGGGCAGGAAGGCACCCUGUGGUGGCAUGCUCACGUCCCCUUCCUCCGGGCAUCACUGCAUGGAGCCCUCAUCAUCCGGCCAAGAAAUGGGGCGAGCUCAUAUCCAUUUCCAAAGCCAGACAGGGAGGUCCCAAUCAUAAUAGGUUCGUGAAUUAUCUACAUCAUAUUCACUAGCUGUGUUACGAGAACAGAACAAACUGCACCUGAUUUUUUAUUGGAAUCUGUUUGGAAAAGAGAGAAGAAUGGACUGUUCCUAUUUGAAUUGAACUGUCUUUGACUUUGGCAGCGGACUAUUGGCAGCUAGACCUUGCACAGGCGGCAAGGAGGAUGAUGCAUGGUUUCUUGUUUUCUUUCGCCAAUGCUUCCACGAUCAAUGGCAAGCUUGGAGAUAUCUUCAAUUGCUCUGGUAAGAAAUUACUUUCUUACAGCAUUGAUGUCCGUGCCAAUGACAUAUUCCUUUUUUCUGAAAAAAGUGUCUGCUUGAAUUCAACUAUGAAGGUGUGCCGGAAGAUAACUACGUAUUGGACGUUGUGCCUGGCAAGACCUAUCUGCUACGAAUAAUUAACGCCGCGCUCUUCGCCGAGUUCUACCUAAAGAUAGCUGGGCACAAAUUCACUGUGGUUGGUGCCGAUGCCAGCUACGUCAGCCCAUACACCACGGAUGUCAUUGCCAUCGCGCCCGGCGAGACAGUGGAUGCCUUGGUUGUUGCUGAUGCGCCCCCUGGAAGGUACUACAUGGUUGCCCUGCCCAAUCAGGCGCCAUUGCCGGACACCCAGACCCCCGAAUACACAACCAGAGGGAUCAUGCAGUACAGCAACACUCACAGUUCUGCUGAUGAUCCAGCAGGACUAAUAUCAGAUCGUGGUGUGGAAGAAGAAGAAGAAGAUAAAGGUUCAUCCGGUGAUGUGCCAGUAGCACCUGAGAUGCCUGAUAUACAUGACACAAUUACAUCUUACUACUUCCACAGCAACCUGACCAACCUGUACCAAACGGUGGUCCCUCAGCGAGUUGAUGAACGUUUGUUCAUCGUGCUCAGCCUGGGUUCAAUAUGUCAGCAUGGCCAGUCCUGCAGGAGGGGUGAUCACAAUGAGACCAUCCUCAUCGCAACCAUGAACAACGUUUCCUUCCAGGAUCCCACGGGGAAGACGCCACUACUAGAAGCACACUACUACCACACUGGAAGCGUGGACUUGAUGCAAGAACUUCCGGACAGACCACCAAGGGCAUUCAACUUCACUGACG
rnacentral:lncRNA from 1 species